rnacentral:lncRNA from 1 species
AAAAUGUUCCCUAUACUUGAAUACGUAGCUUUGCUUUCUGUGAUAUUGUUUCAAUUGGAGCCUAGAAUUGCUGAUUCUAACAACACAGUAAUGAGGUGCAUUGAUGAGGAGAGAGAAGCACUUCUCACUUUUAAACAGAGCCUGGUGGAUGAAUAUGGUGUUCUGUCUUCCUGGGGAAAAGAUAAUGACAAAAGAGAUUGCUGUAAAUGGAGAGGAGUCCGUUGUAGCAAUAAAACUGGCCAUGUCAAGGUGCUCAAUCUUCGAAGAUCCGACGAUGAAAAUUCUCGAGGGACAGUCUUGAAAGGUACAAUUAGCCCUGCUUUGCUUAAAUUGCAUGAUUUAAGACAUUUGGACCUUAGUAACAAUCACUUCGGUGGAAGCCCACUUCCUGAGUUCAUUGGUUCCCUCAGUAGAUUGAGGUACCUCAAUCUCUCUUGUGGUACAUCUUUAUUAAAAGUACCUCGUCCAUUCCAGUACCUUUCAGGAUUGGUAUAUCUUCACCUAGAAAACUCUAAUUUAUUUAGUUUGGGAAGCCUACAGUGGCUUUCUCAUCUUUCUUCUUUAAGGCACCUAGACCUGAGUUACAUUAAUCUCACUAAAUCUAGUGAUUGGUUUCAAGUAGUUGCCAAGCUCCAUUCCCUAAAAACAUUAGUCCUACACUCAUGUGCUCUUCCACCUAUCAAUCCUUCAUCUAUUUGGCACUUCAAUUUGAGUACGUCUAUUGAGACCCUUGAUCUCUUCGACAACAGUCUCCCUUCUUCAUCAGUAUACCCUUGGCUUUUCAAUCUUAGUCGGAAUAUUCAAUAUCUUAACCUUGGCUUUAACUCAUUACAAGGUUCAAUUCCAGAGGCUUUUCAACUAAUGGUUUCUCUUAGAUUUCUCUAUCUCACCUCUAACGAACUUGAAGGUGGGAUUCCAAAAUUCUUCGGAAAAAUGUGUAGCUUAAAUAGAUUAUGCUUGCCUUACAAUAAACUCAGUGGAGAUCUCUCGGAGAUGAUUCAAAAUCUGUCUGGUGGAUGCACGAUGAAUUCACUGGAGGGUGUAUGUUUAGAAGGCAAUGAUAUCACAGGGCCAUUACCUGAUCUUGGAGGUUUUUCAUCCCUAAAAAUAUUAGUACUUGGAGAAAAUCGAUUAAAUGGAACAAUAGACAAAAGCCUCAGCCAGUUGUUGAAGCUCGAGUCUCUGUCACUUGGUAGGAAUUCAUUCACAGGUGUUAUCUCUGAAACCUUUUUUUCCAAUAUGUCCCACUUGCAGAUGUUGUACUUGAAUGAUAACUCUUUGACUUUGAAAUUGAGCCAUGAUUGGGUUCCUCCUUUUCAACUGAAAUCGUUAAGUCUUGCCUCUUGCAAGAUGGGACCUCAUUUUCCAAAAUGGCUUCAAACUCAAAAUCAACUUAUUUCCCUUGAUGUCUCCAAUAAUGGAAUCUCGGAUGCUGUCCCUGAUUGGUUUUGGGAUCUGUCUAUUGAACUCGUUUUUUUAAAUCUCUCUAACAACCAGAUCAGGGGUAAACUUCCUGAUUUGUCUUUUUUAAGAUAUGAUGAUAUUGUUAUAGACGUCAGUUCAAACCACUUUUGUGGCCCAAUUCCACCACUUCCGUCAAAUUCUACAUUCUUGAAUCUCUCAAAAAAUAAGUUCUCAAGAUCAAUUACUUUCUUAUGUUCUAUUGUAAAAAACACAUGGAACUUUUUUGAUCUCUCGAGUAACUUAUUAUCUGGAGGGCUUCCCGAUUGUUGGUUGAACUUUGAUAGCCUAUCCAUUCUUAAUUUGGCAAACAAUAGCUUCUCCGGGAAAAUUCCAGACUCGAUGGGCUUCCUCCAUAAUAUCCAAACACUGAGUUUACACUCCAAUAGGUUAACCGGGGAGUUGCCUUCAUCUUUAAAAAAUUGCUCACAACUGAGAGUUUUGGAUCUUAGGAAGAAUGCAUUGUACGGUGAGAUACCAACCUGGAUAGGGGGAAGUCUUCAAAAUUUGAUUGUUCUUAGCUUGAAAUCUAAUAAUUUUCAUGGAAAUAUACCUUUUCAGUUAUGCCAUCUGGCGUUCAUUCGAGUUCUGGAUCUCUCUUUAAACAAUAUAUCGGGAAAGAUACCAAAAUGUUUCAAUAAUUUUUCAGCCAUGACCCGAGAAAAAAGUUCCAAUCCUAUCAUUGGGUUGGCUGACAAAAUCUGGAUUUUCCCUAGAUAUGUAUAUAGGUAUAGUUAUUUGGACAAUGUUCUGUUGACAUGGAAAGGAAGUGAACACGAGUACAAAAGUACUUUGGGACUUGUAAAAUGUCUUGACCUUUCGAGUAACAAACUACAUGGAGCAAUUCCUGAAGAGAUUAUGGAUCUUGUGGGGUUGAUUGCUUUAAACCUUUCAAGAAACCAUUUAACUGGACCAAUCACUCCAAAGAUUGGUCAGUUAAAUUCAUUGGAUUUCCUUGAUUUAUCUAGAAACCAGUUUUCCAGAAGCAUUCCGUCUAGCCUUUCUCAACUAAAUGGUCUUAGUGUCUUGGACUUGUCGUCCAACAACUUGUCAGGAAAAAUCCCAUUAGGUACUCAGCUUCAAAGCUUCAAUGCUUCGGUGUAUGCUGGAAAUCCUGAACUUUGUGGCCUUCCACUUCCAAACAAAUGUCCGGAUGAAGAAUCAACUCCAUUGCCAGGCAGAAAUGAUGGUGCAAACACUCUAGAAGAUGAGGAUGAUCAGUUUAUGACUCUCGGAUUUUACGUGGGCUUGAUUCUUGGUUUCUUUGUUGGAUUCUGGGGUGUCUGCGGAACUUUAAUGCUGAAUAGGUCGUGGAGACAUGGUUACUACAACUUCUUGACUGGUAUGAAAGAUUGGCUUUAUGUGACAGCAGCUUUGAAUAUUGCCAAACUGCAAAAGUUCAGGAACUAAUUAAACGGUAAUACUCCUAAGUGUAUAGUGUAUUUUAGUAAAGAUUAUUGGCUUUCACAUAUGCUUUUAAUUUCUUCAUCCUUAGACUUGACUCUUUCCUCUUACAAGAUUUUGUUUAUCAAAUCAAUUGUUACUAUUUUUUUGGCAGGGUCUCCCGGUGAUGGCAUCUUGUCAUUAAUUUUCAGAGUACUCAUUUCAUUUUUGGAAACUUUCUAAAAAUAAAGUUGUGCUCCCAUAUGAUGCUCAUUGUAUUAUUGAGUAUAUGCCUAAAGAAACUUGGAUGUGUUUCUCUUUAGUCCAUCAUCGAUUUAUGCGUUUAUUAAUUAUAUGCUCUUGUUCGGAGAAAUUCUAGAGUAAAUCAGAGGUAUUACACCCAAUUAGAGUUUAAUUAUACUACUAAUUGGAAUAAAGACGGUCAAAUUCUGCUCUGUUGUUGAUUAGUGUUAGAAUUUUUAUUUCUUGGAUUUUUGUGUGCCUUACACCUCUUUAUUAGUAUUGAAUAAACUUCUAACAAUAAAAGAGAGAUCUCGCUACAGGAUGUUCAGUGAACAUAAGCAUAAAGCUAAAACACGCUACAUAAAAAUUAAAAUAUCUAAGGUGCAUUUGUACUUUGUAGAGAAUACACGCUUAAUUUAAAAUUCUAGUUGUAUGAAACAUGUUAUAGAAUUUUCUAGACGACAUGGAUAUUUCUUAAUAGAAUAUAUAUUUUAUGAAUGAUUUUUAAAAAGGACCUUAUCUUUUGUUGGGUAAUUUUAAUUACUAUAUGUGUCAAUGUACAAGUAUACACAACAAGUAAUAUAUUGAUGAGUCUAAAUUAAAAUAAAAUAAUUAAUGAAAUUAAUGAACUAACUAAAUUAAAAUUGCAAAUAAACAAAAUGCAAAAAAGAAAAUUCUCAAGUCAAACAUAAGGACAAAGUCAAUGGGAAUAGAGUAGUUGGGUGAUUAAACUCACUUAAUUGUAUUGAUUGUUUUUCCAAUUAAGAUUAUGUUGCUUUAGCAUCUCCUACAACACUAAGCAGAAUCUCUCACGUAUUCUCAGCUGUCGCUUGUUGAAUAUCUUAUAUCUAAAUACAACCUAAUAAUGACUAGUUGUUACGCUAACAUUAAAUAUAGCAUCAUGUGUUCUAAGUUCUAAUUGCCCUACAAGGUAAAUCGGUAUGUCUAGUUCUUUAUUAAUUUUAGAUUAAGCAUGUCCCUAUUUAAAUCAAUAUUAACUCAACUUGGGAAACCCAAUCUAAAGCCAUUUAUUGUCUUAAUUUGUUCCACUAAGUUAGACAUUUUUUAGGUUGUUUCUUAGCUAGUAUUCACUAAAUGGGUGGUCAGCCGAAAUAGGGAAUUGCAAUAAGUAAAAUCAAGACAAAAUGCUAUAGUAAAUACAGAGCAGCACACAUAUAUCAUUCAAAUAACCAUUAAGCUUAUUUAUCACUCAAUCACAACAAAGUUUAGUUUAGGAUUUGCGAUAAAACAGUAACAAAAAUAAGUUUAGCCAUGAAAUACUGAACUUAUUUAAGUUUAUAAUCUAUAAUAUAUUUAUAUAUAUAUUAUUAUUAUUAUUAUUAGGCUUUAAUUAUGUUACAUGAUCAUAUAACAUACAUAAUUCUUCCACAGCCGUUAGAUGAAAAUUCAACGACUAUGGAAGAAUCAUAUAUCUUACAUGAUUAUGUAAGAUAAUAAUCACUUUAUUAUUAAGCUAACAGAAGGAUGAUGUAAUACAUAUGUACAUGCUUCUAGACAACAAAUUCAGAGAAGCAUUACGCAAAGUCAACAGUUAACUAAUCAAAGUCAGCGGACAAUUACGUUUGGUCCUUGCUUGGGAAUUUCUAAUUUCAAUGGCAGCAAAGUCUGUGGAAAAUUACUUUAAAUGAAGUAUGUACACAAAUGCACACCAAUUAAGAAUAUUACAAAAAUCAUUUAGAUGGUACACAUCAUACAAAAACACAGCUUCAGUUUCGGAAGGGGACCAUUAAUUGUUCAAAAUCGAUAUACAAACAUGGUGGCCCUAGCUAAGAAGAUAACAUGCAUGAUAAGGAUAAACAAUUACCCCAAUCUUUCUUUUGUGGACAUGUGAAUAAAACAAAGACAGAUUCUGAAAGAAGGCGUAUCUAUAGAUGGCCAAUUCAGAACUUAUUUAAGAUCAUACGUUAAUUUUAUUUUUAAUUGAGAUAGAGCCUCUCAUGUUGGCGUUAAUAUGUAGACAAAUAUGAAUCUGAUGCAUAAUAGUACUUUUGAAAUUUUGUUUAAUUAAUUCUUAAGUUGAAAUAUAAAACAAGUAUUCCCCAAUCAACCACGAAGAAUUAAUACCCAUUUAGUUUUUUAAUCUGAAAUUUAAAAUCAGUCUGAAUUUGGUUGAAGUCUUAGCUGAUAGUUUGAUGUGUUUUUUUUUUUUUUUUUUUAAUAUCUAAAUAUAAUUGACAUUAUAUUUGUUCUUAUAAAUAAAAAAAAGUUAAAUACAGUUAUUUAACAUUUAUAUCCUUGUAAGUUAAAAUGCAUAAAGGGCUUAAGUUUUAUAGUUUAGCAAAUAAGUAUAUUUAAUAGAGAUGUUUUAGGAUAUAAUAUUUACUUCUUCGUGCCUUUUCCUAUUUAUAUAAAAGUCACAAAAAUUUACUCUUUAUUUUUAAUUCAAAUGUAAAUGUAUGAAAAAUCAUAUAUAAGUUAAAAAAACAAACGAACAAUUUUAAAAAAGUUUGAAAUAAAAAAAAUUCAAAUUUUAGACAUUUAACCAAUAAGCAUCAAUUUCAUCUUGGUCAAGAGAGUAGUUGGCUACCAUGAAAUUUCUGAUCCCUGUCUAGUAUGGGCAUGUCAUGAAUUAAGCUACGUAUUUUAAUUUUUGCCUUAAAAAAAUUUCCAUUCUUUGUUCUAGAAAAUUGAAAAAAAAAAGAAUAAAAAAUAGUUCACGUUGGUAUUAUCAUUAUAUUAGUAUUAUAAACAUCUCAACCGUUACUAAGUACUCUAUGGCUCGGGUCUUUAGCAGGGUUAUUGAUAGGAAUCAACCGUUUAUUCGCUGACGCAGUAUCAAUUACCAUUGGUUGUUCUUCCACUGUUUAAGAUACAGAUUUAAGAGCAAAGCAAUUUGAAUGCUUGUAAUUGUUACUCUUGCAUCCAAUUUUCCCCAGGAAUUACAGGAUCAACAAUCCCAUCAAACAUAUUACUUUUAACGUGGCUUAACAGGAUCAACAAUCCCACUGCAGUAGUCAGGUGAUUUUGUCCAUGAUUUAUUCAAUUCAGUCUACAGUUCACUAAAUAUGAAAGGAAAGCAUUAAUAAAUUAUCAGGACAAGCUUUUUAUAAGUGAAUUUCUGCCCAAACAAAGCAUCAAGUGACGAUAUAUACCAAAACUGUAAACAUCAUAGUUCUCUUAUUUUCAAUAAAAUGUGUUUUAUUUUUUUGGGUAAACGUAAACCAACGCCAGUUUUAUUUUGUUUCUACGAGGCUUUGUCAUCAUUUUGUGUGUUUACCAUUUUUCCACGGCAAGAUUACAUGGAUGUUGAUUGUACGACUUUCUUUAUCCAUGCUCUGCAUUGUUGUGUGUUUGGGAUUCGCCGGCGACUUUUCUUGGCUUUAUUCAUCUCUCAAAUUUUCAUAUCCUAACACAUAAUCAACGCGCAGACUGAAGACUUUUCUUGGAUUCGAUAAUUGAUGCAGAUUAUACACAGUAGUAUAAAUUGGCAUGGAGUCCAGGAGUUUCGAUAUAACAGCAUAUCCUCAAAGCUAAUGAUAAUUAUAAUGUCAUCCAAGUUGUUCCUUCUAUUUGAAAAUAUAGCUUUGUUUUCUGUGAUAUUUUUUCAAUUGAAGCCCACGACUGCUGAUUCUAACAACAUAAUAAUAAGGUGCAUUGAUGAAGAGAGAGAAGCGCUUCUCACUUUUAAACGGAGCUUGGUGGAUGAACAUGGCGUUCUGUCUUCCUGGGGAAGAGAAGAUGACAAAAGAGAUUGCUGUAAAUGGAGAGGAGUCCACUGUAGCAACACAACUGGCCAAGUCAAGGUGCUCAAUCUUCGAACAUCCGAUUAUGAAUUUGCUCGGAGGAAGUUCCUGAAAGGUACAAUUAGUCCUGCUCUGCUUAAAUUGCAUGAUUUAAGACAUCUGGACCUUAGUAACAAUGACUUUGGUGGAAGCCCAGUUCCUGAGUUCAUUGGUUCCCUCAGCAAAUUGAGGUACCUCAGUCUCUCUUGCGGCGGACCUUUAGAACUCCCUCGAAAAUUCCGGAACCAUUCAAGAUUGGAAUAAAUGCAAUUCAGGUAUAAACUUCGUUUCCAGAAUCUACUGGGGUUCUUCUUAUCAGGUAUGGAUUUAAAUGUAAAAAUGAAAGAGGGUCGUCCAUUAGCAUUUCCAGAAAUGGUGGUGUAAAAGGAUUGUAGAAAAUUAUUUUUCCUUAAGGUUUAGAGUUCGAAGUUCGAACGGUAGAGAAAAAUGGCAGAGGCUUUGAAGAAAAUCUAUUUUGGUUGGGUGCAGAACUGCAGAUAAUUGAAGAUCUAAGGAAGAUAGAAAAUGGGAGGAGCUUAGGGAGAAAUACAGUAGAAGGACAAAACCUGAAUCCUACUCUCAUUGUGUUGAGUUUGGGAAAUCGAAUGGAGCUGUAGUUUGUAGAGGGUAUAUUAUCUACGAUGAAUGGAAAGUAAUCCAACAAGGGCUUGUAGAUAGAUUUGGGCACUCUUUCGAUCUGAAACUAUUCCACAAUGAAAAAGUAACUUUUUUCUGUCAAAACACAAAUGGAAGUAACCGGUUGGGUAAUAUAUGCAUUUGCAGAUUGCAGGGCAAUGUCAUCAUGGUGUUACGAGGAUGGGUACAACAUUAUUGAUAGAUCAUUGAAUGAUUGAUAUUGAAAGAUUAAAAAUUACUUUUAAGGUUUUGGCUCAUUGUUCGUAGUUAUUAUUAUUGACACGACUGAACAACUAGCUAUAUUACCAUUACGAUUAUUAUGGGGUACAAUACCUUGAUUGAUUAAUUGGCUGGAUCAUCGGGAUUAUAGGUGAUAUAUUAAUUGUUGGGCCACAAGAUUAUAGGUGAUAUAUUGAUUAGCCGAGUCAUCGAGAGCGCAUGUGACACUAUGUGACAUGAGCAAUUGAAUAACAUAAAUAUUUUAUUGAUAAAUGAUUUCUUAGAUGAUUAAAUAUUUGAAAAUGAUUAUUACAUGAUGACUUAACUUAAAAUGAAUUUUAUCAUACUCAUGCAAUAGAUUGUAAAAUGAAUAUUGUUUUCCAAUUUAUGGUUCCUUAUAAUGAUUAUUAUGUAUUUUAUUGUUAUUGGUAAUCUCAUGCAUGAAUUUACUUACCAAGUUGAUGGCUCACCCCUCGUCUCCAACAUUUUGCAAGUUAAUUUUAGAGAUGUGGGGUUUUUGGGUUAGAGAAGAGGAUUUUUUAGCUAACACAUUUUCUUUGAUGAAUAAAUUGUCAUUAUUUUGGUUAUUGUUCACAGUUGAAUUUGUUUUGGAUGAUUAUUGUUAUAUUUAUUAUUUUAGAGAUUUUAUUUUGAUAGUGGACAAUAUUGAUUUUUAUAUUAAUAAGAUUAAUAUCACAAGGUUUCAUUCAUUCCCAAUUCCUCUUGUAAAUUAUAGGGUGAAUUUGGGUUAUUACAUUAUUAAUUAAAUUUCUACAUAGAUGACAUUACAAAGAUGUUGAUCAAAGACUAAAAUAUUUCGGAGAAGAUGGUAAUGUUGUUAGGGUGCACCAAAUUUAAAACCUUACUACUAAUAUAAAUAAUUAGUACAGAGCGAGUAAGGAUCGAUCCCACAGAGACUAUGCUAGUUGUAUUUAUUAUCAACUAUGCUAGUUGUAUUUAUUAUCAACUCUAAAGCAGAACUUAAAAUAAAAUAAUAAUAGAAAUAAUAAUAUAAAUUAAUCUAACUAAAGAAAAUGCCAACUAAAAAUAGAGAAAAGGGGGGUUUUUGAAUUUUUAACUAAAUAGCAAGAAAUAAAGAAAUUAAAACUGCGAAAAUAAUAAUUUAAUAAAAACUCUAAUUAAAGGAGAAAGAAAUAAUAAUGAGAAAAACUUUGGUUAAAUGAUCGCCACCACCAAACCUGCACAUAAUAUAUCAAUUCUAUCAUUAAUUUAUAUUGAAACUAUCAACUGUAGACAACAAUAAUCUCUGUUAGUCUCAAUCUUUUCUUAGUAUGUCGUUAGGCAAAACAAGCUCUUCAUCUAAUCUCUAACUAUUAAAUAAUUUAAAACAAACUCUUUAAAUUUAAGAUAAUAGAAGCAUUAAGUAGAGAAAGAUAUUAGGUUGAUUUAGGCAAUAAACACACAAGCUUGGAUUAUUUAACUUAGGUUAUGUUCUCCAAUCGAAAUCACUGAUUCCAACCUACUACUAAUUAUUAAAAUAUCAAGACAAUUAUGGAUCAAGAAUUUUAAUCUAGCAAUAGAAUUUAUUCAAGUUCUAUCUAAUUGGCCACUCAAAUAAGACAAGAAUAAAAUCAUAAACAUUAAUUAUAGAAGAACAUAAACAAUCUCAAUUAAAUAAAUUGAAUGAUAGAAAUUAAAAAAUUCAAUUGCAUAGCAUAUUUAGGGUUUUGAAUUCACCCUCAACCAAAUAAAAAAUCUAUUCUAACAUAAUUAAAUUGAGAAUAAAAGAGUUAAUAAAACUAGACAUAGAGACUAAUUCAAACGGCUGUCUCCUCUAUUUUUUCUCUUCUCCUUUGCGGCUGCAAAUUAUUUUUGUAUGUGUGGCUGCCGAUCCUCCAAUUCUCCUCUAAUUCUGCCGCAAGUCUAGCUUUUAUAGUAGCUUUUAUUGUGCGCCUUAAAUCCUCACAUGGAAAGGAUUAAAAACAAAAGCCAAGCCGCCACUUUUUGUUCAUGCAUGCACAUUACUUGUACAAUUAAUUGGCCAAUGAAUAUUGUUAAAGCCAAAGCCCAUCACGUGCUUGCCAUUUAAAGCCAUGCCAAAAUAUUUGCUUCCUCAAUUAAUCACAAUAUAUGUUUCCCACGUGAUUGCAUGCAUGUUGAUUAAUCAAAUUAAAUCUUUCUUUCCUAAUCUCUUGUGCACUUUUGUCUCCCAAUCUUUAAUUCUUUUCCUAUUUUUAUUCUUUCAAUGAAAUUUCUUUCCUAAAUGCUCUGAUUUAAUUUCUCUUUAAUCCCAAAAUAUGUCUAAAAUAAUAAAAUAAAAAACUAAGAUAAAAAUUAACACAAUAAAAUAUAAUUUUAACAAAAUAACUAAAUUAAAAAUUAACUGAAAUAACUAGAAUAUUUAAGAUCAAAAUAAGAAAAAGAUGGAGAAAUUAAUAGCAAAAUAUAUGAAAAAUAUGCACUUAUCAGAAGACUAAGAGUGCGUUUGGGAGUGAGGUACUGAAACUUUUAAACUGCAGCUACUGUGAAGUAAAAGCUAUAGAUGUUGAGUAGAAGCUGAUGAUAUUUGAUAAAGAUGCUGUAACUUUUAAGCUGCAGAAGCUGAUAGUGUUUGGUAAAUAUAUGUGUCUAGUAUUUUCAAUUUUAAUUUCACAAUUUUUAUAUAUAUAUAAUUUUAUAAAAAUCUCGGGACCCAUAUUAUUCAGUUAAGACACUGUGAGACAAUUUUGAAUUUAAUAAGAAACAAAUAGUUUUGAAAAUGUUUUUGGUAUUGGAUCCUCCUAAAAAUUUUAUUGGAGAUACCCAUGGAUGUCGAGAAUAGAUCUAUGUAAUUUUGUGUCAUUUUGAUUAUUAGAUUAAGAGUUAAAAUUCAGAGAAUCAGACUUCUACGGGUAUGAAUUAGAAAAUUAAGUUCUUGGAAUAAGUUGUUAAUAGUUAUUUCUUGUAUUUGUUUAAAGUAUUGGAGGUGUUUGAGACUGUUAGAGGCUUAGAGGUGUGUUUAAAUCAUUGCUUUUAUCAAGAUAAGUAACUCUAUUCCUAAUGUACUUGAUAUCUAAUGUACUAGAUAUAUAUGAUAAUUUUGAUAUUUCAAUAUUAUUACAAGUACGUGUGUUUUCUUAGUUCUUCAUAACAAAAAUAAUUGAUGUGAGUGUUUUUAAAUUUGAAAAUUAUGCCAUUUUUAUGGUUUUAACAAAAUAUUAUAAAUGCCUUUAAAUGUGCAAUUUAUUUUGCUAGAUAAUUAUAUUUUUGAAAUUAUCUAUAAAAUGUUAGAAUGGAAAUUGUUCUGCAAGCCUAAAUCAUUGUUAUGAUCAUUUAUGAAUCUAAUAUGAAUAUUAUGUUCACGUAUUCUAUUUAAAUUAUCUAUGAAAAUUUAUGCGGGAGCCACCUUUUGAGACUGUAUGGGGGCCAUAUCUCGAGGACUAAAGUGCCACGUACAUUAUAAAGUACCACGUGUAAUUUGCUACAAAGGAAAAAUAAAUUUAAAUAAUUUGGUUCAUUGUCCAUAGUCAUUUUGAUUCCGUUAUAUACUUACACACACACACAAACACAGAGUAUUGAGUUUCUAUUCAGAUUGUGUCUAUGAUAUUCUGAUUCUCAUUCUAUUCCAGCCUGGUCAUCGAGAGUAUAAGUGACACUAUGUGACAUGAGCUAAUCUUUUGUGUCCUGUAUUUAUAUAUUAUAUGAUUUGUUUCUAUGAUUAAUUAUGAUUUCGAUAUUCUGGAUCAUUUAUGAAUUUGUCCUUAUGUUAUUAUAUCUCAUUGUAAAAUUUAUGUUUUUUUAUUGUGAUAUAUAUAUUGGUAAACAAGGCUUGCAAUACUUUUGGUAUCGGAUAUCCUUGGGGUGUUGGGAAUGGUUUUACUUGCCGAAUUGAUAGCUCACUUCUCUUCAUUACUUUUUGCAGAUUGAGUGACUUGUUGAGAGAUGUGCUUAUCUUUGGAGUUAGAGAUUAAUUUACUUUUGCUAGUUGAAUAAAAGAAGGACGAAUUUCUAUUUCUUUUAAGCUUGUUAGUCUUCUCAACUUGUAAUUGGAGAAUUUUGAAACUUUUGUUACAUUUAUGAUUUGGGAGAGAAAUGUCAAGUAUUUGACUUGUGGAUUUGUUGAUUUGUUUAAUAAAAAUUGAGAUAUUUCAGGUUGAGAUUUUGUGUAAGGAUUUCAAUAUGUAAGUAAUCUCCUACUAUCACAUGCUCCACACGUGUUAAAUUUGGAGUGUUACAACUGUUAAGCUUUGCAUAUCCAAAUUGAUUAAGUUGAAAAUUAGGGUAAGAUGAUAGGAUUCUAGGGUUUUACUUAGAGAAUUCAAGAGAGAAAAGAUGAGGAAUUUAAGAAUUUAGAGGGGAGAGAGAAGAAUUAACAGGGGUUAGAAUUAAUUUUAUUAUUGCUUGCUUAAAAACAUAAUGAGAACCACUUACUUAUAGUGGCUCAACACAUUCCUAAUUCUAAUCUAAUUAGAACCUUAAAUUAUAAUUAUAGUAAGAAAACCUAAUCCUAAUAGGAAAGAAAAAAUAAACCACUUGGGUUCUGUAGAGAUUUGAUUGAACUGCUAAUCUUAUAAAACCAAAACUCUGCCCAUGAUCUUUGACUAAGAUCAACAGAAGUUGCACACAAGCAAUAAAAUUGAACCAGAAUCUAUUCAAUAUCCUCUCAACAGACUUAGCCACUCAAGAACAGAAAUUAAACAACAGAAAAGAAUGAAUCAGAAACAAAAUCACAGAGAGAGCAAGAGAUAACGUGGUCCAAUCUUUUUCAAGACUUGCAUUCCCGAGUGAAAACAUCAGAGAUUGUUUUUUUGAUCGAUUCAACGAAGAAACUACAAGUACUCAGAAUUAAGGAUACAGAGCUUAAGAAUUAGUUUUCUCUCUCCAAGAUUCUCUCUCGAAUACUCUCGAAUCACUCCCGCAAGUGAGGUGCAAAACCAGCUUUAUAUUACAGGGGGAUAACAGAACAAUGAACCCAGAUAGCACAGCCCUCUUCCACGUGCCCAAGACCGUUAAAAGAACAGGGAUGCACUUAAGUGACCACGUGACUUAGCACGCGCAAUUUCUUGAAUCUGUUAUGAGUAAAACGCAAGCUUUAACGUCGUUUACAGUUAGUAAUCACGAGCUCCCUGACGUGACUUCAUAACGGAUUUAACCGAUGGCCCAAUACGCUGCCGUUUGCUCUGGUUUGUGUUUGAAUUCAUUGACUCUACAGGUUCUAAUAGAUUCUUUUGUUUCAAAAUGAAGAUUGAAGAUCAUCCACGGCAGUAGGAGAUUUAAGUUGGAAGAUCAUCCAGAAUUUAUUUCCUUCUUUGCAAGUUGUGUUCUCUCAAGACUCGCAGCUAGAGAUGGCAAAUAUCCAAUUAUGGAUGGAUAAUAUCCAUCCAAAUACAAAUCCAUAAUUAUUCAUGAUGGAUAUAUCUAUAUCCAUAUCCAGUAUUUAAUAUUGGACAUGGAUAUGGAUUUUAUCCAUAAAGAUAUGGAUAUCCAUGAAUAUUUUAUUUUUAUUAUAUAAAAAAUAAUAAUAAAAUAAAAUAAAAAAUAAUAUAAAAUAGUUAAAAACAGUAUUAAAUUCUAAUAUCAAAUAAAAAAUAAUAAACAUAACAAAUAUCAAAACUAUGAAAUAAAAAAAUUAUAAUAUGAAAUUACAAAUUAAUUUCAAAUUAAAUACAAAAAGUUCAUUCUUCUAACGCAUCAUUAAUCUCCAAUCUUCUAACACAUCAUUAAUCUCCAACUAGAUCAUCAUCAUUAAUCUGCAAAUUCAAUCAAAACACAGAUAAUAUUAAAUGCACAAUGAGCCAAAUGAAAAAUGAAAGAAGCUUAAUAGUGUAAGUUCAGCCAGUUGUGACAGUUACCUGCGGAUAUGAUGAGUGCUUGACCAGUAUAAUUCAGGUUUGCCUUUGUCCAAGGAAUUUUUCAAACUGCAACCAACUGAUAACAAAAAGUAAAUGAGAAAAUGACAGAAAAAAGCCAGACCUGCCAUUUGAUGCAUGAAUAGAGCAGAUAUGAACUAAACAGGAAAUUCUGAAACCAUAUAAUUUGCCACCAUGGCCAUAACAAAUGAAAUAUCUUUGGCAGCCGGAUAGAUUUUCAAAUCAAGUGAAACUUAAGAUGAAUAACACAGGACAGAAGAUUAGGUAAUAGAAGACAGGGCCACAGAACAGAACACCAGGGAUCUGUAACAUUGAGGUCCUUUCCUAAAAAUAUACUCUUCAAUUAGGCACAACAAUAAGCAUCAAGCACAUACCAAAAAAAGAAAAAUAAACACUAUUCAGAACAUGGUUGGGUCUCCUCUUCAUCAUCAUUAUCAGUCACUUCUCCAUUUAUUUCUUCCCCAUUCAUCACUUUAUCUUUAGGAAUCUCACCUAAUUUAAAAAAAAAAAAACUUGUAAAAUAUAAAAAAAAAAACAAAUACUAUCAAAAUCAAAUAAGUGCAUAAGUGAGCUGAAUUUGAUACCUUUUAAUUGAGCCCAUAUCCAAUUCUGAGUACACAUUAAGGCCUCUACUGUACUCGGAUGAAGUCUACUACGAUGUGGGCUUUAUCAAAUGCAUCUUUUUUCUUGUAGACCUUAGAUGCUUGACUAGGGCUAGAAGCUGGAGCUGGAGCUGAUUCUUGUAUCUGUUUGGGACACCUAUCAAUAUGGUUUAACAAAUGUGAAGUUCCACUUGAUUGCUGUCCAGCAAAACCUUUGCCACAAUGAUUACACACUGCCUUCAUUUCUCCAUUAAUUGUUCUCCUUGUGAAAUGGUCCCAAGCUCUAGAUGCUUGUCUCAAUGAGCUUCUAGGUUGUCCUUCCGAGUCUCGUUUUGUACCUCCACUAAUUGAAUGAGUUUGUGGAUUUUCAGCAUUAACAUUACUUGAGGCUUGAGGGUUUAAUUGAACAGCAGGAUCAGAAUCAAAAUCAGACAUAAUUAACCUGAAAAAAGACAUUACAGAGCAAUUAUUAACAAUCCCUAAACUUCCAGAACUAGCUAGCUCGUUUGUUUGGAAGUAGUAGUAGUGCUUAACAUGAACCAUAUAGAGAUCAAUUAGAUGAUAAUCUAACUUCCAGCAUCCGUCAAUAUUUUAUUUCACAAUGGGAGGGCCACAUUUCCACAAAUGGCAACACCCAAUAGCAAAUGGAGCCUCAACUGAUUUCGGCCUCUAGAAGCUGAAAAAGUUUUGUUGGAAAAUUCGACUAUCAGAUUUCAAAUGAUUAUGUGAAAGGCCAUAUAUUAUAUAUACUAGCAGAUUCUUUGAAGAAAGUAACCACUGCAUAUUGAAACUCUUCCAAUUCCUCUCUCUCUCUCUCUCUCUCUGUACACACACACACACACACACACACAGAGCCAUGUAAACAAAAAUAAGAAAAAUAAUGGAAGCCAUAAAGGCAUAAGAUUUUAGGCUUGUAAAAGCUUAUUUCAUGUUUAAUCAUGGAGCCAAAUUCAUAAACUAAAUUAAACCCCAUCCAGCAAUUAAUCAAAAUCUAGAUUUGUGACUGACAAAAGGUGAAGAAAAUAUUUGCAUAAUUUUAGUAAAAUCACCAGAAAUACGGUGAAAAUGCUGGGUACUGUGAAGAUCAAUCAAAGCCAAAUAUAUAUUAAACGGCUUAUAAGCUUCAGCAAUCAAAACUUACCUUGCGCGGGAGACAACGAACAGGCGGACGGACGACGGUGGUGGCAGCGACGACAGAGACGAUGGUAGCUGGAACGAGGCAGAAAAACGCUCAAGAACAGCUGGAAGCUGCAGUUACGGCUGAUCAACCAUUGGUACAGCGCCGGCACACCUAAACGGAACCCCCGGAAAGCGGCGUCGGAGUCGGGGAAGAGCGUCGGUAAGCAAAGACCGGCCGGCGAGCGAUGUGAUAAUCUUAGGUUUUGCUAUCCAGACAUUUGUUUUUGCUUAUUUCAUUUUAGUUUUACGAUUUUAAUUUUUUAAUUUCAAAUAAGAUAUUAAUUGGAUAUUGGGUAUCCAUUGGAUAUCCAUACCCAUCCAAUUUUUAUUUGGAUAUUUUUUUAAAAUAUCCAUAUUCAUAUCCAAAAAAUUUUGGAUGGAUAUUAUCCAAUCCAAUUGGAUUGGAUGUAUGGAUAUCCAAUUUAAAUGGACCAAAUUGCCAUCCCUACUCGCAGCUCCGCCAAAUUCUGGCGUGAAGGCUUAUCACCUUCCUCUUUAAUGCAGCUUUGCAGCCCACAUCAGUCGCCAGUUGGAGUCAAAUUAAUGAAAAAUUUAGGGUCGUGUAAUUGGUCUCAUGCAUCCACAAAUUUGAUAAAUUUUAACUCACAAUGGGUAUAAACUUAUGGUGAUUUAAUAAGAAUGCAGUGAAGAAUUAAGAGAUAUUCAAGUGCCUGCAAUUGUGUUGGUUUCCCAAAUCCCAACCAAUCCAACAUUUCAGGAUAAGGCUUUUUGUUUAAAUUAAUAGCACAACGUUCCAGAGGGAUAAUCCAAAUUCUUGUUGCGUUCUCUCAACUCUCAAUUCUCAUGAUAUUAGUUAAAGCUUCGUAAAGAACAUUUCGCAGCCUUAGAUGGAGGAAUCUGAAGCAGAGAUGGCGUCAUUGCCCAAAGAUUAAGGCUUUGAAUUAACUCUUUCCUGGCAUGUUUCUUUGAUUCAUGAGGAUUUACAUUUUCUUUUCUUUUUUUCACAAUACAUUAAUUAAAAAUUAUACAAGUGGAAGAAGGAAGCAAGUAAAGUAAAUCAAACAUUGAACAUGACAAGGCACAAGAAGCAAGCGAGUCUCAGGUAUCAAGCUUUCCUAGGCGACAACCAAGUUCAACAAAGCAAAGGUGAAGCAAGGCAAACAAGAAUUCAAGCCGCACGUCAUAGAUCACGAAAGUGAAGACUCACCAAGCUUCAACACAGUGAACAAAUCAAGGCUGCUUAUUCUGUAUUUGAUGGCUCUCUCUGUGAUUUUUUUAUUCUGCUUUCAUUUAAUUAUUUUGUUAAUUCCUUUGUUUCUUGAUUAAAUAUCAAACAGUUAAGUGAGGUCCUGGAGGAUCAUGAUCGGUCAUCUAACACUCUCAAACACGAGUUCUUGAUCUAACUUCCACAAACCUGCGAAGUAUUUUGACUUUAGUUGGCAAAUGAAAACAAGGGUUUUAACAUCAAAGGAAAUGGUACCAAGGAAGAUGGCCAAUUCGGGAAUUAAGAUCACAAAGGAAGCAGAGGAGCUCUGUCGUUGGUCCCUGCAGUAUGCAAGUGAUUUUGAUCCUAAUCUCUCAACUUCACAUCUAUUAUUGCUGGCCUAUCUUCUUCCGACACAGAGAGACAUUUCAAGGCAAGUUCUACAAGAAUUUGCAAUUGCUUCGAUUUUCCUUGACCCGGUUGAAUUCCAACGACAAUGGGGUCUAUUAUCUCAACAAACCUAUUAUUAUCAAUAUGUUUCUUGACCCAAUCCUUAAAUAAAGUUUCAUCAAGACAACAUUGAAAAUCAUAUAUCUUCUUGCCAGUCAAAAGCUCAAGCAGCAAGGCAGCAAAGCUAUUAUUUUUCUCUGAAUGCUCCAUGAGAAUGGUAUUUAUGUUAUGAUUCAACCUAAACCUGAUAAGAUAUUGUCUGUUUUAAGCCUUAACAAGGCCACAUGGUUUUGUUUCAAGGACACCAAUACAUCCCGAAACUCAUCUUAUCAAUAAAAGUGUGGAUUACCUCUUAUAAACUCAACAUCUCUCUUGUACUUCGUCAAUGUGAGAUUUGCCUAGGCUGUUACAAUUUAAGUGCCAUAAAUCCAAAUUUGGCGAUUGUGUGAAGUACUCUUAUGCGUAUUUUAACAUCAGAAACAAAAAUUGGUGACAAGGAGGUAUUACAUGCGUUAUCAUUAAAUUAAUAUACGCACUAAUCUCAAAGUAUGUGUUAUAUACAUGUUCUUAAUGUGGCUCACAUUCAUGAGUUUGAGAUGAAUUAAGACUCAUGAGUUUGAGAUGAAUUAAGACUACUCACAUUUUUUUGAUUAGAUAAUGAUAAAGAGUAGUUGCUCCAUAUUUCUAAAAAAUUAAGAUGAGGAUAAUUUCUCAUUUUCUUGAUGGAGGGUGUUGAUGCGAGAUUCCGGUUCUCCUCGUUCUACGACCAGGAUCUCUGCUCGAUCAACUUCACCACGACCAGAAGGUCUCCCAGUAAUGCUUCCUCUCCAGAUGUCCCUGCACAAACAGACAAGUCAGAGUACGCCGGUUGUUCUCCCGGCGCAAACCCUCCGACGCUCAAGUCAGAUAUCAAGGUUCAGGGAACGCUUGCCACAGGUCUUAUGGCUUUUUCGUGGUUUUUCUCUUUAAUCUAAAAAAUGCCAACCUUUUUACCUUCGUUGGCUACCUUUUUAUAGGCUUCCUCUGAAUCUCAGUCUUCCGCUCUUUUCGAGACGGUAUGGGACUCUAACUGCUGCGUUAUGGGCAAACGUGGGGUCUAGCGUGUUACGCCACGGUUCAGGGGAAAGCGUGGCUGUCAUGGCUCUGUGGGACCUUGCGUGUUACGCCACGGUUCUGGGGAAAGCGUGGCUGUCAUGGUUCUGUGAGAUCUUGCGUGUUACGCCACGGUUCUGGGGAAAGCGUGGCUGUUGUGCCUAGAUUUUCGUGCUGGAGAGCAUGUCUUGCCAACUGCCGUCGACCGGGUCUCCUCGCCUCUCGACCUCUAGCCGGAAUGGCCUUAUGCCUCUUAUAGGAAAUUAGCCUCACGGAUGACAACAUCGUGGACGAGCAGGAUAUUUCUGCUCCUGUUCUUCCGCGCACCAGGCUUUUACGGAACACACCGGUUCGCAGAACUCCGCCAUCAGAUAUCUGCUCGUCAUUCCUGGUCUCGUCAACGUAUUUAUCCCAAACAGUAUCUCUCCCAAACACCGGUCCCCCAGUUUCUGGUGUUGGGUAAUAUAGUGGACCAGCAGUAGAAACUCGAUAGUACUCGCUCGCGUGGGAUUGGAAAAGGCUGCCAAGAGUCAUGUCGCAUUUAAUUGCGGACGAGGUGACGUGGCAGAAAUCCCCCCCUCCAUUUGAAUUUCAAACCGACGGUCAUGAGAUCCUCGGGAUUCGGCGCAGUUAUAUGCUGGCGACCCAAGAGUCCGUCCUCAUUUGGAAAGCCAAAUUCUCUCGAACGGCAUAUUCACCACUCACUCCGUCUCCGUCUCUGUUUCUCCGGCAAAGAAGUUCCGGCACAAAGCCCCCCAUCCUUGCCUUUCUCCGAUUGGAGCAGUACUUCAGGUAUUACUUCUCUCUCCUCGGUCUCGGAUAGUUUGUAGAUAACUUCUUUUUCUUUCGUUUGGGUAGUAGUUAGUGGCGUUGUGGUUAGAGUUUAGGGAAUGUCGAAAGGCAAAGAGAAGGUUAUUGUGGUUGAUGACGACGAGUUGGACUUCUUGCCUAGUCUGCUCACCGAUCCUGCCUUUGACCCCGAGGUCCCCUUAGAGCCUAUUAGGUCUAGUGUCAGGACUAGUGCUAGGAGGAUGUCUCCCCAAACGACCUCUACGAGCGGAAGUAAUGGCGAGGAGAGAUCUUCUGACUCCGAGGACACUUUGAGUGAGGGUCGAGGAGAUGAUUCUGGUGAGGCGUCCCCAUCAGGAGCGCCGCGACCGGAAGGGAGGAGUAGAAUAGGAGGUAGAGCCCUAUCGCGGGAUUACGCUAUUGAUUACAUGACGUGCACGACCACGUUUGAUGAGCUCGAGGACCUCCGGCUGAGGUAUAGCAUUCCUGGUGAAAUACUUCUCAAGGUCCCAGGAAAGAAGGAUGCUCCCAGCCGCCCUCCUAGGGGAUAUGUUACCCUGUAUCUGGACAGCUUUAAGUACGGGCUGAGGUGUCCCUUGCAACCUUACUUUGCCCGGAUACUUAACGGGCUAAAUCUAGCUCCUGGUCAGCUGAAUCCCAAUGGGUGGAAAGUGCUCUCUGGUCUGUUCAUUUUGUGGGACAGAUGUUGCCAAAGCGAGCCCACGGUUGAUGAGGUGAAGCACCUGUACCAGCUAAAGAGCAGCCCCAAAGAUGCCGGCUGGUACUACUUCCAAUCUAGCACCAAGAGCAGGAAACCUAUAACCGACCUCCCUACUGGUGGUGGCGGGAAUUGGAAGAGAAAGUUCUUUUUUGCUGGGGGUCCUUGGGGUCAGGUCGCACAAGUGGACGGGAAGGAUUAUCGGGUCCCACCCCGUUUCACGGUCCCAGGUUGCCUGCUCGCUUCAGAUGCCUUGUAUCCAUACUUGUUCUUGUUUUAUUGGCUUGUUUCUAACCAAGUGUCUUGUUUGUGUUGUAGUUUCUUGGGGUGUUCACUUCCCGCUCGAACCUGACCAGCUCAAACGGGUCGAGGCGGUACUGGCCAAUUCCUGCUCGAGCCGAGAACUGUUAAGUACAUACAACUUGCUCGAGUCUCGCUUGAUACUUCCUGGCCAUAGGAUGGAGGACGCUGUGAUUGGGGCUUUGACCCGAAAACGUUCUCGACCUCCAACCACGAAGAGGGACGAGAGUAAGGAUGCCCCUACUGCAAAGCGGGCCAACAUCGUGCAGCAGGCCCCACCCUUGAAGAUUUUACCUCCUGCUCCUGUAAAAGUUGGGGAACCUAGUGGAGCAGCCACAGAUCCCGCUACCUCUUCUCCUCCUGUCGGGCCUCGGUCUCGCUUACCUGACAGCCGAGCAGAACAUCUGGUCCCUUACCUCAAUGAGUUAGUUAAACUGGUGAGCAAGGAGGAGCUGGAGGACUUUGAUGGCCGCACCUUGGGUGAGCUGGUGGGGGCCAUUCAGCAUAGCGCCUUCCACCUCAGCUGCAUGACCACCUACUACAAGGCUAAGGUGGGCCGCUACGACCGGAAGAUGAAGGGGGAUAUUCAGUCGGCGACGACCAGAGCUGACGUUGCCGAGAAGAAAGCAGGGGAGCUGAAUCUCGAGAACCUGAAGCUGAUAGAGCAAGAAUCACUUGCUCAGGCAAAAGCCAUUACCCUCGAGGAGGAGCUUACCAAGGUCAAGGAGGAUCUGCAAAGGCAGAAGGCAAUGUAUGAGGCUCAGCUCGAAUCUCUCCGCGACUCCCACCGAGCUCAGGUCGAGAACUUGGAGAGGGAGGCCGACAACCAGUACGACCAGGGACUUCGGCAUUCCUAUCGUUGCAUCAUGGCCGUCCUCGGGAAGCAACACCCUGACCUGAAGAUGGAUGACCUUGCAGCUGGUGUUGCUCAGCAUAUGGAUGAGGAGGCGGCCAAGGAAGAUGCCGAGGGGGUAGAGCCGAUCGCGAUCGAGGAGGAAAGUUCUCCUCGUGCAGUCCCUGCUGAUGUUGGCGAGGCGAGCACCCCCCCGGACGCAACUGGUGAUACCCCCCCUGCACCCGAGGAGGUCCAGCCAACCGAUGCUGCUCGGCUCACUGAUCCACCAUCUUUUUGAUGUAUUUCUUUUUGUGUUGUAAUGAACAACGUUUAUGAAAUUUAUCCCCUCUGUUAGCCAUUAACACAUUAAUAAAAAUGUUGUUGUUGAUUACUUUCUUGUGUUGUAAUUACGAAUUAUUUUUCGUCUGAAACCCUGCUCGCUUUUGUCUGAUUGAGCAGGAUCUGGCUUGGCGUAUGGUUUUGCCUAUUCUUAAAAUUUUUUUUUUUUUUUUUUUGCUUGGGGGGAUCUGCUCGUCUUCGCGUGGUCGAGCGGGUCCUGGCACGCUUGGCUUCAGUCUUGCCAUAAACAGGCUUUGACUUGGUGAGGCCUUUGCGGGCCUUAGAAAACUUUUCCGAAUACUUUGGAGUCUGCUCGUCUUCUCAUGAUCGAGCUGAUCCUGGCAUGUUUGGCUUUUGUCUCGCCAUAAAACAGGCUUUGAGACUUGACGAGCCUUUGCGUGCCUUUGGAAUUUCUUCAAACGAUUUGGAUUCUGCUGCCUUCUCGUGGCCGAGCAGAUCCUGGCAUGCUUGGCUCCUGUCUCGCCAUAAGACAGGCUCUGAGACUUGGCGAGCCUUUGCAUGCCUUAGGAAUUUCUUCAAACGAUUUGGAUUCUGCUGCCUUCUCGUGGCCGAGCAGAUCCUGGCAUGCUUGGCUUCUGUCUCGCCAUAAGACAGGCUCUGAGACUUGACGAGCCUUUGCAUGCCUUAGGAAUUUCUUCAAACGAUUUGGAUUCUGCUGCCUUCUCGUGGCCGAGCAGAUCCUGGCAUGCUUGGCUUCUGUCUCGCCAUAAGACAGGCUCUGAGACUUGGCGAGCCUUUGCAUGCCUUAGGAAUUUCUUCAAACGAUUUGGAUUCUGCUGCCUUCUCGUGGCCGAGCAGAUCCUGGCAUGCUUGGCUUCUGUCUCGCCAUAAGACAGGCUCUGAGACUUGACGAGCCUUUGCAUGCCUUUGGAAUUUCUUCAAACGAUUUGGAUUCUGCUGCCUUCUCGUAGCCGAGCAGAUCCUGGCAUGCUUGGCUUCUGUCUCGCCAUAAGACAGGCUCUGAGACUUGACGAGCCUUUGCAUGCCUUUGGAAUUUCUUCAAACGAUUUGGAUUCUGCUGCCUUCUCGUGGCCGAGCAGAUCCUGGCAUGCUUGGCUUCUGUCUCGCCAUAAGACAGGCUCUGAGACUUGACGAGCCUUUGCAUGCCUUUGGAAUUUCUUCAAACGAUUUGGAUUCUGUUGCCUUCUCGUGGCCGAGUAGAUCCUGGCAUGCUUGGCUUCUGUCUCGCCAUAAGACAGGCUCUGAGACUUGACGAGCCUUUGCAUGCCUUAGGAAUUUCUUCAAACGAUUUGGAUUUUGCUGCCUUCUCGUGGCCGAGCAGAUCCUGGCAUGCUUGGCUUCUGUCUCGCCAUAAGACAGGCUCUGAGACUUGACGAGCCUUUGCAUGCCUUAGGAAUUUUUUCGGUUUCAAGCGAAUGAAAUUCGUUGACGUUCCAUUAAUGGCAGGAUCUGACUUACAUGAAAUUGUUCGGACAUAAAGCGUGAAAAAUAAACGAUAAUAAACAUGAGCAAAAAUAGCUUUCAAAUGUGAACAAGUCUUACUGGAAGUAUUUCCGGAGGUGUGCUGCGUUCCAUGGGCGUUUCACUUCGUGGCCAUCCGCGCGAACCAGCUUGUAAGCUCCGGACCCCGCUAUCUGCUUGACUCUAUACGGCCCUUCCCAAUUCGGUCCCAGCACUCCUUGAGUCGAGUCUUUGGUGCUCUGAUUCACUCUUCUCAGUACCCAGUCUCCGACCUUGAAUUGCCGUAUGUUCACCUUCUGGUUAUAAUACCGAGCAACCCUCUGUUGGUAAGUGACUGAUUGCUCGGCUGCUUGCUCCCUCCUUUCCGUUAGCAGGUCAAGAUUCAAACAUAUCUGCUCGUCGUUAUCGCGCUCGUUGAAAUGAUCUGUCCGGUGUGUGGUCGUUCCUAUCUCAGCCGGCACGACCGCUUCAUGUCCGAAAGCCAAAGCGAACGGUGUCUCCCCAGUUGCGGUUUUGUGGGUCGUUCUGUAUGCCCAUAACACACCUGACAGCUCGUCAACCCAAGCACCCUUUUUUGCUCCGAGUCUGGUUUUCAGAAGCCUCUUGAUGGUCUUGUUGGCUGCUUCUACUUGUCCAUUCGAUUGAGGGUGAGCAGGCGAGCAAUACUUCAGCUCUAUCCCGAGGUUCUGGCAGAAAUCCCUGAAGCUGUGAUUAUCGAACUGCCUGCCAUUAUCCGUUACCAAGGCAUAUGGGAUCCCGUACCGACAGACCAGGUUUCUCCACACGAAGUCUGUUGUUUUCUUCUCUGUGAUCCUGCUAAGGGCUUCUACCUCUAUCCACUUUGUGAAGUAAUCUAUAGCAACUAUUGCAUGUGUUGCUGCUCCUCGUCCCUUUGGCAAUGGGCCGAUCAAAUCAAUUCCCCAUUGAGCGAAUGGCCAAGGGGAGGCCAUGGAGGUAAGCUUCUCUGGUGGUUGGUUAGAGAAAUUUGCAAAACUCUGGCAGCUUGCACAGCUCCUGGUCUUCCUCUGCGCAUCCUGGUGCAUCGUCGGCCAGAAAUAUCCCUGCCUUAGAACCUUGUGGGCCAGGGACCUCCCGCCAGAAUGAUUUCCGCAAAUUCCUUCAUGUACUUCCCUCAGCACGUAAUCCGCGUCGUCAUCGUCCAAACACCGAAGGAACGGUAAUGUAUAUCCUCGCCGAUACAGUACCCCAUCGAUCAUCGUGUAUCUCGAGGCCUGAGCUCUAAUCUUCCGAGCUCGCAGCUUAUCUGGUGGUAAGACCCCGUCUCUAAGGUAUGAAACUAUCGGGUCCCUCCACGAGCCUUUUUGUUCUAUCCGCAACACCCCCAAAUUCUGCUCGAUACUUGGGCUGGACUUCACCUCCAGAGGGACAGACUUUGGCAUUUUCGGGUCGGCUACUGCUGCCAUCCUAGCCAAAAUGUCUGCUCGACUAUUCUGCUCCCUGGGGAUUUGUAUCACCUCAACUGCUUCGAACUUCCCCAUCAUCUGUCUGACUAUCUUCAGGUACUGCUCCAUCUUCUCCUCUCUUGGUUGGAAUCUUUCACUGACAUGAUUCGCAACCAGCUGGGAAUCCGUUCGGAUCCUAACUCUGUCUGCUUUUACGGCCUUAGCCAAUUCCAGACCUGCUAUCAAGGCUUCAUACUCUGCUUGGUUAUUGGUGGCUGCAAAUUCCAAUUUUAUAGCAUAAGAGAUCUCCUCCCCCUCUAGGCCUUCCAAGACAAUCCCUGCUCCUGAACCCCGCUCCCCUGAUGACCCAUCCACGGAUAUCUGCCAUACUUGAGUUUCGUCGUUGCCUAUAACUGCAUCUUGUUGAUCUAAGCAUACUUCGGGCUCUGCGAACUCAGCUACGAAAUCGGCCAUUGCCUGGGCCUUUAUCGCUGCGCGGGGUUUAUAGUCUAUAUCGAACUCGCUCAGCUCUACAGCCCACUUGACGAGCCGACCAGAGGCAUCUGGCUUGUGCAGAAUUUGACGCAAUGGCUGGUUGGUUAUUACCGAGACCGGGAAUGCUUGAAAGUAUGGCCUCAACUUCCGAGCAGCAACCACAAGGGCGAGUGCCCAUUUCUCCAACGGUGGGUAUCUGGUCUCAGUGUCGAGCAGGGCCUUGCUGGUGUAGUAUAUCGGAUACUGAACUCCUUCUUCCUCUCUCACCAGAACGGAACUGGCGGCCCGAUCCGAUACCGCCAAAUACAGAUUCAACUUGUCCCCUUCCCUCGGUGUGGACAGUAGCGGAGCCUGCUGCAAGUAUUGCUUCAAGUUCCGGAAGGCUUCCUCGCAUUCUGGGGUCCAUUCCGUUUUCUUUCCCCUCCUUAUCACUUGGAAGAAUGGCUGACACUUAUCUGUAGCCUUGGAUAUGAAUCUGCUCAACGCCGCCAACCUCCCCGUGAGGCUCUGCAUCUCCUUCAGGUUUCGAGGAGACGUCAUUUGCACAAUCGCCUGGAUCUUCUCGGGAUUUGCUUCAAUCCCCCUAUGGCUCACCAUGAAUCCCAGGAAUUUCCCUGACUCGACCCCAAAAGCAUACUUCUCCGGGUUGAGCUUCAUCUUAUACUUCCUCAAAAGCUCGAACGUCUCCUCGAGAUGUCUGACAUGUUCCUUCGGGAUUUUGGACUUGGUGAUCAUGUCGUCCACGUACACCUCCAUGGUUUUCCCGAUCAAGGGCUUAAAGACUUUAUUCACCAGCCUUUGAUAAGUGGCCCCAGCAUUCUUGAGACCGAAUGGCAUCACCCUGUAACAGAACAAACCUUGGUUAGUGAUGAAAGCCGUGCUCUCCUCAUCCGGCUCGUACAUGGGGAUCUGGUUGUAUCCCGAGAAUGCGUCCAUGAAGCUAAGCAGACCAUGUCCAGCCGUUGAAUCUACUAGCUGAUCGAUCUUUGGUAAAGGGAAGCUGUCUUUUAGGCACGCCUUAUUGAGGUCCGUGAAAUCCACACACAUCCUCCACUUGCCGUUUGCCUUCUUUACCAACACCACAUUUGAUAUCCACUCUGGGUAAUUGACUUCCCGAAUGGACCCUACUCUCAGAAGCUUCUCCACCUCAUCAUUUACAGCCUCAUACCUCUCCUGGUUGAAGCACCUCCUCUUCUGCCUUACUGCCCGAGCACCUUUCUUUAUUGCCAGCUUAUGACAUGCUACCUCUAGGUCAAUCCCUGGCAUGUCUUCAUGUGUCCAGACAAACACGUCAGCAUGAGCCUGUAAGCAUUUCACCAACUCCUGCUUUUGCUCUCCCUUAAGUCUCGACCCGAUUCUGAUCGUCUUUCCCGGGUUCUCUGGUCCCAUGCUUACUGUUUCCAGAUCCUCUACGGGUUCUUGUCUGCCAGUCUUGUUUUCUACUCGGGUAUCGAGGGAUGUUAUCUGCAUUGCCUCCCUUGCUGCCGAGGAGUAGCAGCUUCUUGCGAUCCUCUGGUCUCCUCGUACCACUCCGACUACCCCAUUCACCCGAUAGUUCAGAGCCAGAUAGUGGUUGGACAACACCGCUUUGCUCAUCCUUAAAAAUGGCCGACCUAGGAUCAUUUGGUAAGGACCUUCCUCAUCCACUACGACGAAGUCCAGUAUCAUUGUUCUUUCUGUCGGGGGGCUCCCAAUUGUGAUAGGCAGUUCGACCACGCCCAGAGGGACCAGCUUCCCUCCUCCGAACCCCUUCAAGGAGGUGUUGGUGUAUUCCAGCUUCCGGUCGGCUAUUCCCAUCUCUUCCAGGGUUGACUUAAAUAACACAUCAACUGAGCUCCCUGUAUCAAUCAGUAUCCGGUCAAACUUCUUGCUAGCGAUAGUAGCCUUGAUGACUAAGGCAUCCUCGUGGGGGUAUAGAAUCCCUUCCUCAUCCUGCUCCGUCCACAUGAUUGGCACUUGCCUGACCCUUGCUCGUUUAGCUGCUGGGGUGUUGAGGAGUACCUCUUUGCUGGUCAUGGCGUACCUAGCAUAAUUCUUCCUCGAUCUGUUCGAAUCUCCGGCCAACGUUGGGCCCCCAGCUAUCACCCUUACUGCGGGCUGCUCGCGUCUCAUGGUUCUAUCACUCUGCUCCCCUUCAUCUGUUGUGGCCACCAUCGGAAAAGUCCCAUCCAUAAACUCGUCCAGGUACCGAUUUCUCACCAGAUCUUCGACCUGGGUCUUGAGAUCUCUACACUCUGCUGUGGUAUGGCCAUGGGUGCCAUGGAACUUACAAUAACGUCCUCUAUCCCUUCUGUUGGGCAGCUUUGUUAUUGGUGUAGGGAGGUGCAGCAGCCCUCGAUCCUUUAUGGCCUCGUACACCUCAUCCAGGGGCAUCCUCAGGGGAGUGUACCGCCCAUAGUCCUGGUUCUGGUCGACCAGAUGCACUGCUCUUUCUCUGUUUGCCCCACUGUGAGUUGGGGGCGGUGGAAGUGCUUCUGGUCUGCUCGCCCUGUUACCGUGGGAAUGUUGAUGAAGACCACCGGAUGCCGAAUCAUGCCUUCUCCAAGGCUCCCUAGCUGGGGAACGAGGAGGUGGCGCCUUGCUGCGCUGAUACUGUGGCGGCCUCUGAUGAGGCUGGUAAGCAAUCACCCUACCUCCUGAUCCAUUACCGGAGACUUGGUGGUCCCUCCUCCUGACCGGCCCAUUCCCUAGUAAUGCUUUCUUCUCUUUCCUCCCUAAUCCUUCCAACUGGUCUGUCUUGAUCCGUGCAGCCUUCUCCUCCUCAAUCUCGAUGUCUCUUUUAGCCUGUUCGUAUGCGGCUGCAUACGUUUGAAUAGCUGGGCUUCUCAAAUUGUACCACAGCCUUCCUAUCUUCACCCCUUCUUUCAAUCCCCUUAACGCCUGAGGGUGGUUGAAGGCUCCCAAGUCGAGGACAGCCCGAUGAAACCUCUUGAUGAAUUCCCAAAGGGUUUCUUGCUCCCCCUGUUUCAUGCUUUUCAGCUCCAUCAUGUCAUCUUCCGGUGACAUUGCCCCACUAAACUGCUCUGCGAAUUCCUGGCACAUCUGCUCGAAGGUUUUAAUGCUGCCCCGAGGAAGUUUCCUGUACCAUUCUCGUGCACGUCCCUCAAGGGAUAGUGGGAACACCCUGCACCUUUGGGAUGGAGAUAAUCCCUGUACCCCCGUCAUGUCGUUGAAGCGCUCUAUGUGCAUCAGCGGGUCAGUUCUUCCCGAGUAUCUGAGGUCGGGGAGGCGAAAAUCUCUCGGAAUAACUGCCCUCAUGAUCUCUGCUGCGAGCGGUGAUUCUCCGUCCAGCAUUAUCCUCCAACCAGGGGCUCUGUUCCUCCCUUGCAUGUCGUCAAUUAUUUGCGCUAGCCUUCGCACUUCCUCCUCCAGCUGCCCUGCACGACCAGGGUCACGUGCUGCAACUUGAUCCCGCUCUCGCUCUACAUCAUGCAAGUGUUGCCUUAGCUCUGUUUCCUCUGCAUUCACCACCCCGUCGCCCUCGUCACAAGUCUGUCUUGCCGGGGACUGCUCUCUUUCUCUAUGAAAUUCACCCCGCAGGGGUACGUUACCUCUCUCACCACCAAAUCUCCCUGCGGUUUGACUUCUCCCCGCACUAUCGGGACCUGGUGCCGCUCCACCGCCUCUAACCCUUCCCUUUUGGGUUACCCUUCGCUCGUUCCGCAGCUCAUGCAGGAUGGUUGUGAAGGUCUCCAUCUGCUUUUCCAUUCGUUCCAUCCGGUCGAACAUGACUUUUUCCCGUGCUUCGCUGAUUACCUCCCUCAGCGUCACGGAAUCGUUAAGCCUCAUGUCACCCCCUUGUGCGCUACUUCCUCCUAUCUCCAUUGCUUUUCGCUUACUCCACCCCUCUUCUUGCUAUCGACAGAAGCUUUUUGCUCUGAUUUCCCACAGACGGCGCCAAAAUGUUGAUGCGAGAUUCCGGUUCUCCUCGUUCUACGACCAGGAUCUCUGCUCGAUCAACUUCACCACGACCAGAAGGUCUCCCAGUAAUGCUUCCUCUCCAGAUGUCCCUGCACAAACAGACAAGUCAGAGUACGCCGGUUGUUCUCCCGGCGCAAACCCUCCGACGCUCAAGUCAGAUAUCAAGGUUCAGGGAACGCUUGCCACAGGUCUUAUGGCUUUUUCGUGGUUUUUCUCUUUAAUCUCAAAAAUGCCAACCUUUUUACCUUCGUUGGCUACCUUUUUAUAGGCUUCCUCUGAAUCUCAGUCUUCCGCUCUUUUCGAGACGGUAUGGGACUCUAACUGCUGCGUUAUGGGCAAACGUGGGGUCUAGCGUGUUACGCCACGGUUCAGGGGAAAGCGUGGCUGUCAUGGCUCUGUGGGACCUUGCGUGUUACGCCACGGUUCUGGGGAAAGCGUGGCUGUCAUGGUUCUGUGAGAUCUUGCGUGUUACGCCACGGUUCUGGGGAAAGCGUGGCUGUUGUGCCUAGAUUUUCGUGCUGGAGAGCAUGUCUUGCCAACUGCCGUCGACCGGGUCUCCUCGCCUCUCGACCUCUAGCCGGAAUGGCCUUAUGCCUCUUAUAGGAAAUUAGCCUCACGGAUGACAACAUCGUGGACGAGCAGGAUAUUUCUGCUCCUGUUCUUCCGCGCACCAGGCUUUUACGGAACACACCGGUUCGCAGAACUCCGCCAUCAGAUAUCUGCUCGUCAUUCCUGGUCUCGUCAACGUAUUUAUCCCAAACAGUAUCUCUCCCAAACAGAGGGAAGUGAAUGAAGUCCAUUAAAUAGACUAAGGGUCCUUAGCCUAACCUAGAUACGACUUUCCAUGAGAAUUACCAAUUGAAUUAAAGGCUAUAUAGAGGAAUAGACUAGAAAAUUCUAACCAUUUUUUAAAUUAACUUAAAUAAUAAUGACUGGAGGUAGAGGUACGUAAUUUAUUUAAGUUUAUAAUCUAAACUAUAUUUGGAAAAAUACUCUUUUCAUCUCUAAGGUUUGAUGCAAUAGCCUGUUUCAUCCUUACUAUUUAAAUAAUAUCCUAUUUCAUUCCUAUUUUUUAAGCAAUAGCCUGAAACACCCUUUCAUUAGCUUAUUCUUAACUUAACUUCAACAUGGUCGAAAUAAAUAAAUAAAUGAUCAAUUAGUAUUGUUAUUCUACCAAACGUAAUUACAGACUCCUUUGUUUACUUAAAAAAAAUACACACUAAAUACAUAACAAAAUACAUUUAAAAAUAUUGCAGAAUAAAAUAUAUAAUGCAUUGGAAUUUUUUUUUUAUCUUUUAGCUUAUUCUUGACCUUAAUAAAAACAAUGAUUCUUGAUGAAAAUUAUUAUUAUUAUUAUUAUUAUUAUUUUGUUGACUUUUAUUAAAAAAAAGAAUUUAAUGAACACACAUAUAUGUGUGUGUGUGUGUGUGUGUUGCAUAUUCUUUAGUUUCAUUAAGUUAUACUUAAAUUUUAAAUUUUAAAUUUAUGCAAAAAAAAGUCAAAUGUUAUUCAAUUAUUCUUGAGAUAUUUAUUUUAAAAAGCUUUAUAUAUUUAUUUAACUAAAAAUCCUAUUUUGCUCUCAAUGAAUUAUAGAGUAAACUAUUAUAAAUUCACGGAAGGGUAUUUUGAGCUAUUAUUUGAAAAAUAAGGAUGAAACGAGUUAUUUUUUAAAAAAUAAGGAUGAAAUGGGCUAUUGUACUAAACCCUAUAAAUGAAAAGAGCCUUUUCCCAAUAUAUUUCUAUAUAUAUUAUUAAUAUUAUUAUUAAGCUAACACAAGGAUGAUGUAAAGCAUAUGUACGUGCCUCUAGACAGCAAAUUCAGAGAAGCAUUAUUGCAAAGUCAACAGUUAACCGUUCAAAGUCAGCGGGACAAUUACGUUUGGCCCUUGCUUGGAAAUUUCUAAUUUCAAUGGCAACAAAGUCAGGGGAAAAUUAAUUGUUCAAAAUCAAUAUACAAACAUGGUGGCCCUUGCUAAGAAGAUAACAUGCACGAUAAGGAUAAACAAUUACCCUAAUCUUUCUUUUGUGGACGUGUUAAUAAAAUAAAGACAGAUUGUGAAAGAGGACGUAUCUACAGAUGGCCGAUUCAGAACUUAAUUAAGAUCAUUCGUUAUAUUUAUUUUUAAUUGAGACAGAGCCUCUCAUGUUGGCGUUAAUAUGUUAGAUAAGUAUGAAUCUGAUGCAUAAUAGUACUUUUGCAAUUUUGUUUAAUUAAUUCUUAAGUUGAAAUAUAAAACAAGUCUUCCCCAAUCAACCACGAAGAAUUAAUACGCAUUUACUUUUUUAAUCGGAAAUUUAAAAUUAGUCCGAAUUUGGUUGAAGUGUUAAUUGAUGGUUUGAAUACAAAUGUCUAUAUAUGAUUUGUUUUUUUUAAUAUCUAAAUAUAAUUGACAUUACAUUUGUUUUUAUAAAUAAAAAAAAUCUUAAAUACAGUUAUUUAACAUUUAUAUCCUUGUAAGUUAAAAUGAAUAAAGGGCUUAAGUUUUAUAGUUUAGCAAAUAAGUAUAUUUAAUAGAGAUGUUUUGAGAUAUAAUAUUUACUUCUUCGUGCCUUUUCUUAUUUAUAUAAAAGUCAUAAAAGUUUACUCUUUUUUUUAAAUUCAAAUGUAAAUGUUUAAAAAUCAUAUAUAAAUUAAAAAAACAAACGAGCAAUUUUAAAAAAAUUUGAAAUAAAAAAAAUUCAAAUUUUAGACUUUUAACCAAUAAGCCUCCAUUUCACCUUGGUAAAGAGAGUAGUUGGCUACCAUGAAAUUUCUGAUCCCUGUCCAGUAUGGGCGUGUCAUGAAUUAAGCCAAGCAUUUUAAUUUUUGCCUUAAAAAAAUUUCCAUUCUCUGCUCUAGAAAAUUGAAAAAAAAAAAAAGUAAAACAUAGUUCACGUUGGUAUUAUUAUUAUAGUAGCAUCAUAAACAUCUCAAUCGUAAACCAACACCAGUUUUAUUUUGUGUGUUUACCAUUUUUCCACGGCAAUGUUACAUGGAUGUUGAUUGUACGACUUUCUUUAUCCAUGCCUUGCAUUGUUGUGUGUUUGGGAUUCGUCGGAGACUUUUCUUGGCAUUAAUCAUCUCUCAAAUUUUCAUAUCCUAACACAUAAUCAACGCGCGGACUGAAGACUUUUCUUGGCUUCAAUAAUUGAUGCAGAUUAUACACAACAGUAUAAAUUGGCAUGGAGUCCAGGAGUUUCGAUAUAACAAUAUAUCCUCAAAGCUAAUGAUAAUUAUAAUGUCAUCCAAAUUGUUCCUUCUAUUUGAAAAUAUAGCUCUGUUUUCUGUGUUGUUUUUUCAAUUGAAGCCCACAAUUGCUGAUUCUAACAAAAAAACGAUAAAGUGCAUUGAUGAGGAGAGAGAAGCGCUUCGCACUUUUAAACAGAGCUUGGUGGAUGAACAUGGCGUUCUGUCUUCCUGGGGAAGACAAGAUGACAAAAUUGACUGCUGUAAAUGGAGAGGAGUCCGCUGUAGCAACACAACAGGCCAUAUCAAGGUGCUUAAUCUUCGAACAUCCGACAAGGAAAACGCUCAGAGGAAGGUCUUGAAAGGUACAAUUAGUCCUGCUUUGCUUGAAUUGCAUGAUAUAAGACAUUUGGACCUUAGUAACAAUCACUUCAGUGCAAGCCCAGUUCCUAAGUUCCUUGGUUCGCUCAGCAAAUUGAGGUACCUCAAUCUCUCUUGUGGCACACCUUCAGAAUUCCCUCGUAAAUUGCGGGACCUUUCAGGAUUGGAAUAUCUCAACCUAGAAAACUCUAGUUUAUUUAGUGUGGGAAGCUUAGAGUGGCUUUCUCGUCUUUAUUCUUUAAGACACCUUGACCUGAGUUACAUUAAUCUCACUAAAUCUAGUGAUUGGUUUCAAGUAGUUGCCAAGCUCCAUUCCCUAAAAACAUUAGUCCUACGCUCGUGUGCUCUUCCACCUAUCAAUCCAUCGUUUAUUUGGCACUUCAAUUUGAGUACGUCUAUUGAGAACCUUGAUCUUUCUGACAACAAUCUCCCUUCUUCUUCAGUAUACCCUUGGCUUUUCAAUCUUAGUAGGAAUAUUCUUUAUCUUGACCUUGGCUCUAAUUCAUUACGAGGUUCAAUUCCAGAGGCUUUUCAACACAUGGUUUCUCUUAAAAGUCUUGAUCUCUCUGAUAGUGAACUUGAAGGUGGGAUUCCAAAAUUCUUUGGAAACAUGUGUAGCUUACAAAAGUUAGACUUGCCUCAAAACAAACUCAGUGGACAAUUCUCGCAGGUAAUUCAACAUCUGUCUGGUGGAUGCGUGGUGAAUUCACUAGAGCGGCUAUAUUUAAGUUAUAAUGACUUCACGGGGCCAGUACCUCAUCUUGGAGGAUUUUCAUCACUGGAAGCACUGAUGCUUGGCGUUAAUCGUUUAAAUGGAACAAUAGACAAAAGCCUCAGCCAGUUGUCGAAGCUCGAGUCUCUGUCACUACGUAUGAAUUCUUUCACAGGUGUUAUCUCUGAAACUUUUUUUUCCAAUAUGUCCAACUUGCAGAUGUUUGACUUGAAAGAGAACUCUUUGACUUUGAAAUUGAGCCAUGAUUGGGUUCCUCCUUUUCAACUGAAAUGGUUAAGUCUUGCCUCUUGCAAGAUGGGACCUCAUUUUCCAAAAUGGCUUCAAACUCAGAAUCAGCUUGUACUUCUUGACAUCUCCAAUGUUGGAAUCUCAGACAGUAUUCCUGAUUGGUUCUGGGAUUUGUCCAGUGAACUCUCUUACUUAAAUCUCUCUAACAAUCAUAUCAAGGGUAAACUUCCUGAUUUGUCUUUAAGGUUUGAUGGUACUCGUAGUGGUGGUACUAGUAUAGACAUCAAUUCAAACCACUUUGAGGGCCCAAUUCCACCACUUCCUUCAAAUUCGCUGUUCUUAAAUCUCUCUAAAAAUAAGUUCUCAGGAUCAGUUUCUUUCUUAUGUUCUAUUAGUGAAAACACUUGGAACUUUUUAGAUCUCUCGAGUAACUUAUUGUCUGGAGGGCUUCCCGAUUGUUGGUUGCACUUUGAUAGCCUAUUCGUUCUUAACUUGGCAAAUAAUAGAUUCUCAGGACAAAUACCGGAUUCGAUGGGUUUCCUAAAUAACAUUCGGACACUGAAUUUACACAACAAUAGGUUAGCCGGGGAAUUGCCUUCAUCUUUAAGGAAUUGCUCCCAACUGAGAGUUUUGGAUCUCGGGAAGAACGCAUUUUUUGGUGAGAUACCAACGUGGAUAGGGGAAAGUCUACAAAAUUUGAUUGUUCUUAGCCUAAAAUCUAAUAACUUUCAUGGAAAUAUAGCUUAUCAAUUGUGCCAUCUGGGAUUUAUUCAAAUCUUGGAUCUUUCUUUAAACAUUAUAUCGGGAAAUAUACCAAAGUGUUUCAAUAAUUUUUCAGCCAUGACCUAUGAAAGAUGUUCCAAUCCUACCAUUGGGUUCGCCAAAUCUUUCUUAGUUCUCCCUGGAAUUGGAUAUUACUAUAAAUAUUUGGUCAAUUUACUGUUGACUUGGAAAGGAAGUGAAAAUGAGUACAAAAGUACUUUGGGACUUGUAAGGUGCCUUGACCUUUCGAGUAACAAAUUAGAUGGAGCAAUUCCUGAAGAGAUUAUGGAUCUUGUGGGGUUGAUUGCCUUAAACCUUUCAAGAAACAAUUUAACCGGACCAAUCACUCCGAAGAUUGGUGAGUUAACAUCAUUGGAUUUCCUGGAUUUGUCUAGAAAUCUGUUUUCUGGAAGUAUUCCAUCUAGCCUCUCUCAGUUAAGUGGUCUUGGCGUCUUGGACUUGUCGUACAACAACUUGUCAGGAAAAAUCCCAUUAGGCACUCAGCUCCAGAGCUUCAAUGCUUCAGUGUACGCUGGAAAUCUUGAACUUUGUGGCCUUCCACUUGCAAAUAUGUGUCCGGAUGAAGAAUCAACUCCAAGUCCAGGCACAGACGAUGAUUCAGACACUCUAGAAGAUGAGGACGAUCAGUUUCUAACUCUCGAAUUUUACGUGAGCUCGAUUCUUGGUUUCUUUGUUGGAUUCUGGGGAGUCUGCGGAACUUUAAUGCUGAAUAGGUCGUGGAGACAUGGUUACUUCAACUUCCUGACUGGUAUGAAAGAUUGGGUCUAUGUGACAGCAGCUGUGAAUAUUGCCAAACUGCAAAGAAAGUUUAAGAACUAACUAAACGGUAAUACUCCUUAACAUUGGGUUUCAGUCAUUGUUGUCAGCUCACGUGCUUUUAAUUUCUUCAUCCUUAAAUUUUACUUUUUCUCUUAGCUUUUGUUCUGCCAACUAAUUGUUCAUCUUCCUUUUUUUUUUUUUUCAUUCACCAUCUUUUUGGCAGGGUAUCUCUGGGAUGACAUCUUGCCAUUAUUAUUCAGAGUGGUCAUUUGAUAUUUGGAAUCUUUCUGAAAAUUAACUCAUAUGAUGCACAUUGUAUUAUUGAGUAUAUGCUUAAAGAAACUUGUAUGUGGUUCUCCUUAGACCAUCGUCGAUCUAUGCGUUUAUAUACUCUGGUUAGAGUUCAAUUAUGCUAUUAAUCCAUUACAGCAAUAAAGGCAGUCAAAUUCUGCUCUGCUAUUGAUCAAUGUUUGCUCUUUUUUCCUUUUCAUUGGGUGAAUAAAUAAUAAAAGACAAAUCGAAUCUUUCUAUUUAAAGAGUUGUUGACUAAUAAAACUACUAAAUGGAUGAUAAAAUUAAUUAAUUAAUUAAUUAAACUAGAAUAAUCUUAUUGACAAAGUAGGUGGUAGGUUCGUACGAUUCCGGAUCAUUGGUACUAAAAUGUGAAGGAAGAGAUCGAACUUUACAAGAAUUUGUUCUUACUGUAUUCGAACUGGUAAUUGAUUAAAUUUGAUUAAAUUUCUAUGAUGGUGACAUAUAAUGACUUAAAUAUUAUUUUCAGAGAAUAUCACACACGACUUUUCUAUCCUAAUUUUUAUCAAUUUUCCGAACGUAUCAUCACAUACCAUCACGUUCAAGACCCGGCCAACUCUAUAACUAAGGUGUUACUAACGCACAUUAAUAUUACAUCGCAUUUUCACUGCCAUGGCCAAUUUCAGCGUUUCUCAUCAUUACUCUCUAUUUUGGCAAGUAUGGUAGGAAUCUUUAAAACAACGUACAAGAAUCAAGGGGAAGAAAUAAGAAACUGUAAAGAAACAUAAGUGGGAUAUAUAGUUUGUGAGAGCAUUCAAUUCAGUUCGUGGGGGCAUAAGCUUAAAUAAUUGAUGCAAUUUUAAGAGGUUUUUUUCCCCCCCUUGUACAAGGCUAGCUCUGUGUGUGACACUAUGAGCACACAACAGUGGUGAAUAAUAUUGCCAAAUUGCAACAAAGCUGUAGGGGCUAAAAGUUAAGUGUUUGAAUAUAUAAUAUUACCAAAUUGUUAAUGCUUAUAGGCUAUGUUUGGGAGCUAGGAUUAAUUGUAGGAUUGGACUAAUUAUUGGGACGAAAUAUUAAUACCAUGUUUGGCAUGCUUACUGGGAUUGGACUAAUGGAAUAAAUUCAAAUUUUAAUCCUAAAUUCAUGGGAUCAAUAAUCAUAAUUUUUAUGUGGGUUUAGUUGGGACUAGAUACUGUCAAGAAAAAUAUUUGUCCAUUUAUAAUAUCUUCCAUAAUUUAUUACACCAUUUUAUUUAUAACUUAAAAAUUAUUUAUUUAUGUUUUUAAUUAAGUAAUUUAUUUUUAUUCAUGAUUUACUCAAAAGUUAUUAAUUAAUUUAUUAUUUGAAUAAUUUUAUUUAUUUUAUUUAAUUAAAUGAUAUAUCUCAUUUGAAAUAACUAAAUUUAAAUAAUUUAUACUUCUUUAUUUGUGUGUGUGUAUAUAUUUCUUUUAAGCUUGUUAGUCUUCUGAACUUGUAAUUGGAGAAUUUUGAAACUUUCGCUACAUUUAUGAUUUGAGAGAGAAAUGUCAAGUGUUCAAUUUGUGGAUUUAUUUAAUAAAAUUUGAGAUAUUUCAGUUUGAAAUUUUGUAUAAGGAUUUCGAUAUGUAAACAACCUCCUACUACCACGUGCUCCACACGUGAUAAAUUUGGAGUGUUACAGUUGUUAUGCUUUACAUAUCCAAAUUGAUUAAGUUGAAAAUUAGGGUAAGAUGAUUAAGUUCUAGGGUUUUACUCAAGAGAAUUCAAGAGAGAAAAGAUGAGGAAUUUAAGAAUUCAGAGGAGAGAGAGAAGAAUUAAUAAGGGUUGGAAUUAAUUUUAUUAUUGCUUGCUUAAAAAAAUAAUGAGAAUCACUUAUUUAUAGUAGCUCAACACACUCCUAAUUCUAAUCUAAUUAGAAUCUUAAACUAUAAUUGCAACAAAAAAACCUAAUCCUAAUAGGAAAGAAGUUAAAAUAAACUACUACGGUUAUGUAGAGAUUUGAUUGAAUUGCUAAUCUUAUAAAACCAAAACUCUGCCCAUGAUCUUUGACUAGGACCAACAUAAGUUGCACACAAGCAAUAAAAUUGAACCAGAAUCUAUUCAAUAUCCUCUCCAGUCUCAAAAGACAUAACCACUCAAUAACAUAAAUUAAACAGCAUAAAAGAAUGAAUCAGAAACAAAAUCAGAGAGAGAGCAAGACAUAACGUGGUUCAAUCUUUUUUUGAGUCCGCACUCUGUUAUGAGUAAAACGCAAGCUUUCAUGUCGUUUUACAUUAAGUAAUCACGAGCUCCCUCACGUGACUUCAUAACGGAAUUAACCGAUAGCCAAUACGCUGCCGUUUGCUCUGGUUUAUAUUUGAAUUCAUUAACUCUACAGGUUCUAAUAGAUUCUAAUAUGAUUUUGUUUCAAAAUCAAGAUUGAAGAUCAUCCACGGCAGUAGGAGAUUUAAGUUGGAUGACUUAUGGUGUUGACAGUCUUUUUUUUCUUUUAUUUCCAGAAUUUAUUUCCUCCUUUGCAAGUUGUGUUCUCUCAAGACUCACAGCUCUGCCAAAUUCUGGCGUGAAGGCUUAUCACCUUCCUCUUUAAUGCAGGUUUGCAGCCCACAUCAGUCGCCAGUUGGAGUCAAAUGAAAAAUUUAGGGUCGUGUAAUUAGUCUUGUGGUGAUUUAAUAAGAAUGCAGUGAAGAAUUAAGAGAUAUUCAAGUGCCUGCAAUUGUGUUGGUUUCCCAUCUCUGCAAUUGUGCCAGAGGGAUAGUCCAAAUUCUUGUUGCGUUCUCUCAACUCUCAAUUCUCAUGAUAUUAGUUAUAGCUUCGUAAAGAACAUUUGGCAACAUCAGAUGGAGGAAUCUGAAACAGAGAUGGCGUCAUUGCCCUAUGAUUGAGGCUUUGAAUUAACUCUUUCCCAGCAUGUUUCUUUGAUUCAUGAGGAUAUACAUUCUCUUUUUUUUUCAUAAUACAUUAAUUAAAAAUUAUACAAAUGGAAGAAGGAAGCAAGUAAAGUAAAUCAAACAUUGAACAUGACAAGGUACAAAAGGCAAGCGAGUCUCAGGUAUCAAGCUUUCCUAGGCGACAAUCAAGUUCAACAAAGCAAAGGUGAAGCAAGGCAAACAAGAAUUCAAGCCGCACGUCAUAGACUCACCAAGCUUCAACACAGUGAACAAAUCAAGGCUGCUUACCAGUAUUUGUUGUACAAGCAAACUUCUCAGUUUUAUGUCACAACAGAUGGUAUCUCGUGUUCUUGAGCAGAGAAGAUACAAUAAUAUUUACCAUUAGAAUCUGCUAUCAACUCUGUUAAAUGUUGUUGCUCCAUGACCUGUGUCUUCAUUUUCGCUAUGCUUUAAAUUUUCUUAAAAUCUAACUCAUUUUGAAAAAAAAAGAAACCCAUUUCAAUAAGACCAGUUUAUAUAAAUGCAUAAAGAAGCCAAGCCAGAUUUGGCUGGCGAGUGGUGAAUUGUGUGAUCUAAUUGUGAUCGUAUAUAAAGCCAUUAAGUUUACGGUUUGGUUAAUUAUGUACCGUAUAACAAGGUCUUUAUAAUUUCAACUUGUUCGUGAAUAAUCAACAAAGCUAUUGCUCUGUUCUUCAAGAGGACUUGGGCCAUAUCUUAGGCUGAACCUCAACUACUCUGUAUUUGAUUACUCUCUGUGAUUUGUUGAUUCUGUUUUCAUUUGAUUACUCUGUUAAUUCCUUUGAUUCUUGAUCAAAUAUCAAAAAGUUAAGUGAGGUCCUGGAGGAUCAUGAUCGGUCAUCUAACACUCUCAAACACGAGUUCUUGAUCUAACUUCCACAAACCUACGAAGUAUUUUGACUUUAGUUGGCAAAUGAAAACAAGGGUUUUAACAUCAAAGGAAAUGGUACCAAGGAAGAUGGCCAAUUCGGGAAUUAAGAUCACAAAGGAAGCAGAGGAGCUCUGUCGUUGGUCCCUGCAGUAUGCAAGUGAUUUUGAUCCUAAUCUCUCAACUUCGCAUCUAUUAUUGCUGGCCUAUCUUCUUCCGACACAGAGGGACAUUUCAAGGCAAGUACUACAAGAAUUUGCAAUUGCUUCACUUUUCCUUGACCCGGUUGAAUUCCAAUGACAAUGGGGUCCAUUAUCUCAACAAACCUAUUAUUUUCAAUAUGUUUCUUGACCCAAUCCUUAAAUAAAGUUUCAUCAAGGCAACAUUGAAAAUCAUAUGUCUUCUUGCCAAUCAAAAGCUCAAGCAGCAAGGCAGCAAAGCUAUUAACAUCGCAAUUUUCUCUGAAUGCUCCAUGAGAAUGGUAUUUAUGUUACCAUCCAACUCAAACCUGGAAAGAUAUUGUCUAUUUUAAGUCUUAACAAGGCCGCAUGGUUUUGUUUCUAGGACACCCAUACAUCCCAAAACGCAUAUUAUCAAUAAAGGUGUGGAUCAGCUCUUAUAAACCCAGCAUCUCUUUUGUACUUUGUCGAUGUGAGAUUGUCUUGGGUGUUACAAUUCAGGUGCCAUUAAUCCAAAUUUGGCCAUUGUGUGAAGUACUCUUAUGUGUAUUUUAACCUCUGAAACAAAAACUGGUGACAUGGAGGUAUUACAUGCAUUAUCAUUAAAUUAAUAUACGAGCUACUCUCAAAGUAUGUGUUGUAUGCAUGUUCUUAAUGUGGCUCACAUUCAUGAGUUUGAGAUUAAUUAAGGCUACUCACAUUUUUAUGAUUAGAUAAUGAUAAGAAUAGUUGUUCCAUAUUUCUAAAAAAUUAAGAUAAGGAUAAUUUCUCAUUUUCUUGAUGGAGGGAAGUGAAGGAAGUCCAUAAAAUAGACUAAGGGUCCUUAGCCUAGCCUACAUACGACUUUCCGUGAGAAUUACCCAUCGAAUUAAAGGCUAUAUAGAGGAAUAGACUAGAAAAUUCUAACCAUUUUUUCAAUUAACUUAAAUAAUAAUGACUGGAGGUAGAGGUACGUAACUUAUUUAAGUUUAUAAUCUAAAAUAUAUUUGGAAAAAUGUUUUUUUCAUCCCUAAGGUUUGAAAUAGCCUAUUUUAUCCUCACUACUUAAAUAAUAGUCUGUUUCAUUCCUAUUUUUUAAGUAAUAGCCUGAAACAUCCUUUCAUUAAUUUAUUGUUAUUAUACCGUAUAAUUCAUUGAGGGCAAAAUAAGAUUUCUAAAUAAUGAUCAAUUAUUUUAAAAUAAACUCUCAAAUACAAAUAAAAAAUAUCUGUCUUUCUACAUAAAUUUAAAAUUUAAGGAUUACUUAAGAAAGAAAAAAAUAACAUUAAAUAAUAUGUAAAAUAUACAUUUAGGACAAAAAAAACCCAUAGAUUUCACAAGCACUAGAUUAUUAUUUUUAUCCUUUAGCUUAUUCUUAACUUUAAUAUGGUCGAAAUAAAUAAAUAAAUGAUCAAUCAGUACUGUUAUUCUACCAAAAGUAAUUAUGGACUCCUUUAUUUACUUAAAAAAAAUACACACUAAAUACAUAACAAAAUACAUUUAAAAUACUGCAGAAUAAAAUAUAAUGCAUUGGAUUUUAUUUUUUUUAAUCUUUUAGCUUAUUCUUGACCUUAAUAUAAACAAUGAUUCUUGAUGAAAAGAAUUAUUAUUAUUAUUAUUAUUAUUAUUAUUAUUAUUAUUAUUAUUAUUAUUAUUAUUAUUAUUAUUAUUAUUAUUAUUAUUAACUUUGUUAAAAAAAGAAUUUAAUGAACACACACAUAUGUGUGUGUGUGUGUGUUGCAUAUUCUUUAGUAUUAUUUUUGUUUCAUUAAGUUAUACUUAAAUUUUAAAUUUAUGCAAAAAAGUCAAAUGUUAUUUAAUUAUUUUUGAGAUUUUUAUUUUAAAAAGCUUUAUAUAUUUAUUUAACUAAAAUUUUUUUAUUUUACCCUCAAUGAAUUUCAGAGUAAACUAAUUAUAAUUUUAUUUUACCCUCAAUGGGCGUGUCAUGAAUUAAGCCAAGCGUUUUAUUAUUAUAUUAGCAUUAUAAACAUCUCAACCGUUACUAAGUACUCUAUGGUUCGGGUAAUCAAUGUUUGUGUGUGUGAACUCCUGAUUAUUUUCAUUUGUCUCUGUUUCUAUCAGUGUUUGGCCUGGGCACAAAGUUUUUUAUGUUCUAAUUUAUUUUCGAAAUCAAUUGACUUUGUAUCAUUAUGUUAUGAUUUAUUUUUUAAAUGAAUUGAAGCAGAGCAAAGCUCACAACGUGCCGCCCAGCCGAAAUGAAUUGAAGUAGAGAAUUUCAGGUUUUAUUAUCAGUAAAACUUUAAUGUCUGAAGUCAAGUACUUAAUUAUAAGGUUUUAAUAAAUUAAACAAUUCAAAUUUAUUCUUCUUUUUAAAUUAUAAAAAUAUUAUUAGUAAAAAUUUUUAAUAAUAAACUAAACUCAACCCAACAAAAAUGUAUUUUGGGUGUCAUCGUUUCUUUACCAGGCGCUCUGACUCUCUUUAAAGAACCAGUUGAUAAUUUUUCUAUCAAAUUAAAGCUCCUCAAAAUAUUCAAAUUUUAUCUUAGUUAAUGUAACUAAUAAAUAAAAUCUCAAAAUUCACAUAAAAAAUUUAUGAAAAUGUUGAUAAUUGUUACUAUAUGUUAUUUUUUUAAGUAGUUUCAUACUAGUGACAAUUUUAUAUUAGAUUGAUAUAUUUUUUUUAAUUAGAAGGUUUUUUAAAUAAAUUAAAGUAAUAACAUUUUACCCCUAAUGUUUUUAAUCUAUAUAAUAAAUAUAUAAUUUAAUCAUUUUAUAAAAUAAGUCACUAAUUUCAAUUGAAAAAAAAAUUGAAUUAAGGACAUAUUUGAAUAUAUAUGGCUUAAUAUCAUAUGGUUUAUAUAUAUAUAUAUAUAUAUAUAUGGACGUCGUUACUAAAAUAAAAAAAAAAUACAGUUUUUAGAACACUAACAGCCAAAGUCCCCAACGUAUAUUUAUUUAGAUUCUCAAGAAACCUUUGAGGUUGUAUGAUAUCAAAGUUGGAUUCAUUACACAUGACUAGUAGGCAUUAACAGGGAUCUAUUUACAAUUCUCCAGAUAACAAAAAAGCGGUAAAUCUAUUAAAUUUAUUGCGCCCAAUUCUCAAAAUCAUUUGCUAGUAACAGAAAGAGGACUUCACAACCCCAGUAAUAAGAACUCUUAACUAAAGAUGGUCGAACAGGGCAAAUUCUGUGCAGCUCAUCUCUCGCAUUCAGAUUCAAAACCACAACCACAAGAAGCUGCUGUCUAUGGCAAUUGAAUUGCUCCAUUUUUCCCUAUAAAUUUUCGUGGAAAAUCAUCAGUAUGAAUAGGACCACAUCAAUGUAAAUGUACAUGUAUAUAUAGCAGCCAUUCAUCACAAAUAUAAUUACAUGUUUACAAAAAUGAAACAUUUUUUAUUUAUCCUAAAGCACCUUUUCCUUCCUCAUUUUUUUUUCCCUCUUCUAUGGUUUGUGAGUGUGUGCAUUAUGCAUGAGAAAUAUUUACCUUAUGAUACUAAGGUGUCCAACGAUGAAGCCAUUCAAUUUCCGUAAGGUAAAUGAACCAAGCCCAACAGAAUAUUUACAGACCAUGGACAAAAGGGAGGAAGACAACAAAAGGGAGAACCAUUUUUGUAAGCCCACUUGUACUUUCAGCGACAACCUAAGUGGUUGGCUGUGUGUUCAAUCAGAUCAUCUUUCCAAAGCUUAGAGUAUGGCUUUAUAUUUAGUUUCUUCGCAAAGUUCCUCAGAUCACCUAAUUUCAUAUUUCUCAAGUGACUAGAAGUAAAGGGGGAAGAUGCCACAGCCUCAGUGCAGGACUCAAUUGAAUGGGAGUCUGUGAUUGAGAGGUCAUCCUUACCUGCACUAUCAUUUGGGUCUCUGUGUGAUUUUGAUAAGUCCAUUUCAAGGAUUGGCAAACUUGUCUUCUUUUUUAUUUUCUUUUUUGGCAGUGAAACUGAAAUUUGCCUGUCAUCCAGAGCACCAUUGGGCUCAUUUGCUUCAAUUGGAUGAUGGUAAACUAUUUUCUUGACUAUCUUUCUGUCCAUAAACUGAUUUGAACUGGGAAUGUCAGAGCCAAGUCCAGAUUUCAAUUGUCUCUUAGCUUUUGAAAUUAUAGAUGAAUUUGAAACAAGUUCAAAAGAAAGAAAACCUUCUCUUUCUUGAACACCUGGUGGAUUUGACUCAAUUUUUCUCUUAGCCUUCUGCUUUUGUGGCUGCACUGAGUACAAAUCAAACCUCUCAUCAUUAGUGGCAGUUUCAACCACUUGAGCUUCUCCUGAUUGCAUUGAUCCCUUAUCAGGCUCUGCCUUGGUUAUAUCUCUUCCUUCCUCAUCCUGCAGCAGUGAAUGUUGGUUAUCAGUAGGACUAGCUCUUUCAACUUUGACAAUGUUCUCAAAAGGUACCUUGGUUGUAUCCCUCUCUUCCUUGUCUUGACACUCUAAAAAUGACGGCAGGGCCGAAUGUUCAUUACCACUAGGACUAGCUCUUUUAAACUCGACAAUUUUUUCAAAAGGUGCCUUCAUUUUAUCUCUUCCUCCCUCAUCUUGCAGCUCUAAAAGUGAAGGCAGGGCAAAAUUUUCAUUAUCAGUAGGACUAACUCUUUCAACCUUGACAAUUUUUUCAAAAGGUGCCUUGGUUGCCUCUCUUCUUUCCUUGUCUUGCAGCCCUAAAAGUGAAGGCAGGGCAGAAUGUUCAUUAUAAGUAGGACUAACUCUUUCAACCUUGACAAUUUUUUCAAAAGGUUUUCUAUUCCCUUCUGCUCCUGAAGAUGAAGAUGAAGAUAAAGAGUCUAUCUUGCCAGUCAGAGUCAAUUUUGAUUCUUUGAUGCACCAUUUACGUGCAGCUUUCUGAGCAAAAUCACACAGUUUUUGAUUAACAUCACAGAAUCCACCUUUUGCCUGUCUGACAGCAUUUAAAUUAGAGUCAGAAUGAUUUCGCCUCUGAUUGAGACCAGCAGUAUGUCUCAAACUAGCAGGACUAGCAUCACAAUUCCCAACUUCUAAAUCAUAAAGAGUAGCCAACACAGAAUCAGAAUUACAGAGAAGUGAGCAAAUUACCUGAACCUUAAUCAUGUCUAGAUUGUGUCUCCUCUUACCAGCAGUCUUCAAAGACAAAUUUUGGAUAACAUUUUUUUCUUUGGUAGUAAAGCCAGGUUCUUCGGUUUCCCCCUUACUGUCACUUUUCAAGUCAAAGCUGCUCAUUAUUUUCUUAUAAGCAGCAUGGCCAGCUUCCAGUGUCAAAUAGUCUGGACUGGAGUUGGAAUCUUCAGCAUUACCAUUUGUAAGCUGUUCAUAAUUAGAGCAGGGACUUAAAUGCAAAAGAAGACUAACUAUGAAUAGCUAUGAAGAAGUACUUGGAUCCUUGUAUAGAAAUAAGAAAAAAGAUAUACAAAAUAAAAAACUUAUUCAUCCAUGCACUCAAACACCAACAUGAAGUUUCAAUAGUUCCAUUAGCCCUUUCAGAACAUGUGCUAACAGAAGUUGAAGCAUAAAAAGAUAAAGCUAGUCAUACCUUAAUUGUUUCUGAAUGGUUUGAUUUAUUCUCUUGAAGCAUCAAAGAUGCAUUUAAGGUCGCACAAUUUUCUGUGGGAGUUAUAGAGCAUUCUUGAAUUUCCUCUUUUAUGGGGACAAAAGAAUCAGACUGACUCAAUUUUAUGCUCUCAUCCAAAGGUUCAGCUGCAUGCUCCGGAGAGGCAACUACACCCAGAGUCUGCUCAUUUGAAGGUUAAACAUACAGUAUCACAUGUCAGCUCCUGGAAGAAAAGGAAAAACAUGCAGGUCUUGAAGAAUAACAUAUGAGAGUUACAUCAAAUGGAAAUGAAGGGAGGGAAAAUCAAUACGCUGAGAAAACAUAAUGAGGUUAGACAUUACAAAAUUAGAGUAAUCCUACUCAUGGAAUGAUAUAAUUAUCAGCAAUCUACUAUUGAUUCAAUCCAUUAGACCAUAGGUAUUAAAAUUCUAUUCUCGUUUCUUCUUAGAGGUACAAAAAAAUGGAAAGGAAAAAAAUGGGGGAAAAGUUCUAGCUUGAUAUUAUGGAACUUUUACACGACGCAGAAACAAUACUUUGCUUAAGAACAGAGUAGAAAAAAGUGAGAAUCUGCAAAAUAUAUCAUGGUCGGUGCUUGUUAAUUUAAAGUUGGAAUCACUCACACACAAAGAGCAUAAAAAUGGUAGAUAACUUGAAUGAGCCUGUAAAGGCUUCCAAUAUCCCCAUUCACAGUUGUCACACACUAGAAAAUUAAGAAAUGACUAAUAAAGAGUUUUCGAGGAUGAACCUGCUUGUCUUUCUCUUGGAAGUAAUCAUUGAGUAGAUCCUUUACUAUUUCAUGUAUUUUCUUUAACUUGUAAAUUAAAGCGCAAUUGAUCAUAAUACAAAUUAAAAUUAAAAUUAACAUUAAAAUUCAGCUCACAUUAGAUUUCAACGAAGGAAAAAAAAAUUGCAAGUGAUAACCAGGAAGAAUGUGCAUAAAACAGAGAUAAAAUGCCGGAAAAUUGGGGGAAUGUGGCUUUCUAGGAAGCCAAACAGUACGAAAUGAGAGUACCUGAAGUUAUUGCUCCCCUCAGAUUGAGCUAAAACGAUAUUAUGAUACACAUUUCUAGGGUUUCGAGAUCUUGAAUCAGAUUGGGAAAGUGCAAUUAGUGAGUGAAAUUUUGUUUUCUGAAAGCAGGCUAAAGAUUGAGGUAAUUUAUGAUUUUGUUGAGGGUAAUAUUGGAAAUGAGUGACACGUAAUUGGACAAAGGGAUCCUUGUGUCCUCGCGCGUUGAAGCCAGCUACUGUCAUUGUGGGGCCCUUCUUUGACUCAUUGGACUUUUUUUCGUUUUGUUUUGCAUGCAAAAUUGGCGCGGCCGAAACCGUUGAUUCGUUGACUUGCCAAAUCGCCAAAUCCUAUUGGUAAAAGAAGAAACGUUUCGUAUAUGUGUGGGGUCCACUACGAGUGGGAAAUUUCUUCUGUUGUUUGGUUCAUCGUACAGCCGCCGUUUCUACUUUUAGAAUAAUUCUUCAGGAACAUAUUUUAUGAAGCAUUCACUAUUAAAUGUAUAUUUUACUUCCAAAGGACUAAACAAAAAUUAUAAGUUUAUGUAUAUGUCAUAUAAGACUAUAUAUGAAUGUUCUCCAUAUCUCCCAGAAGAAGUUAGAAAAUGAUUAUAUAAAUAAGGCAUAAUUGUUUCUUUGAAAAAUUUUAAAGGAAAUAUAACAUAAUUCCAAUUGACCCAUUUGAAUUUUUAAUGAUCGGAACCGAACUGUGGGGGUUAAAGAUCAGUUCUUUUGCGGCUUCGUUUUAAUGUUUGGAUCUGGAUAGGAGGGGUUUCAACGAUUGGGCCAUGACCGACGCGGUGUGACCACUGGUGAGUUGAGAGGUGGCGAAGGGGCCGAUGAAGAGGGAAAGAGAGCCACAUGAGAAGGGAUUGGAAGGGCUCGCUGCUUUCGAAGAAGAAGAAAGCGAAAAAAAAAAAUGAGAAACGAAGAGACUGAAGGUGAAUAAGCGAGAAAGUUUUGUGAGUUUUUGAUGGAUGUUGAUGCCUGACUGGAGUUUGGAGAUCCUGCUCCAGCACUUCUCUAGAGUUGCCGGUGAAGAAAACUCUUUUCUAAUUAGCUUUCGAAUGUAUUGAGCAAAGAUCACCUGAUUGAUUUACUAAAAUCAGAUGGAUCAUGAACUCAUUGCUUUUUAUGCUCUCAAUAUUAAUAAAAUUACAAAGUUUGUGAUGAACAAAAAAAAAAAAAAAAAAAAUUUCGGCAACAUCGGCAAGAAAUGGUGACAAAAUAGAAAUCAGUGUGAAUGUGUAAUCAUCUGCUUGUUUUAUUCCUUUUUUCCCCUUGAUUUAAGUUAUACUAAAAUGGAUGAUGGAAAAGUGGAAAUCCCAAAUGCUGAUUUGUGAAUAUUAGUUCCUUUUUGCUUGAAUCAAAUGAUGAAGAAUCCGGAGAGGGAAAGAUUAGUUCUCUGUUUAAAAGCAGCUUUACAUUUUAAUAUUAAAAAUUGUAAAAGUAUAAGUUGCCGUUGGAUUCGAUCCAAUGGCUACAGAUUGUCUCUCGGAUUAUAACUCCAAUCCAGGAUACUGGAUUGGAAAACUACUCUUACGUUGACAUUUAAAAUUUGUAAACACAAAUGUAAAAGUAUAUGUUUUCUGACUUUUUACGUUAAGAAAAACAAAAUAUAUAUUAAAUAGCCCUACAUUUAGUAAAUCAAAUUUAAUUUUGUUGGUACAUGAUUCAAAAUUUACUUCAUGACAUCAAAUUACACUCAGCAUUACAUCAGUAAAACACAUAAUCUACCUAUAUUCCACUAGAAAUUUAUUUUUCCGAAAGCCUAUUGACCUGAACGAAGACUUGUUGAGAAGGACAUUUUAGCUACUUCUGUGAAGAAUAUAACUCAAGAGGCAAUUGGCAGCCGCUUGGACUGCGCGGUUGUUCCGUUAAAAAUUGGGUCCCUGAAAUUUUCUGUCAGCGCUUUCUCAUCAGCAUAAGAAGCUGAAAUAAGUGAGUGAUAAUGAAACUUUUUAAGGGCUGAACAAGAAGCACUUUUGGUUCAAGAAAAGCAGUUAUCAAGAGCAAAAAACAACAUUCCGAAAAUUAAUCUGACACUGGUCUAUAAAAACAGUUGGUUUCAUUUGCAGUUACAAUAUAAUAUAUUUUCUUUCCUAUUGCAAGUACAAAUACAGGGGCGGACCCAGGAAUUUGUAUUACCCCGGGCUAAAUUAAAAAUAUUUAUAUUUUAAAGUGAGCAUAAAAAUUCAUAAGUAGAAAAAAGUGCAUCAAAUAAGGGGGACACGAAAAAUCUUAUCCAUAUAAGUACGUACUUUAAACAAAAAUGGUUAUAUAAAAAGAGUAGAAAACAAAGGUAAUUAAAAAAUAAAAACAUUAUUUUACAAUUAUGGAAUCUGACUCUAAUAAAAUGUAAUUAUACAAGGAUUAAUAUAUUAAUUGAGGAUUUUAAGUUGAAAUAAAUGAAUACAUGUAAUCACAAUCAAUUAAAAAUUGCUAGUAAAACUUUAAUGUCUGAAGUCAAGUACUUAAUUAGGAGGUUUUAAUAAAUUAAAAAAUUCAAAUUUAUUCCUCUUUUUAAAUUAUAAAAAUAUUAUUAGUCAAAAGUUUCAAUAAUAAACUAAACUCAACCCAACAAAAAUGUAUUUUGGGUGUCAUCGUUUCUUUGCUAGGCGCUCUGACUCUCUUUGAAGAACGAGUUGAUGAUUUUUCUAUCAAAUUAAAGCUCCUCAAAAUAUUCAAAUUUUAUCUUAGUUAAUGUAACUAAUAAAUAAAAUCUCAAAAUUCACAUAAAAAGUUUAUGAAAAUGUUGACAAUUGUUACUAUAUGUUGUUUUUUUUUAAGUAGUUUAAUACUAGUGACAGUUUUAUAUUAGAUUGAUAUACUUUUUUUUAAUUAGAAGGUUUUUUAAAUAAAUUAAAGUAAUAACAUUUUACCCCCUAAUGUUUUUAAUCUAUAUAAUAAAUAUAUAAUUAACUCAUUUUAUAAAAUAAGUCAUUAAUUUCAAUUGGAAAAAAAAAUUGAAUUAAGGACAUAUUUCAAAUAAUUGAUCCACGGCUGUAAAUAAUUACCGAGAAAAGCAUCAAAUAAAGUUUCGUAGUUCACUGGAUAUCUACUCUACAGCCAGCAACAACAAAAAUAUUAGCAAUUAAAUUAAAAUAAAUAAAUAAGUGGAAGAAAAAAGAACAAAGAAAAAUGAUAUCCAGCCAAUUGCCUCUUGAGUUAUAUUCUUCACUUAAAACCAUGCAAUAAUACGUAAGAGACUAAAAGAGUGGUGUUAAGUAAGCAUACUCUGGGGAAUGAAAAACUUAACACCAUGCAGAAUCUGCAAGAGACUAAAAGAGUGGUGUUAAAAAGAGUGUUACUAGCAAUAAACACAUGUGAUAAAUAAAUACAAUCUCACGUGCAUUUUCAACAAAUGUUCGAACUACGAAACUUUAUUUGAUGCUUUUCUCGGUAAUUAUUUACAGCCGUGGAUCACAUGCUUGCUGUUAUGGCGAGCAUUUUUGAAUGGUAAUGACUUGUGGUUUAAUUUGGGGUUUUGCUAAAUUAUACUAACUCGGAAUUAAUUUUUUUGUAUGGAUAAUUAUUGUUGCUGUGUUAAAUAAUUAAAGAGCUAUGGGAGAUUAAUUUUAGAUUAACUGUCAGUUACAGUGAAUUUUGUUGUGCUUUCCCUUGUAAAGUGGCGCAUAAUUGCAUACGUGUUAAAUUAUUUAUUAACUAAGAGCAUGACAAUAUUGGAAAAGAAGGAGGGAAAAUAAAUAGAAGACAUGAUAUUUAGAGAUGACUUUUAUUCACUCUCAAACAUAUACAAAUAAGGAGAUGAGCUCUUAUUUUGUAAUCACAUAACCGUGUAAAUGAAGUAAAUAAUUCGUAAAUAAAUAUAUCAUUAGACAUAAGUUCUUUUAAGAUAGUGAAAAUUAUAAGAAAUGAAGAGUUGUUUGAUGUGAAGAUAAAAGAUUCUUUGAUGAACAUCUACAUAAAUUAUGAUUAUUUGAUAACAUUUCUCCUUGGAUGUUCAUCCUAAAAAGAAUAUGGCUCAUUGAAACCUUUGCUGGUAAAAACCUUAUGAGAAAUAGACUAACGAAGGAAAAGGAAUACACUAUUCAUUUAUACCUUAUAGAGGUAGGGGUACAAUCUGCCUUGUUAAAACUUUAAUAAGAAAAUCCAAUGUGACAAAAACUUAAUGAAGGAAAAAGAAUAUAGUGCAUGGAGCCUUCUAUAUCCGUAACUCCCUUCUCUUCAAUAAGGGCACUUUCCCUCAAAGUGACAUGGGUGCUUCAAUGAUCAAUCAUAUUUUAUUGUAAUACCUUGGUUAAAUAAUCUACAAGAUCAACACAUCUUUCAAGAUUUUUCAUCUGGAAUCUUAUUCAUUCUUAAAAGAAUAAAAUCAUAAGCUCUUCAAGAGUAUUUUCCAUUUUUAGAUCAUCAACAUAUUUUGCAAAGAUUGCAAAUCUAAUUUUUAAUUUUUAAUAAAAUCACAUAGCUAAGUGGAUAACAACAUAUCAAGCUUUUAACAAAUUUCACUAAAGUGAUUAUACUUUAUAACUCUAGAUAGCUAUAACAUACACAAUCAUGAUUAUAGCCCUAUCAAGAAUAUAGAAAGUGCAAGUUUUUUGAUUUAAUACUUCAUGUACUUAUUUCUAGCAUUUUAUCCUUCAAAUAUAAGUACAUAGAUUCUUUAAUUUGACUUUGACAUAGCAUAGUUUAGAUACAAGUUUUAUUAGAAAUUUUAUGGCUUCAGGUGUGUGGACUAUAUGUUAAAAUUUUUAUAUUUUGUUAAUUAAUUUUAUGUCUUCUAACAGAUGGACCACAUGUCAAAACUUUGGCUAAUCACAUAAAUCGAUAUUGUUUUAUAUUUUUGUGAUUUAGGAUCUUGAAUAUUUUAUCAUAACAACUAAAUUUUUAUUAACAACAAUCUUAUGCCAAUUUCAAUUUUUCUCUUGCACCAAGUACCAACAUACUAGUGAUUAAAUAUUUUUUAUUUGUCAAUAUAUGUGCCCAAUGAGAUAUUUUGAAGCUUCUAAUAAAUAUGUCUAUGCAAGGGUUAAAACUCUCUUUUAAUUUCCAAGCAUGUCUUUUAUAGGACAAUUUGGAUCUCUUUAUUCCUCACCAUUUACCUAUUCAAGAGUAUUUAAGAUUCCUUUUCUAGUUAGUAGGAGCUAUAUAUUCAAUCACUUAAUAAAGAUCAAAUAUUUUGCUAUACAUGCGAACAUGGUCUCUGUAGAGCAUUGAAUUAUUUUGUUUUAACUUCCCGAGAAUUAAAUUCUUGCAUCAAUUGAUUUAUCACAUGCUUCAAGCGUUUAUAUAUUUAAUUAUUUGUCUCAUCAUUUCGUUCUUCAAGGACAUCAUAUAUAUCAACCCACAAUCAUAUUUUAUUUGUGAUUUUUCACUUUCAUAUAUCAACAAAUUCAUUCAAUAAUCGAUCAACAAUUCACAUUGUAUAAUAUCCCUUUUGAACUUCAAGUUCAAAUUACAUAAAUAUGAAGACGAGGUAAAGUGAUAUAUAGUAUUAUCAUAAAAUCAAAUCAUCCAUCAUGUAUAGCUUUUCUAUCCCUUGUGAUGGGAAGACCUUUUCAUAAAAUAUUUAUGCAUAAAUAUUGGUGAAUCAUAACAAAUAAUAAAUUGCUUCUAUAAAUUCAUCUUCACUUGAUUUAAACAAAAAUAAAAAAUCAAGACAAUCUGUUACCUCUUGAUUAAAAUUCUUCUGAAUUUUAUAUAAUUUGAUACAUAAUCAUUAGCCUGAUUUACAAAUUUACCAUUUGAGCUUCAUCAUUUCAAACUAUGUAAGAAACUCUAGAAUUAUUGAAGUUUCAUCACAAAUUUUUUCAAUUUCUAAUUUGUUCUACUUCGUGUGGUGCUAUAUAUAUAUUGCAAUCAUAAAUACUUAAAUGUUGAUCUCUGCAAUGUCAAUAAAUUUAAUCAUGGCAUGUCUUCCACUAAUCCCACAAUUAUCAAAUAAACAUUCGCUUCAAGGAAUGUUACUGCUGGAGCAUAAAUGAGCUAUAAAAUAUUUGCUCAUACCACAUGUUCUCUUUAAAUAUAUUCUUGAUGAUUUUCUCCUCAUAUACAUAUAAAAACAAGAAAAUCAAAUCAUGAACUUUUGUUUGAUCUUUCAGUGAUCGCAUGUUUUCUUUUACUUGUUUCAAAGAAACAAAUUAUCCAUUUGGAUAUUCAAUUUUCGCUCCUUCAAGGAGAUAAAAUAAAUCACCAUUUUAAUUCAAUCCUUGAACAUCUUCCAUAUAUUAUGUUAUUUUUCCUUCAAAUUUUUUUUGAAACAACCAAUUAUGCCUUAUUUAUAUAAUCAUUUUGUAACUCGUUCUGGAGAUAUGGAGAAAGAAAUUCAUAUAUAAUCUUAUACGACAUAUACAUAAACUUAUAAUAAAGAAGCGAUUUCAUAGAUUCAUUCUCUUAAAUCAUAGAAAAACAUAUAAAUAUAAUUUUAGACAAAAUCUAAAUAGUUCAAUUCAUACCUUUAUGAUUAAGAUCAAAAGAGAGAAAUUUACCGUACUACCUUUUUCGCUAAGAAUCGUAUUGAUGCAUGUUAAAUUAUUUAUCAAUUAAGAGUUCAACAAUAUAGCAAGAGAAAGAGAGAAGCAAAUAAGAGACAUGAUGUCUAGCGACGAAGUUUAUUCAAUCUCACGUAUAUACAAACAAGGAGAUGAGUCAUCCUUUUAUAGUCACAUAACCAUAUAAAUGAAGUAAACGAUUAGUAAAUGGAUAUAUCAUUAGUUAUAAGUUCUUAUAAGAUAGUAGAAGUUAUAAGAAAUAAAAAGUUGUUUGUUGGGGAGAUAAAAGGUUGCUUUGAUGAACAUUUACAUAAAUUAUAAUUAUUCUCUCUCUCUUUCUCUCUCUCUCUCUCUCUAUAUAUAUAUAUAUAGAGACAAAGAGAGAAAAUUUUCAAUUCAGGAUUUUAAAGUGCGGGAACUACUAUAUAUAUAUAUAUGUAUGUAUGUAUGUGUGUGUGUGUGUAUGUAUGUAUGUGUGUGUAUGUAUGUAUGUAUGUAUGUGUGUGUGUGUAUGUAUGGAUGUAUGUAUAUUGGCAAGACAAAUGACGUUUAUAAUUAGAAAAUAUUGCUCUCUCAAUAUCCUGCAUAACAAUUGUAGCAAUCCAAAGUUAUCUGUUUAAUUACACAAUAGUUCAAAGAUGAAAAUGCUUAUAUCUCAAAAAGAAAAUUAAUGAGAAGAAAAGAGACAAGUUUAAUAUGUGGCCUUUUUUUUUUUAAAUUGUGAACUUAAUUAAUUUAAUUUCAAUCAGUUAAGUCAUUAAAGUCUGUUCAUUUUUUCAACUUAUUAAAAGUUUUCAAUUAUUAAACCAAUUUUUUCCUUUUCGCUUUUUACUUAAUCUAAAAAAUCUGAAGAUAUUGUCUGAAAUAUCUCAAUUUAAUAAAUCUAUUUCAUCUAAAUAAAAUUUAAUCAGGGGCAAAGCCAAAAAAAAAUUGGGUGGGCUAAAUGUUUUCCAAAGUCCAAAUAUUAUCACAAUUAAGAGUGUAAAACUUAAUAAAAAGUUCAUUAAUAUAUAAGAAAAUAAAUCGAAUCCCAAAAGUAAUUCAAUUACAAUUAAAAAUUCCUUAGGUUGUACCUUACGAUACUUUCGAGCAUUAAAUUUAUCUAUUAUUGAAUUUGAAUCGAUAGUGUCUACAAUUCUCUUUUAUUGUAGAUAAACCAUACAAUUUGAUAUAAACUCCUUCUCCAUCUUAUUUUGAAGUGCUGUCUUGAUUACCCACUAAACCAGGCCAUUUGAUUCAGCUCUUAGAUUUCUUCUUUUCUUUCAUAGAAACAACUAUCUCUAAUAUAUGAUCUAUCAAUAAUCAAUUUAAAAAUUUAAUUGCUAGAAUUCAAUGAUUUGACCUAACAAUAAUUUAAUCUUAUGCAAUAAAAUUAGAAUAAGAACUAACUAAAGUCUUUACUACCAUACAAUUAAUAAAUAUAUUGUAAAUAAUUAAAUAAAAAAUAAUUUUAUUAUAUGUUUUUACCAACAAAAGAUAAAUAACUGAAGAAGAAGCAGAGCACGUCAACACCAAGAACCCAAGAAACAAAGAGAGCAUGUUUUGAAAGAACAAAGUAAAUGCUCACUUUUACUAAUUUAUUUAUAUGAAGGACAAAGUUGCAAAUUAAUGGAAUGAUAAAGUUGUAAAUAAAAGAAAGGGUAAUGAGAAUUUUGUAAACUUUGCACAAUGGUAUUUUUGGAAAUUUAUCAAAAUUUUGGACAGGCUGCAACCCACAAGUAGCUCCGCCCAUGAAUUUAAUAAUUAGCAUUAUUAUUCAUUUCUAUAAACUAUGAUAAUAGAGUAGUAGAUUAUUACUAUUUGUAUCUUUUUAUUUUCUUCAAAGAAUUAUUUAUCUCCAUAAUUUUUAUAAAAAUUUUCAUAUAACCCAUCGUAAACUGUAAUAAAAUUGAUUUACAUGUUUUAAUUCAUAAUUUUAAAGGAUUAUUUUCACUUCAACAUCAUUUAUGUAAUGAUGAAAAUAUAAAUAUUAUUUUCUUCAUCAAGAUAUUUAUUACUUCUUUAGCAUUUAAAAUUUGUAAGAACACAAAUGUAAAUGUACAUGUUUUCUAACUUUUAUGUUGAGGAGAAAAAAAAAAGCCUUACAUUUAGUAAAUCAAAUUUAAUUUUGUCGGUGCAUACAUGAUUCAAAAUUUACUUUCAUGACAUCGAAUUACACUCCCCAUUACAUCAUUAAAACACAUAAUCUACCUCUAUUCCACUAGAAAUUUAUUUUUUCGAAGGCCUAUUGACCUGGACGAAGACCUGUUGAGAAGAACAUUUUAGCUACUUCAGAGGAGAGUCUAAAUCAAGAGGCAAUUGGCUUCUGCUUAGACCACACGGUGGACAACCAUACAGGCAACAUGAUUAGAUAAAAGGACUAAUGAAUGGUGUUGAAGUUGUUCCCUCAAAAAUUGGGUAACUGCAAUCUUCUGUCAGCACUUUCUGAUCAUUUUCUUUGUUUAAAACGACUAAUGAAUGGUGAUGAAGUUGUUCCCUUAAAAAAUGGGUACCUGCAAUUUUCUGUCAGCACUUUCUGAUCAUUUUCUUUGUUUAAAAGGACUAAUGAAUGGUGUUGAAGUUGUUCCCUUAAAAAAUGGGUACUUGCAAUUUUCUGUCAGCACUUUCUGAUCAUUUUCUUUGUUUACCGUUUUUCCCCGGCAAAGAUCACAUGCAUGUUGAUUGUAUGACUUUCUUUAUCCACACUAUGUAUUGUUGUUGUCUGUUUGGGAUUCGCCAGAGGAUUUUCUUGGCUUAUGUCAUCUCAGACCGUCAUAUGCUAACCAUAAUCAAUGCUCACAAUGAAGACUUUUCUAAGCUUCAAUAAUUGAUGCUUAUUAUACAGAUUAGCAUAAAUUGGCAUGGAUUCGAGGAUUUGCGAUAUAACAACAUAUCCUGAAAGCUUACGAUAAUUACAAUGUUAUCCAAAAUGUUCCCUAUACUUGAAUACGUAGCUUUGCUUUCUGUGAUAUUGUUUCAAUUGGAGCCUAGAAUUGCUGAUUCUAACAACACAGUAAUGAGGUGCAUUGAUGAGGAGAGAGAAGCACUUCUCACUUUUAAACAGAGCCUGGUGGAUGAAUAUGGUGUUCUGUCUUCCUGGGGAAAAGAUAAUGACAAAAGAGAUUGCUGUAAAUGGAGAGGAGUCCGUUGUAGCAAUAAAACUGGCCAUGUCAAGGUGCUCAAUCUUCGAAGAUCCGACGAUGAAAAUUCUCGAGGGACAGUCUUGAAAGGUACAAUUAGCCCUGCUUUGCUUAAAUUGCAUGAUUUAAGACAUUUGGACCUUAGUAACAAUCACUUCGGUGGAAGCCCACUUCCUGAGUUCAUUGGUUCCCUCAGUAGAUUGAGGUACCUCAAUCUCUCUUGUGGUACAUCUUUAUUAAAAGUACCUCGUCCAUUCCAGUACCUUUCAGGAUUGGUAUAUCUUCACCUAGAAAACUCUAAUUUAUUUAGUUUGGGAAGCCUACAGUGGCUUUCUCAUCUUUCUUCUUUAAGGCACCUAGACCUGAGUUACAUUAAUCUCACUAAAUCUAGUGAUUGGUUUCAAGUAGUUGCCAAGCUCCGUUCCCUAAAAACAUUAGUCCUACACUCAUGUGCUCUUCCACCUAUCAAUCCUUCAUCUAUUUGGCACUUCAAUUUGAGUACGUCUAUUGAGACCCUUGAUCUCUCCGACAACAAUCUCCCUUCUUCAUCAGUAUACCCUUGGCUUUUCAAUCUUAGUCGGAAUAUUCAAUAUCUUAACCUUGGCUUUAACUCAUUACAAGGUUCAAUUCCAGAGGCUUUUCAACUAAUGGUUUCUCUUAGAUUUCUCUAUCUCACCUCUAAUGAACUUGAAGGUGGGAUUCCAAAAUUCUUCGGAAAAAUGUGUAGCUUAAAUAGAUUAUGCUUGCCUUACAAUAAACUCAGUGGAGAUCUCUCGGAGAUGAUUCAAAAUCUGUCUGGUGGAUGCACGAUGAAUUCACUGGAGGGUGUAUGUUUAGAAGGCAAUGAUAUCACAGGACCAUUACCUGAUCUUGGAGGUUUUUCAUCCCUAAAAAUAUUAGUACUUGGAGAAAAUCGAUUAAAUGGAACAAUAGACAAAAGCCUCAGCCAGUUGUUGAAGCUCGAGUCUCUGUCACUUGGUAGGAAUUCAUUCACAGGUGUUAUCUCUGAAACCUUUUUUUCCAAUAUGUCCCACUUGCAGAUGUUGUACUUGAAUGAUAACUCUUUGACUUUGAAAUUGAGCCAUGAUUGGGUUCCUCCUUUUCAACUGAAAUCGUUAAGUCUUGCCUCUUGCAAGAUGGGACCUCAUUUUCCAAAAUGGCUUCAAACUCAAAAUCAACUUAUUUCCCUUGAUGUCUCCAAUAAUGGAAUCUCGGAUGCUGUCCCUGAUUGGUUUUGGGAUCUGUCUAUUGAACUCGUUUUUUUAAAUCUCUCUAACAACCAGAUCAGGGGUAAACUUCCUGAUUUGUCUUUUUUAAGAUAUGAUGAUAUUGUUAUAGACGUCAGUUCAAACCACUUUUGUGGCCCAAUUCCACCACUUCCGUCAAAUUCUACAUUCUUGAAUCUCUCAAAAAAUAAGUUCUCAAGAUCAAUUACUUUCUUAUGUUCUAUUAUAAAAAACACAUGGAACUUUUUUGAUCUCUCGAGUAACUUAUUAUCUGGAGGGCUUCCCGAUUGUUGGUUGAACUUUGAUAGCCUAUCCAUUCUUAAUUUGGCAAACAAUAGCUUCUCCGGGAAAAUUCCAGACUCGAUGGGCUUCCUCCAUAAUAUCCAAACACUGAGUUUACACUCCAAUAGGUUAACCGGGGAGUUGCCUUCAUCUUUAAAAAAUUGCUCACAACUGAGAGUUUUGGAUCUUAGAAAGAAUGCAUUGUACGGUGAGAUACCAACCUGGAUAGGGGGAAGUCUUCAAAAUUUGAUUGUUCUUAGCUUGAAAUCUAAUAAUUUUCAUGGAAAUAUACCUUUUCAGUUAUGCCAUCUGGCGUUCAUUCGAGUUCUGGAUCUCUCUUUAAACAAUAUAUCGGGAAAGAUACCAAAAUGUUUCAAUAAUUUUUCAGCCAUGACCCGAGAAAAAAGUUCCAAUCCUAUCAUUGGGUUGGCUGAUAAAAUCUGGAUUUUCCCUAGAUAUGUAUAUAGGUAUAGUUAUUUGGACAAUGUUCUGUUGACAUGGAAAGGAAGUGAACACGAGUACAAAAGUACUUUGGGACUUGUAAAAUGUCUUGACCUUUCGAGUAACAAACUACAUGGAGCAAUUCCUGAAGAGAUUAUGGAUCUUGUGGGGUUGAUUGCUUUAAACCUUUCAAGAAACCAUUUAACUGGACCAAUCACUCCAAAGAUUGGUCAAUUAAAUUCAUUGGAUUUCCUUGAUUUAUCUAGAAACCAGUUUUCCAGAAGCAUUCCGUCUAGCCUUUCUCAACUAAAUGGUCUUAGUGUCUUGGACUUGUCGUCCAACAACUUGUCAGGAAAAAUCCCAUUAGGUACUCAGCUUCAAAGCUUCAAUGCUUCGGUGUAUGCUGGAAAUCCUGAACUUUGUGGCCUUCCACUUCCAAACAAAUGUCCGGAUGAAGAAUCAACUCCAUUGCCAGGCAGAAAUGAUGGUGCAAACACUCUAGCAGAUGAGGAUGAUCAGUUUAUGACUCUCGGAUUUUACGUGGGCUUGAUUCUUGGUUUCUUUGUUGGAUUCUGGGGUGUCUGCGGAACUUUAAUGCUGAAUAGGUCGUGGAGACAUGGUUACUACAACUUCUUGACUGGUAUGAAAGAUUGGCUUUAUGUGACAGCAGCUUUGAAUAUUGCCAAACUGCAAAAGUUCAGGAACUAAUUAAACGGUAAUACUCCUAAGUGUAUAGUGCAUUUUAGUAAAGAUUAUUGGCUUUCACAUAUGCUUUUAAUUUCUUCAUCCUUAGACUUGACUCUUUCCUCUUACAAGAUUUUGUUUAUCAAAUCAAUUGUUACUAUUUUUUUGGCAGGGUCUCCCGGUGAUGGCAUCUUGUCAUUAAUUUUCAGAGUACUCAUUUCAUUUUUGGAAACUUUCUAAAAAUAAAGUUGUGCUCCCAUAUGAUGCUCAUUGUAUUAUUGAGUAUAUGCCUAAAGAAACUUGGAUGUGUUUCUCUUUAGUCCAUCAUCGAUUUAUGCGUUUAUUAAUUAUAUGCUCUUGUUCGGAGAAAUUCUAGAGUAAAUCAGAGGUAUUACACCCAAUUAGAGUUUAAUUAUACUACUAAUUGGAAUAAAGACGGUCAAAUUCUGCUCUGUUGUUGAUUAGUGUUAGAAUUUUUAUUUCUUGGAUUUUUGUGUGCCUUACACCUCUUUAUUAGUAUUGAAUAAACUUCUAACAAUAAAAGAGAGAUCUCGCUACAGGAUGUUCAGUGAACAUAAGCAUAAAGCUAAAACACGCUACAUAAAAAUUAAAAUAUCUAAGGUGCAUUUGUACUUUGUAGAGAAUACACGCUUAAUUUAAAAUUCUAGUUGUAUGAAACAUGUUAUAGAAUUUUCUAGACGACAUGGAUAUUUCUUAAUAGAAUAUAUAUUUUAUGAAUGAUUUUUAAAAAGGACCUUAUCUUUUGUUGGGUAAUUUUAAUUACUAUAUGUGUCAAUGUACAAAUAUACACAACAAGUAAUAUACUGAUGAGUCUAAAUUAAAAUAAAAUAAUUAAUGAAAUUAAUGAACUAACUAAAUUAAAAUUGCAAAUAAACAAAAUGCAAAAAAGAAAAUUCUCAAGUCAAACAUAAGGACAAAGUCAAUGGGAAUAGAGUAGUUGGGUGAUUAAACUCACUUAAUUGUAUUGAUUGUUUUUCCAAUUAAGAUUAUGUUGCUUUAGCAUCUCCUACAACACUGAGCAGAAUCUCUCACGUAUUCUCAGCUGUCGCUUGUUGAAUAUCUUAUAUCUAAAUACAACCUAAUAAUGACUAGUUGUUACGCUAACAUUAAAUAUAGCAUCAUGUGUUCUAAGUUCUAAUUGCCCUACAAGGUAAAUCCGUAUGUCUAGUUCUUUAUUAAUUUUAGAUUAAGCAUGUCCCUAUUUAAAUCAAUAUUAACUCAACUUGGGAAACCCAAUCUAAAGCCAUUUAUUGUCUUAAUUUGUUCCACUAAGUUAGAUAUUUUUUAGGUUGUUUCUUAGCUAGUAUUCACUAAAUGGGUGGUCAGCCGAAAUAGGGAAUUGCAAUAAGUAAAAUCAAGACAAAAUGCUAUAGUAAAUACAGAGCAGCACACAUAUAUCAUUCAAAUAACCAUUAAGCUUAUUUAUCACUCAAUCACAACAAAGUUUAGUUUAGGAUUUGCGAUAAAACGGUAACAAAAAUAAGUUUAGCCAUGAAAUACUGAACUUAUUUAAGUUUAUAAUCUAUAAUAUAUUUCUAUAUAUAUAUUAUUAUUAUUAUUAGGCUUUAAUUAUGUUACAUGAUCAUGUAACAUACAUAAUUCUUCCAUAGCCGUUGGAUGAAAAUUCAACGACUAUGGAAGAAUCAUAUAUCUUACAUGAUUAUGUAAGAUAAUAAUCACUUUAUUAUUAAGCUAACAGAAGGAUGAUGUAAUACAUAUGUACAUGCUUCUAGACAACAAAUUCAGAGAAGCAUUACGCAAAGUCAACAGUUAACUAAUCAAAGUCAGCGGACAAUUACGUUUGGUCCUUGCUUGGGAAUUUCUAAUUUCAAUGGCAGCAAAGUCUGUGGAAAAUUACUUUAAAUGAAGUAUGUACACAAAUGCACACCAAUUAAGAAUAUUACAAAAAUCAUUUAGAUGGUACACAUCAUACAUAAACACAGCUUCAGUUUCGGAAGGGGACCAUUAAUUGUUCAAAAUCGAUAUACAAACAUGGUGGCCCUAGCUAAGAAGAUAACAUGCAUGAUAAGGAUAAACAAUUACCCCAAUCUUUCUUUUGUGGACAUGUGGAUAAAACAAAGACAGAUUCUGAAAGAAGGCGUAUCUAUAGAUGGCCAAUUCAGAACUUAUUUAAGAUCAUACGUUAAUUUUAUUUUUAAUUGAGAUAGAGCCUCUCAUGUUGGCGUUAAUAUGUAGACAAAUAUGAAUCUGAUGCAUAAUAGUACUUUUGAAAUUUUGUUUAAUUAAUUCUUAAGUUGAAAUAUAAAACAAGUAUUCCCCAAUCAACCACGAAGAAUUAAUACCCAUUUAGUUUUUUAAUCUGAAAUUUAAAAUCAGUCUGAAUUUGGUUGAAGUCUUAGCUGAUAGUUUGAUGUGUUUUCUUUUUUUUUUUUAAUAUCUAAAUAUAAUUGACAUUAUAUUUGUUCUUAUAAAUAAAAAAAAGUUAAAUACAGUUAUUUAACAUUUAUAUCCUUGUAAGUUAAAAUGCAUAAAGGGCUUAAGCUUUAUAGUUUAGCAAAUAAGUAUAUUUAAUAGAGAUGUUUUAGGAUAUAAUAUUUACUUCUUCGUGCCUUUUCCUAUUUAUAUAAAAGUCACAAAAGUUUACUCUUUAUUUUUAAUUCAAAUGUAAAUGUCUGAAAAAUCAUAUAUAAGUUAAAAAAACAAACGAACAAUUUUAAAAAAGUUUGAAAUAAAAAAAAUUCAAAUUUUAGACAUUUAACCAAUAAGCAUCAAUUUCAUCUUGGUCAAGAGAGUAGUUGGCUACCAUGAAAUUUCUGAUCCCUGUCUAGUAUGGGCAUGUCAUGAAUUAAGCUACGUAUUUUAAUUUUUGCCUUAAAAAAAUUUCCAUUCUUUGUUCUAGAAAAUUGAAAAAAAAAAGAAUAAAAAAUAGUUCACGUUGGUAUUAUCAUUAUAUUAGUCUUAUAAACAUCUCAACCGUUACUAAGUACUCUAUGGCUCGGGUCUUUAGCAGGGUUAUUGAUAGGAAUCAACCGUUUAUUCGCUGACGCAGUAUCAAUCACCAUUGGUUGUUCUUCCACUGUUUAAGAUACAGAUUUAAGAGCAAAGCAAUUUGAAUGCUUGUAAUUGUUACUCUUGCAUCCAAUUUUCCCCAGGAAUUACAGGAUCAACAAUCCCAUCAAACAUAUUACUUUUAACGUGGCUUAACAGGAUCAACAAUCCCACUGCAGUAGUCAGGUGAUUUUGUCCAUGAUUUAUUCAAUUCAGUCUACAGUUCACUAAUUAUGAAAGGAAAGCAUUAAUAAAUUAUCAGGACAAGCUUUUUAUAAGUGAAUUUCUGCCCAAACAAAGCAUCAAGUGACGAUAUAUACCAAAACUGUAAACAUCAUAGUUCUCUUAUUUUCAAUAAAAUGUGUUUUAUUUUUUUGGGUAAACGUAAACCAACGCCAGUUUUAUUUUGUUUCUACGAGGCUUUGUCAUCAUUUUGUGUGUUUACCAUUUUUCCACGGCAAGAUUACAUGGAUGUUGAUUGUACGACUUUCUUUAUCCAUGCUCUGCAUUGUUGUGUGUUUGGGAUUCGCCGGCGACUUUUCUUGGCUUUAUUCAUCUCUCAAAUUUUCAUAUCCUAACACAUAAUCAACGCGCAGACUGAAGACUUUUCUUGGCUUCGAUAAUUGAUGCAGAUUAUACACAGUAGUAUAAAUUGGCAUGGAGUCCAGGAGUUUCGAUAUAACAGCAUAUCCUCAAAGCUAAUGAUAAUUAUAAUGUCAUCCAAGUUGUUCCUUCUAUUUGAAAAUAUAGCUUUGUUUUCUGUGAUAUUUUUUCAAUUGAAGCCCACGACUGCUGAUUCUAACAACAUAAUAAUAAGGUGCAUUGAUGAAGAGAGAGAAGCGCUUCUCACUUUUAAACGGAGCUUGGUGGAUGAACAUGGCGUUCUGUCUUCCUGGGGAAGAGAAGAUGACAAAAGAGAUUGCUGUAAAUGGAGAGGAGUCCACUGUAGCAACACAACUGGCCAAGUCAAGGUGCUUAAUCUUCGAACAUCCGAUUAUGAAUUUGCUCGGAGGAAGUUCCUGAAAGGUACAAUUAGUCCUGCUCUGCUUAAAUUGCAUGAUUUAAGACAUCUGGACCUUAGUAACAAUGACUUUGGUGGAAGCCCAGUUCCUGAGUUCAUUGGUUCCCUCAGCAAAUUGAGGUACCUCAGUCUCUCUUGCGGCGGACCUUUAGAACUCCCUCGAAAAUUCCGGAACCAUUCAAGAUUGGAAUAAAUGCAAUUCAGGUAUAAACUUCUUUUCCAGAAUCUACUGGGGUUCUUCUUAUCAGGUAUGGAUUUAAAUGUAAAAAUGAAAGAGGGUCGUCCAUUAGCAUUUCCAGAAAUGGUGGUGUAAAAGGAUUGUAGAAAAUUAUUUUUCCUUAAGGUUUAGAGUUCGAAGUUCGAACGGUAGAGAAAAAUGGCCUUUGAAGAAAAUCUAUUUUGGUUGGGUGCAGAACUGCAGAUAAUUGAAGAUCUAAGGAAGAUAGAAAAUGGGAGGAGCUUAGGGAGAAAUACAGUAGAAGGACAAAACCUGAAUCCUACUCUCAUUGUGUUGAGUUUGGGAAAUCGAAUGGAGCUGUAGUUUGUAGAGGGUAUAUUAUCUACGAUGAAUGGAAAGUGAUCCAGCAAGGGCUUGUAGAUAGAUUUGGGCACUCUUUCGAUCUGAAACUAUUCCACAAUGAAAAAGUAACUUUUUUCUGUCAAAACACAAAUGGAAGUAACCGGUUGGGUAAUAUAUGCAUUUGCAGAUUGCAGGGCAACGUCAUCAUGGUGUUACGAGGAUGGGUACAACAUUAUUGAUAGAUCAUUGAAUGAUUGAUAUUGAAAGAUUAAAAAUUACUUUUAAGGUUUUGGCUCAUUGUUCGUAGUUAUUAUUAUUGACACGACUGAACAACUAGUUAUAUUACCAUUACGAUUAUUAUGGGGUACAAUACCUUGAUUGAUUAAUUGGCUGGAUCAUCGGGAUUAUAGGUGAUAUAUUAAUUGUUGGGCCACAAGAUUAUAGGUGAUAUAUUGAUUAGCCGAGUCAUCGAGAGCGCAGGUGACACUAUGUGACAUGAGCAAUUGAAUAACAGAAAUAUUUUAUUGUUAAAUGAUUUCUUAGAUGAUUAAAUAUUUGAAAAUGAUUAUUACAUGAUGACUUAACUUAAAAUGAAUUUUAUCAUACUCAUGCAAUAGAUUGUAAAAUGAAUAUUGUUUUCCAAUUUAUGGUUCCUUAUAAUGAUUAUUAUGUAUUUUAUUGUUAUUGGUAAUCUCAUGCAUGAAUUUACUUACCAAGUUGAUGGCUCACCCCUCGUCUCCAACAUUUUGCAAGUUUAUUUUAGAGAUGUGGGGUUUUUGGUUUAGAGAAGAGGAUUUUUUAGCUAACACAUUUUCUUUGAUGAAUAAAUUGUCAUUAUUUUGGUUAUUGUUCAUAGUUGAAUUUGUUUUGGAUGAUUAUUGUUAUAUUUAUUAUUUUAGAGAUUUUAUUUUGACAGUGGACAAUAUUGAUUUUUAUAUUAAUAAGAUUAAUAUCACAAGGUUUCAUUCAUUCCCAAUUCCUCUUGUAAAUUAUAGGGUGAAUUUGGGUUAUUACAUUAUUAAUUAAAUUUCUACAUAGAUGACAUUACAAAGAUGUUGAUCAAAGACUAAAAUAUUUCGGAGAAGAUGGUAAUGUUGUUAGGGUGCACCAAAUUUAAAACCUUACUACUAGUAUAAAUAAUUAGUAUAGAGCGAGUAAGGAUCGAUCCCACAGAGACUAUGCUAGUUGUAUUUAUUAUCAACUCUAAAGCAGAACUUUAAAUAAAAUAAUAAUAUAAAUUAAUCUAACUAAAGAAAAUGCCAACUAAAAAUAGAGAAAAUGGGGGUUUUUGAAUUUUUAACUAAAUAGUAAGAAAUAAAGAAAUUAAAACUACGAAAACAAUAAUUUAAUAAAAACUCUAAUUAAAGGAGAAAGAAAUAAUAAUGAGAAAAACUUUGGUUAAAUGAUCAUUCGCCACCACCAAACCUGCGCAUAAUAUAUCAAUUCUAUCAUUAAUUUAUAUUGAAACUAUCAACUAUAGACAACAAUAAUCUCUGUCAGUCUCAAUCUUUUCUUAGUAUGUCGUUAGGCAAAACAAGCUCUUCAUCUAAUCUCUAACUAUUAAAUAAUUUAAAAACAAGCUCUUUAAAUUUAAGAUAAUAGAAGCAUUAAGUAGAGAAAGAUAUUAGGUUGAUUUAGGCAAUAAACACACAAGCUCGGAUUAUUUAACUUAGGUUAUGUUCUCCAAUCGAAAUCACUGAUUCCAACCUACUACUAAUGAUUAAAAUAUCAAGACAAUUAUGGAUCAAGAAUUUUAAUCUAGCAAUAGAAUUUAUUCAAGUUCUAUCUAAUUGGCCACUCAAAUAAGACAAGAAUAAAAUCAUAAACAUUAAUUAUAGAAGAACAUAAACAAUCUCAAUUAAAUAAAUUGAAUGAUAGAAAUAAAAAAAUUUAAUUGCAUAGCAUAUUUAGGGUUUUGAAUUCACCCUCAACCAAAUAAAAAAUCUAUUCUAACAUAAUUAAAUUGAGAAUAAAAGAGUUAAUAAAACUAGACAUAGAGACUAAUUCAAACGGCUGUCUCCUCUAUUUUUUCUCUUCUCCUUUGCGGCUGCAAAUUGUUUUUGUAUGUGUGGCUGCCGAUCCUCCAAUUCUCCUCUAAUUCUGCCGCAAGUCUAGCUUUUAUGGUAGCUUUUAUUGUGCGCCUUAAAUCCUCACAUGGAAAGGAUUAAAAACAAAAGCCAAGCCGCCACUUUUUGUUCAUGCAUGCACAUAACUUGUACAAUUAAUUGGCCAAUGAAUAUUGUUAAAGCCAAAGCCCAUCACGUGCUUGCCAUUUAAAGCCAUGCCAAAAUAUUUGCUUCCUCAAUUAAUCACAAUAUAUGUUUCCCACGUGAUUGCAUGCAUGUUGAUUAAUCAAAUUAAAUCUUUCUUUCCUGAUCUCUUGUGCACUUUUGUCUCUCAAUCUUCAAUUCUUUUCCUAUUUUUAUUCUUUCAAUGAAAUUUCUUUCCUGAAUGCUCUGAUUUAAUUUCUCUUUAAUCCCAAAAUAUAUCUAAAAUAAUAAAAUAAAAAAACUAAGAUAAAAAUUAACACAAUAAAAUAUAAUUUUAACAAAAUAACUAAAUUAAAAAUUAACUGAAAUAACUAGAAUAUUUAAGAUCAAAACAAGAAAAAGAUGGAGAAAUUAAUAGCAAAAUAUAUGAAAAAUAUGCACUUAUCAGAAGACUAAGAGUGCGUUUGGGAGUGAGGUACUGAAACUUUUAAACUGCAGCUACUGUGAAGUAAAAGCUAUAGAUGUGGAGUAGAAGCUGAUGAUAUUUGAUAAAGAUGCUGUAACUUUUAAGCUGCAGAAGCUGAUAGUGUUUGGUAAAUAUAUGUGUCUAGUAUUUUCAAUUUUAAUUUCACAAUUUUUAUAUAUAUAUAAUUUUAUAAAAAUCUCGGGACCCAUAUUAUUCAGUUAAGACACUGUGAGACAAUUUUGAAUUUAAUAAGAAACAAAUAGUUUUGAAAAUGUUUUUGGUAUUGGAUCCUCCUAAAAAUUUUAUUGGAGAUACCCAUGGAUGUCGAGAAUAGAUCUAUGUAAUUUUGUGUCAUUUUGAUUAUUAGAUUAAGAGUUAAAAUUCAGAGAAUCAGACUUCUACGGGUAUGAAUUAGAAAAUUAAGUUCUUGGAAUAAGUUAUUAAUAGUUAUUUCUUGUAUUUGUUUAAAGUAUUGGAGGUGUUUGAGACUGUUAGAGGCUUAGAGGUGUGUUUAAAUCAUUGCUUUUAUCAAGAUAAGUAACUCUAUUCCUAAUGUACUUGAUAUCUAAUGUACUAGAUAUAUAUGAUAAUUUUGAUAUUUCAAUAUUAUUACAAGUACGUGUGUUUUCUUAGUUCUUCAUAACAAAAAUAAUUGAUGUGAGUGUUUUUAAAUUUGAAAAUUAUGCCAUUUUUAUGGUUUUAACAAAAUAUUAUAAAUGCCUUUAAAUGUGCAAUUUAUUUUGCUAGAUAAUUAUAUUUUUGAAAUUAUCUAUAAAAUGUUAGAAUGGAAAUUGUUCUGCAAGCCUAAAUCAUUGUUAUGAUCAUUUAUGAAUCUAAUAUGAAUAUUAUGUUCACGUAUUCGAUUUAAAUUAUCUAUGAAAAUUUAUGCGGGAGCCACCUUUUGAGACUGUAUGGGGGCCAUAUCUCGAGGACUAAAGUGCCACGUACAUUAUAAAGUACCACGUGUAAUUUGCUACAAAGGAAAAAUAAAUUUAAAUAAUUUGGUUCAUUGUCCGUAGUCAUUUUGAUUCCGUUAUAUACUUACACACACACACAAACACAGAGUAUUGAGUUUCUAUUCAGAUUGUGUCUAUGAUAUUCUGAUUCUCAUUCUAUUCCAGCCUGGUCAUCGAGAGUAUAAGUGACACUAUGUGACAUGAGCUAAUCUUUUGUGUCCUGUAUUUAUAUAUUAUAUGAUUUCUUUCUAUGAUUAAUUAUGAUUUCGAUAUUCUGGAUCAUUUAUGAAUUUGUCCUUAUGUUAUUAUAUCUCAUUGUAAAAUUUAUGUUUUUUUAUUGUGAUAUAUAUAUUGGUAAACAAGGCUUGCAAUACUUUUGGUAUCGGAUGUCCCUGGGGUGUUGGGAAUGGUUUUACUUGCCGAAUUGAUAGCUCACUUCUCGUCAUUACUUUUUGCAGAUUGAGUGACUUGUUGAGAGAUGUGCUUAUCUUUGGAGUUAGAGAUUAAUUUACUUUUGCUAGUUGAAUAAAAGAAGGACGAAUUUCUAUUUCUUUUAAGCUUGUUAGUCUUCUCAACUUGUAAUUGGAGAAUUUCUAUUUCCUUCUUGGCAAGUUGUGUUCUCUCAAGACUCGCAGCUCCGCCAAAUUCUGGCGUGAAGGCUUAUCACCUUCCUCUUUAAUGCAGGUUUGCAGCCCACAUCAGUCGCCAGUUGGAGUCAAAUUAAUGAAAAAUUUAGGGUCGUGUAAUUAGUCUUGUGGUGAUUUAAUAAGAAUGCAGUGAAGAAUUAAGAGAUAUUCAAGUGCCUGCAAUUGUGUUGGUUUCCCAAAUCCCAACCAAUCCAACAUUUCAGGAAGGCUUUUCGUUUAAAUUAAUAGCACAACGUGCCAGAGGGAUAGUCCAAAUUCUUGUUGCGUUCUCUCAACUCUCAAUUCUCAUGAUAUUAGUUAUAGCUUCGUAAAGAACAUUUGGCAACCUCAGAUGGAGGAAUCUGAAACAGAGAUGGCGUCAUUGCCCUAUGAUUGAGGCUUGAAUUAACUCUUUCCCAGCAUGUUUCUUUGAUUCAUGAGGAUAUACAUUCUCUUUUUUUUUCAUAAUACAUUAAUUAAAAGUAUACAAAUGGAAGAAGGAAGCAAGUAAAGUAAAUCAAACAUUGAACAUGACAAGGUACAAGAAGCAGGCGAGUCUCAGGUAUCAAGCUUUCCUAGGCGACAACCAAGUUCAACAAAGCAAAGGUGAAGCAAGGCAAACAAGAAUUCAAGCCGCACGUCAUAGAUCACGAAAGUGAAGACUCACCAAGCUUCAACACAGUGAACAAAUCAAGGCUGCUUAUUCUGUAUUUGAUGGCUCUCUCUGUGAUUUUUUUAUUCUGCUUUCAUUUAAUUAUUUUGUUAAUUCCUUUGUUUCUUGAUUAAAUAUCAAACAGUUAAGUGAGGUCCUGGAGGAUCAUGAUCGGUCAUCUAACACUCUCAAACACGAGUUCUUGAUCUAACUUCCACAAACCUGCGAAGUAUUUUGACUUUAGUUAGCAAAUGAAAACAAGGGUUUUAACAUCAAAGGAAAUGGUACCAAGGAAGAUGGCCAAUUCGGGAAUUAAGAUCACAAAGCAAGCAGAGGAGCUCUGUCGUUGGUCCCUGCAGUAUGCAAGUGAUUUUGAUCCUAAUCUCUCAACUUCACAUCUAUUAUUGCUGGCCUAUCUUCUUCCGACACAGAGAGACAUUUCAAGGCAAGUUCUACAAGAAUUUGCAAUUGCUUCGAUUUUCCUUGACCCGGUUGAAUUCCAACGACAAUGGGGUCUAUUAUCUCAACAAACCUAUUAUUAUCAAUAUGUUUCUUGACCCAAUCCUUAAAUAAAGUUUCAUCAAGACAACAUUGAAAAUCAUAUAUCUUCUUGCCAGUCAAAAGCUCAAGCAGCAAGGCAGCAAAGCUAUUAUUUUUCUCUGAAUGCUCCAUGAGAAUGGUAUUUAUGUUAUGAUUCAACCUAAACCUGAUAAGAUAUUGUCUGUUUUAAGCCUUAACAAGGCCACAUGGUUUUGUUUCAAGGACACCAAUACAUCCCGAAACUCAUCUUAUCAAUAAAAGUGUGGAUUACCUCUUAUAAACUCAACAUCUCUCUCGUACUUCGUCAAUGUGAGAUUUGCCUAGGCUGUUACAAUUUAAGUGCCAUAAAUCCAAAUUUGGCGAUUGUGUGAAGUACUCUUAUGCGUAUUUUAACAUCGGAAACAAAAAUUGGUGACAAGGAGGUAUUACAUGCAUUAUCAUUAAAUUAAUAUACGCACUAAUCUCAAAGUAUGUGUUAUAUACAUGUUCUUAAUGUGGCUCACAUUCAUGAGUUUGAGAUGAAUUAAGACUCAUGAGUUUGAGAUGAAUUAAGACUACUCACAUUUUUUUGAUUAGAUAAUGAUAAAGAGUAGUUGCUCCAUAUUUCUAAAAAAUUAAGAUGAGGAUAAUUUCUCAUUUUCUUGAUGGAGGGAAGUGAAUGAAGUCCAUUAAAUAGACUAAGGGUCCUUAGCCUAACCUAGAUACGACUUUCCAUGAGAAUUACCAAUUGAAUUAAAGGCUAUAUAGAGGAAUAGACUAGAAAAUUCUAACCAUUUUUUAAAUUAACUUAAAUAAUAAUGACUGGAGGUAGAGGUACGUAAUUUAUUUAAGUUUAUAAUCUAAACUAUAUUUGGAAAAAUACUCUUUUCAUCUCUAAGGUUUGAUGCAAUAGCCUGUUUCAUCCUUACUAUUUAAAUAAUAUCCUAUUUCAUUCCUAUUUUUUAAGCAAUAGCCUGAAACACCCUUUCAUUAGCUUAUUCUUAACUUAACUUCAACAUGGUCGAAAUAAAUAAAUAAAUGAUCAAUUAGUAUUGUUAUUCUACCAAACGUAAUUACAGACUCCUUUGUUUACUUAAAAAAAAUACACACUAAAUACAUAACAAAAUACAUUUAAAAAUAUUGCAGAAUAAAAUAUAUAAUGCAUUGGAAUUUUUUUUUUUAUCUUUUAGCUUAUUCUUGACCUUAAUAAAAACAAUGAUUCUUGAUGAAAAUUAUUAUUAUUAUUAUUAUUAUUAUUAUUUUGUUGACUUUUAUUAAAAAAAAGAAUUUAAUGAACACACAUAUAUGUGUGUGUGUGUGUGUGUGUGUGUGUGUGUGUGUUGCAUAUUCUUUAGUUUCAUUAAGUUAUACUUAAAUUUUAAAUUUUAAAUUUAUGCAAAAAAGUCAAAUGUUAUUCAAUUAUUCUUGAGAUAUUUAUUUUAAAAAGCUUUAUAUAUUUAUUUAACUAAAAAUCCUAUUUUGCUCUCAAUGAAUUAUAGAGUAAACUAUUAUAAAUUCACGGAAGGGUAUUUUGAGCUAUUAUUUGAAAAAUAAGGAUGAAACGAGUUAUUUUUUAAAAAAUAAGGAUGAAAUGGGCUAUUGUACUAAACCCUAUAAAUGAAAAGAGCCUUUUCCCAAUAUAUUUCUAUAUAUAUUAUUAAUAUUAUUAUUAAGCUAACACAAGGAUGAUGUAAAGCAUAUGUACGUGCCUCUAGACAGCAAAUUCAGAGAAGCAUUAUUGCAAAGUCAACAGUUAACCGUUCAAAGUCAGCGGGACAAUUACGUUUGGCCCUUGCUUGGAAAUUUCUAAUUUCAAUGGCAGCAAAGUCAGGGGAAAAUUAAUUGUUCAAAAUCAAUAUACAAACAUGGUGGCCCUUGCUAAGAAGAUAACAUGCACGAUAAGGAUAAACAAUUACCCUAAUCUUUCUUUUGUGGACGUGUUAAUAAAAUAAAGACAGAUUGUGAAAGAGGACGUAUCUACAGAUGGCCGAUUCAGAACUUAAUUAAGAUCAUUCGUUAUAUUUAUUUUUAAUUGAGACAGAGCCUCUCAUGUUGGCGUUAAUAUGUUAGAUAAGUAUGAAUCUGAUGCAUAAUAGUACUUUUGCAAUUUUGUUUAAUUAAUUCUUAAGUUGAAAUAUAAAACAAGUCUUCCCCAAUCAACCACGAAGAAUUAAUACGCAUUUACUUUUUUAAUCGGAAAUUUAAAAUUAGUCCGAAUUUGGUUGAAGUGUUAAUUGAUGGUUUGAAUACAAAUGUCUAUAUAUGAUUUGUUUUUUUUAAUAUCUAAAUAUAAUUGACAUUACAUUUGUUUUUAUAAAUAAAAAAAAUCUUAAAUACAGUUAUUUAACAUUUAUAUCCUUGUAAGUUAAAAUGAAUAAAGGGCUUAAGUUUUAUAGUUUAGCAAAUAAGUAUAUUUAAUAGAGAUGUUUUGAGAUAUAAUAUUUACUUCUUCGUGCCUUUUCUUAUUUAUAUAAAAGUCAUAAAAGUUUACUCUUUUUUUUAAAUUCAAAUGUAAAUGUUUAAAAAUCAUAUAUAAAUUAAAAAAACAAACGAGCAAUUUUAAAAAAAUUUGAAAUAAAAAAAAUUCAAAUUUUAGACUUUUAACCAAUAAGCCUCCAUUUCACCUUGGUAAAGAGAGUAGUUGGCUACCAUGAAAUUUCUGAUCCCUGUCCAGUAUGGGCGUGUCAUGAAUUAAGCCAAGCAUUUUAAUUUUUGCCUUAAAAAAAUUUCCAUUCUCUGCUCUAGAAAAUUGAAAAAAAAAAAAAAGUAAAACAUAGUUCACGUUGGUAUUAUUAUUAUAGUAGCAUCAUAAACAUCUCAAUCGUAAACCAACACCAGUUUUAUUUUGUGUGUUUACCAUUUUUCCACGGCAAUGUUACAUGGAUGUUGAUUGUACGACUUUCUUUAUCCAUGCCUUGCAUUGUUGUGUGUUUGGGAUUCGUCGGAGACUUUUCUUGGCAUUAAUCAUCUCUCAAAUUUUCAUAUCCUAACACAUAAUCAACGCCCGGACUGAAGACUUUUCUUGGCUUCAAUAAUUGAUGCAGAUUAUACACAACAGUAUAAAUUGGCAUGGAGUCCAGGAGUUUCGAUAUAACAAUAUAUCCUCAAAGCUAAUGAUAAUUAUAAUGUCAUCCAAAUUGUUCCUUCUAUUUGAAAAUAUAGCUCUGUUUUCUGUGUUGUUUUUUCAAUUGAAGCCCACAAUUGCUGAUUCUAACAAAAAAACGAUAAAGUGCAUUGAUGAGGAGAGAGAAGCGCUUCGCACUUUUAAACAGAGCUUGGUGGAUGAACAUGGCGUUCUGUCUUCCUGGGGAAGACAAGAUGACAAAAUUGACUGCUGUAAAUGGAGAGGAGUCCGCUGUAGCAACACAACAGGCCAUAUCAAGGUGCUUAAUCUUCGAACAUCCGACAAGGAAAACGCUCAGAGGAAGGUCUUGAAAGGUACAAUUAGUCCUGCUUUGCUUGAAUUGCAUGAUAUAAGACAUUUGGACCUUAGUAACAAUCACUUCAGUGCAAGCCCAGUUCCUAAGUUCCUUGGUUCGCUCAGCAAAUUGAGGUACCUCAAUCUCUCUUGUGGCACACCUUCAGAAUUCCCUCGUAAAUUGCGGGACCUUUCAGGAUUGGAAUAUCUCAACCUAGAAAACUCUAGUUUAUUUAGUGUGGGAAGCUUAGAGUGGCUUCUCGUCUUUAUUCUUUAAGACACCUUGACCUGAGUUACAUUAAUCUCACUAAAUCUAGUGAUUGGUUUCAAGUAGUUGCCAAGCUUCAUUCCCUAAAAACAUUAGUCCUACGCUCGUGUGCUCUUCCACCUAUCAAUCCAUCGUUUAUUUGGCACUUCAAUUUGAGUACGUCUAUUGAGAACCUUGAUCUUUCUGACAACAAUCUCCCUUCUUCUUCAGUAUACCCUUGGCUUUUCAAUCUUAGUAGGAAUAUUCUUUAUCUUGACCUUGGCUCUAAUUCAUUACGAGGUUCAAUUCCAGAGGCUUUUCAACACAUGGUUUCUCUUAAAAGUCUUGAUCUCUCUGAUAGUGAACUUGAAGGUGGGAUUCCAAAAUUCUUUGGAAACAUGUGUAGCUUACAAAAGUUAGACUUGCCUCAAAACAAACUCAGUGGACAAUUCUCGCAGGUAAUUCAAAAUCUGUCUGGUGGAUGCGUGGUGAAUUCACUAGAGCGGCUAUAUUUAAGUUAUAAUGACUUCACGGGGCCAGUACCUCAUCUUGGAGGAUUUUCAUCACUGGAAGCAUUGAUGCUUGGCGUUAAUCGUUUAAAUGGAACAAUAGACAAAAGCCUCAACCAGUUGUCGAAGCUCGAGUCUCUGUCACUACGUAUGAAUUCUUUCACAGGUGUUAUCUCUGAAACUUUUUUUUCCAAUAUGUCCAACUUGCAGAUGUUAGACUUGAAAGAGAACUCUUUGACUUUGAAAUUGAGCCAUGAUUGGGUUCCUCCUUUUCAACUGAAAUGGUUAAGUCUUGCCUCUUGCAAGAUGGGACCUCAUUUUCCAAAAUGGCUUCAAACUCAGAAUCAGCUUGUACUUCUUGACAUCUCCAAUGUUGGAAUCUCAGACAGUAUUCCUGAUUGGUUCUGGGAUUUGUCCAGUGAACUCUCUUACUUAAAUCUCUCUAACAAUCAUAUCAAGGGUAAACUUCCUGAUUUGUCUUUAAGGUUUGAUGGUACUCGUAGUGGUGGUACUAGUAUAGACAUCAAUUCAAACCACUUUGAGGGCCCAAUUCCACCACUUCCUUCAAAUUUGCUGUUCUUAAAUCUCUCUAAAAAUAAGUUCUCAGGAUCAGUUUCUUUCUUAUGUUCUAUUAGUGAAAACACUUGGAACUUUUUAGAUCUCUCGAGUAACUUAUUGUCUGGAGGGCUUCCCGAUUGUUGGUUGCACUUUGAUAGCCUAUUCGUUCUUAACUUGGCAAAUAAUAGAUUCUCAGGACAAAUACCGGAUUCGAUGGGUUUCCUAAAUAACAUUCGGACACUGAAUUUACACAACAAUAGGUUAGCCGGGGAAUUGCCUUCAUCUUUAAGGAAUUGCUCCCAACUGAGAGUUUUGGAUCUCGGGAAGAACGCAUUUUUUGGUGAGAUACCAACGUGGAUAGGGGAAAGUCUACAAAAUUUGAUUGUUCUUAGCCUAAAAUCUAAUAACUUUCAUGGAAAUAUAGCUUAUCAAUUGUGCCAUCUGGGAUUUAUUCAAGUCUUGGAUCUUUCUUUAAACAUUAUAUCGGGAAAUAUACCAAAGUGUUUCAAUAAUUUUUCAGCCAUGACCUAUGAAAGAUGUUCCAAUCCUACCAUUGGGUUCGCCAAAUCUUUCUUAGUUCUCCCUGGAAUUGGAUAUUACUAUAAAUAUUUGGUCAAUUUACUGUUGACUUGGAAAGGAAGUGAAAAUGAGUACAAAAGUACUUUGGGACUUGUAAGGUGCCUUGACCUUUCGAGUAACAAAUUAGAUGGAGCAAUUCCUGAAGAGAUUAUGGAUCUUGUGGGGUUGAUUGCCUUAAACCUUUCAAGAAACAAUUUAACCGGACCAAUCACUCCGAAGAUUGGUGAGUUAACAUCAUUGGAUUUCCUGGAUUUGUCUAGAAAUCUGUUUUCUGGAAGUAUUCCAUCUAGCCUCUCUCAGUUAAGUGGUCUUGGCGUCUUGGACUUGUCGUACAACAACUUGUCAGGAAAAAUCCCAUUAGGCACUCAGCUCCAGAGCUUCAAUGCUUCAGUGUACGCUGGAAAUCUUGAACUUUGUGGCCUUCCACUCGCAAAUAAGUGUCCGAAUGAAGAAUCCACUCCAUGUCCAGGCAGAAAUGAUGGUGCAAACACUCUUGAGGAUGAGGAUGAUCAGUUUAUGACUCUUGGAUUUUACGUGAGCUUGAUUCUUGGUUUCUUUGUUGGAUUCUGGGGAGUCUGCGGAACUUUAAUGCUGAAUAGGUCGUGGAGACAUGGUUACUUCAACUUCCUGACUAGUAUGAAAGAUUGGGUCUAUGUGACAGCAGCUGUGAAUAUUGCCAAACUGCAAAGAAAGUUUAGGAACUAACUAAACGGUAAUACUCCUUAACAUUGGGUUUCAGUCAUUGUUGUCAGCUCACGUGCUUUUAAUUUCUUCAUCCUUAAAUUUUACUUUUUUCUCUUACAAGCUUUUGUUCCGCUAACUAAUUGCUCAUCUUCUUUUUUUUUUUUGUCAUUCACCGUCUUUUUGGCAGGGUAUCUCUGGGAUGGCAUCUUGCCCUUAUUACCUCAUAUUAAUCCAUUACAGCAAUAAAGGCAGUCAAAUUCUGCUCUGCUAUUGAUCAAUGUUUGCUCUUUUUUCCUUUUCAUUGGGUGAAUAAAUAAUAAAAGACAAAUCGAAUCUUUCUAUUUAAAGAGUUGUUGACUACUAAAACUACUAAAUGGAUGAUAAAAUUAAUUAAACUAGAAUAAUCUUAUUGACAAAGUAGGUGGUAGGUUCGUACGAUUCCGGAUCAUUGGUACUAAAAUGUGAAGGAAGAGAUCGAACUUUACAAGAAUUUGUUCUUACUGUAUUCGAACUGGUAAUUGAUUAAAUUUGAUUAAAUUUCUAUGAUGGUGACAUAUAAUGACUUAAAUAUUAUUUUCAGAGAAUAUCACACACGACUUUUCUAUCCUAAUUUUUAUCAAUUUUCCGAACGUAUCAUCACAUACCAUCACGUUCAAGACCCAGCCGACUCUAUAACUAAGGUGUUACUAACGCACAUUAAUAUUACAUCGCAUUUUCACUGCCAUGGCCAAUUUCAGUGUUUCUCAUCAUUACUCUCUAUUUUGGCAAGUAUGGUAGGAAUCUUUAAAACAACGUACAAGAAUCAAGGGGAAGAAAUAAGAAACUGUAAAGAAACAUAUAGUUUGUGAGAGCAUUCAAUUCAGUUCGUGGGGGCAUAAGCUUAAAUAAUUGAUGCAAUUUUAAGCGGUUUUUUUUCCCCCUUGUACAAGGCUAGCUCUGUGUGUGACACGAAAACACGAAAACAUGUAGAGAAAUUGGAUUAUUAAUUUUCAACAGAGAGUAUUAGAAUUUUUUGCAGCGUCAAGAUCAGAACCAAACUAGAUGACAGAUACAAUAAGGCAAGUGGUGAAGAAAUAGCACGAAGACAAUCAGAAAAAGAAAAUUUAAAUUUGACGAGCUCUAGAUGCUUAACCUAAAAAUAACUGAGAUAUUGCAGGUUUCUAUAAUAGGAAAGAUGACACAGAAAAAGCAUGGAAAAGCUCACAGCUCUGUUGAAAACCGAAAAUCCAGCAUUGGCUUGCAGCCACGCUCUGUCUCGUCCUGAAAUCAGACUGAAUUCUGGGUAUGUGUAAAACAGGACAGCAGCCUCAUCCAAUUAUGUUCACCUAUAAACAUUAUGAAGUCAUGACGUUUUUGUCUAUAAAUGAGAAAAAUAAAGUACUAUUGAUCUUUUGAGGAACAUAAUGAUAAUUCGAAAUGAAAAAUAGAUACGAACAAAUGCAUGUGCUAUGCGUAUUUAAAAAGGAGAUUCCCAUUAUAGACAUGCUCUUUAAGAGUUAAGAGACAUAAAGUACAUGGCAAUUGUAUGGUUCCCUUGGGCAUCCCAGUCAACCCAAAAUGGGAUUUUGGCAGGAUCAGGCACUAGAUUCCACCACAUUCCUCCCUUUUUUGCAAAAUAUCCGAGAUAGAUUAUCCAUAUUCUUUUUUUUUUAGCCCUCCACUCUAUACUCUUCUACUAUAAGUUAUCUACAUUUAAAUUUCUUAGUUUUGAUUGCAGCUCAUCGAAUCUGUCUUUUGUCUGUCAUAUAGCAGAUACAGAGACAGCUCUUGAUGAGCUUAAUUUGUUUGCCCAGUGCACUCUUGAUUAACAUUGAACCAAAACUGAAUUGAAAGAAUUAAGAAAAAGGAAAGAAAUAAAUAGUUUGAAGAUAUGAAAAAUUGUUUCUUUUUCUUUGUCCUAUUUUGAUGACAUGAAGACUUAAAAACAUAGUUAGAGAUUUUUUUUUUUUAAUAAUGAUUGAUCCUGCAAACGGAAUAAACUUCAAUAAAAAUAAUAGAGAUGUCGCCAAACAAUAUUUAGAGCGACAUAGUAAACAGAAGCAUAAAGCUAAAACACACAACAUAACUACAAAAAAUUAAAAUAAAUAAGCUGCAUCUGUAUAGAAUUUGUAGCUUGGAAGUUCAUUAAUGUUUUCAUUACUCGAUAGAAGAAGUAAAGCCAAACUAGUCAUCGAAAAAUUUUGGGUACUCCUGGAACAUUACUCCUUUUCCAUUUAUUGCUUGUCAUGUGUAUGAUUCAACGAAUCGUGAUAAUAUAUAUACAUACAUGGCAAGCAUUAAAUUAUUAAGGAGCAAUACUCCAGAAGCACCAAAAACCCAUCAUGUUAUGAGCGCCAUUUGACUACGAAAAGGUACAUAGUAAUAAAUAAUAAAAGAAUAAAAUACCAUUUUCAGAGAAGACUAUUGACUUGAAUGAAGACUCUGUAAUAUCAUUGAAUAAUACACAAGACAUUUCUAUCCUAAUUUUUAUCAAUUUUACGAACGUAUCAUCACAUACCAUCACAUUGCAUUGCAUUGCAUUACAUUAAAGACCCAGCUGACUCUAGCUAACGUGUUACUAACGCACAUUGCAUUGCAUUUUCACUGCCAUGCCCAAUUUCAGCAUUUCUCACCAUUACUCUGUGUUUAGGUAAGUUUGGUAGGAAUCUUCAAUACAAUGUAAAAGAAUCAAGGGAAGAAAUAAGAAACUAUAAAGGAAUAUUAAGUGGAAAAUUUAGUUUGUGAGAGCAUUUCAAUUCAGUUUAUGGGGGCAUAAGCUUAAAUGAUGGGUGUAAUUUUAAGAGUCUUUUCUCUUAAUCAACCAGCGUGAAUAAUAUUGCCAAAUUGUUAAUACUUAUAGUUUACCAAACAUGUGCCUGACUACAAUUUUGUCUAAUUGAUUAUUUCAAAGGAUGGAGCUAGUAUUAGGCAAGCGGGGGCAGUUGCUCUGGCUUGAUUAAAACAGCCGAUAAAUUGCAUUCAUUAUUUAAGUCUCUAUCCACGUGAACCUAAAAAUUCUAUCAAAAAAACUUCUAUUUGUUUAACGAUAAUUUAAAAAGACUACCAAGAAAUUUCUUUUCCAAAGGCAUAUUUACCUGAACGAAGACUUGUUGAGAAGGACAAAGUUUAGCUACUCCAAUGCAGAAUAUAAACCACAAGAGGCUAGACUUAACAAUAUAUCCUCAAUACCAAUGAUAAUUACAACAUCAUUUUCAGAGACCUUGUUAACUUACAUUAUAAGGUAACUUAACACCACCUCAUUUUCUGAGAAGACUAUUGACUUGAAUGAAGAAUCUGUUGUUGACUCAUGACAAAUCUCAAUCUUUCUUGUGCAUGCAUUACCACCUUAGUAAUUCAAUUUCAACCCUCUGAUUGUUUUGCCUACUGACAAGUUGCAGUAUUUUGAAUUACAAGUCUCCCGUCAUCACUUCCCCAUUCAGACAUUUGAUCGAACACCAAGCUGAAUUCUUCAAACACACUGCUAAUCUUAACUCUUAAAAUUUUCUGAUUGAAUUUAAAUGACAGUAAAUUUUUCAUUGUAGUUAAUUACAAGUUACUAAUUAAGUAUUUCUAUAUUAGUUAAUUGUAUGAAAAUAAUCGAUGAACUUAUCCUCCUCUGGAAUUAUGAAUCUAGAUUGUACUCUUAUAGGUAUUGGAAAUAAUCAAAAGCCACAGAGCAAGAAGAAAGUCAUUGAAGCCCUUGGAUUGGAUGGCUGCUAUUGCAUAUUAAGCUCCUGCUGCAGCAGCUAGUGCUAUUUUUUAAAUCUACUCAAUUGGUCAAGAAAGUUUUUUGGAUGCUUCUAAAAAUAUUUAUAUGUAUAGUAUCUUUGACUUAAGAUUGUACUCCAAGCUGAGAACCAAGACACAGUUAAACAAAAAGGUUUUCUUUUUGUGUUAGUAUUUAUAAAUUCAAACCUUGACACACUAGACUAAAUCUCUAACUUUCAUACAAACUACAAAAGAUAAGUCCAUGCAAUUGCAUCACACAAUCCAAAAGUAUGUCAUCACUAAAACCUGUAGAGAAAUUGGGUUAUUAAUUUUCAACAGAGAGCGUCUGAAUUUUUGCAGUUUUUGUAGCAUCGAGAUCAGAACCAAACUAGAUAACAAAUAUGCAAUAGGCAAGUGGUGAAGAAAUAGAGCGAAGACACCAAGAAAAGGCAAGUUUAAGUUGCAGAUGCUCAACUGUAAAAUAACAGAGAUAUUGCAGGUUCAUAUAAUAGGAAAGAUGGCACAGAAGAAGCAUGGACAAACUCACAGCUCUUUUGAAAGCCAAAACUCCAGCAUUGGCUUACAGCCACACUCAGUCUCGUCCUGAAAUCAGACUCAAUUUUGAUGACAUGAAGCCUUAUAAACAUAGUUAGAGAACAUUAAACUUUGUUCAUAUUGAAAAAUGGUUAACUCUUCCAUUUCUUGUCCACAUAAACCUUAAAGGCAGACACAAGGUCGCUUCUAGAACCUUUGACAGCGGCCACUAAACUAAGAUGAUUCAAAACAAAAAUAUCAUAUUCACAAAAAUAAGAUAUACAGGAACAGGGAACUCUUACGUUCUAUUGAUCAAACACCAUCUAUUCUACCUGAUUACAUUCUCAAGAGGAAUUGAAAAAAUGCUUCGGAUAGGAAAGUUUGUUGGAUGCAUGCAAGUUUAUUUGCCACAGAGCUUCCAUUAUGGAGCAGUCUUCUUUCAAUAUCUUAGGCCAUGCAAAAGGGACAUAACAUGUUAAUACAAGUUGGACAAAAAGCAUGUGGUUCUUAUAAAUGUGAUAUGUGAAUAAUGUGCGACCAAAACAAGUACAUCAAUGUAGUUCUGAGUUCUUUACAGUCAUAACCUGAAGUCUUUCGGGAUCAUCUCCGAUACUCUAUAUCUUAAGUUAACUUAUACCACCGAGGUAGAUACAAAUAAAGCAAUGAAAUAACUUUUACAACAACCUUCUCUGAUUCAAGUUUGUACCCACUAAUCCUUUAAAUUAUGGUCUUUCUUUUUCUUGAUUACUCUUAAGUAUCUCACAAUCAUCUUAUCCAAGAAUUGUCGUAGGUAGUGACCAAAACCUUACUUUGGGCUGGCUUUACUGCUUUCAGAUUUUUAGCUCCCAUAUCAUUAACUGACAACACUAAUUUUGAUGAAUUACAAGGAAGCCAUUUGGACUUCAUGCUCUCGCUCUCAAAGAGGCAAAGGUCCCAAUUCUCAAAUUCCAAAUAGUUAGGCACACCAGAAAACCCAAUUAUGUUUGCAUUGCCUCAUGGAUGUCAGGCGAACCCAAAUUCUAAAUAACUGCAAAUGAAUUUGAUUUGGGUAUGAGUUAAUUCAACAAUGAAUCAAUACAAUACAGUAGUAAAAUAUUUCAUUUAUGAAUGAAACUACAGGAUUUUCAUAACGUUUAAAAAUAAUAGUAUGAUAGGAUCCAACCAACAUAAACAAGUGGCUAACCUGUUAUGAAUCUCUCACAAAAACGUGGAGCUCUUAUAAGUAUUUCAAGAUGUUUUCUCCAUCAGUUUAUUGGCGGCAGAAUGCUUGACUUGGCUCUGCCAUACACCCGUCCAUGACCUUUUCCUACAGUAUGAAUGGACUUCUCCAAAUGGAACAUGAUGUCCGGCUCACACUACAUAUUAAGUAAUUAAACAAGAAACUGUAUCAACUUUCUUGGAAUUGCAAAACAAUGGGGACCCAAAUAAAAAAAAAAUCAACAAGCUCUGUAUUUUUCAAGAUGAGUCUGAAAUUUAUUCAUCUGUAUCAUGAGAGAUCUUACCAAAAUUCCAAAUCCACAGUCCGCGGUUUCAAAUAACAAGUACAUGAAUUCCAAAAUUGCAAGCUCAUUGUGGAACAAGAAAGAAAUAAUGUUAAUCAACCAUUUACUAUUAACCACUGUUGAUAAUCACCACCAAAAAGCAUACCAAAGUAAAAAUGAUAUCAUCACAGCACACACACAGAAGAAACAUUUAUGCAGCAUGUUUCUGUACAAAUACAAAAUUAAGCGAGACCCAGAAAAUAAAGAUCAAAUCGUUAGAAACCCCAUCAAGCAAAAUCAUCAAAAACCACUCAUUGUCAAUGUCAGCCUUACAUGUCACACCACAACAAGAUUUUGAUACUUGACGGUCGCAGCAUUGGCAAGAAUAUCGCAUCUUUGAACCCUAAUUGCAAUCUUGAAACUUCCAACGAUUGGCGUAGACUAAGAUCUCUGAGGCGCAUGUUAGCAACAAGGAAGCACAUUCACUACUGAGAUUGUGUGCCCGUCAUAAAGUCACAGAGCAACCCCAGAAGCAUAUAAUUUUAUCUUGAUUUAGAUUUCAAGCAUCAGAAAAUGAAAGUCACUUCGCUUAUAAUUUUAUCUAGCGAAUUUCUUUUUUCUAAUUUUAAAAUAAAUUAUUGAUAAAACAGGUUUACUAAUUAAUACUUUCAAAUAAAAUAAAAAAUAACGAUUAUAAUCUCAAUUACUUUCACCGCACGUGCGCCUUAAAAAACCACCUGGAAAUUCAAAAUCCAACUACAACGGCAGGCAAACAUCACUCCGGUUAAUCAAGUUGAGGAUGCCACGACGCUAUUUUUCGCUGCCAUAUUUGUCAAUAGCGGUUAGUUGUUGGCUCUUAAAUUUUACACACCAAACUUCAAUAGUGUUGAAAAAUCAAAGAGUUUUGGUUGAAAAAACAAAGUGAGCCACAUGCAUUGCUUUUGUUUUUCAAAGUCAGCACCAAAUUCCAAGCUGUAAAAUAUUUGGCAUUUGACAAUCCUGCACCAAAUGAAGAAAAAUGGAAAAGUUAGCAAAAUUUAUCAAAUUGACAAAUUGCAGAGGAGUUAGGUGGAAUAGUGCAAGCUUGAAGCUUAUAAAUUGAAGUCAUUUCCUCAUUCUAAAUUAUCCUAAAAUUGUUAAGUUUAUAAGUUUCUAAGCUUUUGAGAGAAGUGAGAGAAGUAUGUCUGUAGAAUUUAUCUUUCCUGCAGAGUAUGAGAGUACUGAGUAUAUUUGGGUUUCUGGGAAGUGAGAUUCGUUACUCAAAUAUUAUACUCUAUUAAUUAUUAAAUAAACAAUUAUUCUUUCUUGCCUCCGUGGAUGUAGGUUUAAUUACCGAACCACGUAAUUCUUGUGUCCUUUAUUUUUCUAUAAUUAUUUGGUGCGCUUGAUUCCGCAUUCCGCGCAUAACAAAUAGUUAAUUUUUCCAGAUAAACUUAAUUAUGACGUAACAUAAUAUUCAGUUUCCUAAAUACUAAAUUCAAAUUAGAGACAUCGCUAACGGCUAUAUAAUUCCUACGCGCCCAUCAGAUAGCUAUAUAAGUGCCCCCAACAUAACAGACACCGCCUUAUCGCAACACUACUUGAUUAACAAGCAACUGGGAGAUUUUUCAAAUCCUAAGUUUUUUUUUUAGUUUCCAAAUUCUUCUUCAUUCAUCAACCAAAUCCUACCCACCAAAAAUCUUCUCAAACCCAUCUGAUUCAAUCUUUAGCAGGGUUAUUCAUAGGAAUCAACCGUUUAUUCGCCGACGCAGUAUCAAUCACCAUUGGUUGUUCUUACCAUUUUUCCACGGCAAGGUUACAUGGAUGUUGAUUGUACGACUUUCUUUAUCCAUGCUUUGCAUUGCCGUGUGUUUGGGAUUCCCUGGUGACUUUUGUUGGCUUUAAUCCCGUGUGUUUGGGAUUCGCUGGUGACUUUUGUUGGCUUUAAUCAUCUCUCAAAUUGUCAUAUCCUAACCCAUAAGCAACGCUCAGAUUGAAGACUUUUCUUGGCUUCAAUAGUUGAUGCAGAUUAUACAAAGUAUAAAUUGGCAUGGAGUCCAGGAUUUUCGAUAUAACAACAUAUCCUCAAAGCUAAUGAUAAUUAUAAUGUCAUCCAAAUUGUUCCUUCUAUUUGAAAAUAUAGCUUUGUUUUCUGUGAUAUUUUUCCAAUUGAAGCCCACAAUUGCUGAUUCUAACAACAUAAUAAUAAGGUGCAUUGAUGAGGAGAGAGAAGCGCUUCUCACUUUUAAACAGAGCUUGGUGGAUGAACAUGGCGUUCUGUCUUCCUGGGGAAGAGAAGAUGACAAAAGAGAUUGUUGUAAAUGGAGAGGAGUCCAUUGUAGCAACACAACUGGCCAUGUCAAGGUGCUUAAUCUUCGAACAUCCGACGAGGAAAACGCUCAGAGGAAGGUCUUGAAAGGUGAAAUUAGUCCUGCUUUGCUUGAAUUGCAUGAUAUAAGACAUUUGGACCUUAGUAACAAUCACUUCAGUGCAAGCCCAGUUCCUGAGUUCAUUGGUUCCCUCAGCAAAUUGAGGUACCUCAAUCUCUCUUGUAGCAUACCUUUAGAACUCCCUCGAAAAUUCCGGAACCAUUCAGGAUUGGAAUAUCCCAACCUAGAAAACUCUAGUUUAUUUAGUGUGGGAAGCUUAGAGUGGCUUUCUCGUCUUUCUUCUUUAAGACACCUUGACCUGAGUUACAUUAAUCUCACUAAAUCUAGUGACUGGUUUCAAGUAGUUUCCAAGCUCCAUUCCUUAAAAUCAUUAGUCCUAUGCUCGUGUGCUCUUCCACCUGUCAAUCCAUCGUUUAUUUGGCACUUCAAUUUGAGUACGUCUAUUGAGACCCUUGAUCUUUCUGACAACAAUCUCCCUUCUUCUUCAGUAUACCCUUGGCUUUUCAAUCUUAGCAGGAAUAUUCUUUAUCUUAACCUUGGCUCUAAUUCAUUACGAGGUUCAAUUCCAGAGGCUUUUCAACACAUGGUUUCUCUUAAAAGUCUUGAUCUCUGUGAUAGCGAACUUGAAGGUGGGAUUCCAAAAUUCUUUGGAAACAUGUGUAGCUUACAAAAGUUAGGCUUGUCUGAAAACAAACUCAGUGGACAAUUCUCGCAGGUAAUUCAAAAUCUGUCAGGUGGAUGCGUGGUGAACUCACUAGAGUGGCUAUAUUUAGGUUAUAAUGAAUUCACGGGGCCUGUACCUCAUCUUGGAGGAUUUUCAUCCCUGGAAGCAUUGAAGCUUCAGUUUAAUCGUUUAAAUGGAACAAUAGACAAGAGCCUCAGCCAGUUGUCGAAGCUCGAGUCUCUGUCACUUCGUAGGAAUUCAUUCACAGGAGUUAUCUCUGAAACUUUUUUUUCCAAUAUGUCCAACUUGCAGAUGUUGGACUUGGAUGAGAACUCUUUGACUUUGAAAUUGAGCCAUGAUUGGGUUCCUCCUUUUCAACUGAAAUGGUUAAGUCUUGCCUCUUGCAAGAUGGGACCUCAUUUUCCAAAAUGGCUUCAAACGCAGAAUCAGCUUGUGCUUCUUGACAUCUCCAAUGUUGGAAUCUCAGACAGUAUUCCUGAUUGGUUCUGGGAUUUGUCCAGUAAACUCUCUUACUUCAAUCUCUCUAACAAUCAUAUUAAGGGCAACCUUCCCGAUUUGUCUUUAAGGUUUGAUGGUACUCGUAGUGGUGGUACUUGUAUAGACCUCAAUUCAAACCACUUUGAGGGCCCAAUUCCACCACUUCCUUCAAAUUCGUUGUUCUUAAAUCUCUCUAAAAAUAAGUUCUCAGGGUCAGUUACUUUCUUAUGUUCCAUCAGUGAAAACACAUGGAACUUUUAAGAUCUCUCGAGUAACUUAUUGUCUGGAGGGCUUCCCAAUUGUUGGUUGCACUUUGAUAGCCUAUUCGUUCUUAACUUAGCAAAUAACAGCUUCUCAGGAAAAAUACCGGACUUGAUGGGUUUCCUAAAUAACAUCCGAGCACUCAAUUUUCACAACAAUAGGUUAACUAGGGAAUUGCCUUCAUCUUUAAGGAAUUGCUCGCAACUGAGAGUUUUGGAUCUCAGGAAGAACGCAUUCUUUGGUGAGAUUCCAACGUGGAUAGGGGAAAGUCUACAAAAUUUGAUUGUUCUUAGCCUAAAAUCUAAUAACUUUCAUGGAAAUAUAGCUUAUCAGUUGUGCAAUCUGGGAUUUAUUCAAGUCUUGGAUCUUUCUUUUAACAUUAUAUCGGGAAAGAUACCAAAGUGUUUCAAUAAUUUUUCAGCCAUGACCUAUGAAAGAUGUUCCAAUCCUACCAUUGGGUUCGCCAAAUCCUUCUUAGUUCCCCCUGGAAUUGGAUAUUACUAUAAAUAUUUGGUCAAUUUACUGUUGACUUGGAAAGGAAGUGAAAAUGAGUACAAAAGUACUUUGGGACUUGUAAGGUGCCUUGACCUUUCGAGUAACAAAUUAGAUGGAGCAAUUCCUGAAGAGAUUAUGGAUCUUGUGGGGUUGAUUGCCUUAAACCUUUCAAGAAACAAUUUAACCGGACCAAUCACUCCGAAGAUUGGUGAGUUAACAUCAUUGGAUUUCCUGGAUUUGUCUAGAAAUCUGUUUUCUGGAAGUAUUCCAUCUAGCCUCUCUCAGUUAAGUGGUCUUGGCGUCUUGGACUUGUCGUACAACAAUUUGUCAGGAAAAAUCCCAUCAGGCACUCAGCUCUAGAGCUUCAAUGCUUCAGUGUACGCUGGAAAUCUUGAACUUUGUGGCCUUCCACUUGCAAAUAUGUGUCCGGAUGAAGAAUCAACUCCAAGUCCAGGCACAGACAAUGAUUCAGACACUUUAAAAGAUGAGGACGAUCAGUUUAUAACUCUCGGAUUUUACGUGAGCUCGAUUCUUGGUUUCUUUGUUGGAUUCUGGGGAGUCUGUGGAACUUUAGUGCUGAAUAGGUCAUGGCGGUAUGGUUACUUCAACUUCCUGAUUGGUAUGAAAGAUUGGGUCUAUGUGAUAGCAGCUGUGAAUAUUAUCAAACUGCAAAGAAAGUUUAGGAACUAAUUAAACGGUAAUACUCCUCAACAUUGGGUUUCAAUCAUUGUAAUCAGCUCACGUGCUUUUAAUUUCUUUAUCCUUGAAUUUUACUAUUUUCUCUUACAAGCUUUUGUUCCUGUAACUAAUUGUUCAUUUUCUUUUUUUUUCAUUCACCAUCUUUUUGGCAGAGCAUCUCUGGGAUGGUAUCUUGCCAUUAUUGGUCAUUUGAUAUUUGGAAUCAUUCAAAAAAAUUAACUCAUAUGACGCACAUUGUGUUGUUGAGUGUAUGCUUCAAGAAACUUAUAUGUGGUUCUCUUUAGACCAUCGUCGAUCUAUACGUUUAUAUACUUAGGUUAGAGUUCUGUUAUACUAUUAAUCCAUUAUAGCAAUAAAAGCAAUCAAAUUCUGAUCUGCUAUUGAUCAAAGUUAGCUCUUUUUUUGUUUUCAGUGGGUGAAUAAAUAAUAAAAGACAAAACGAAUCUUUCUAUUUAGAGUUGUUGACCAUAAAACUACUAAAUGGAUGAUAAAAUUAAUUAAUUAAUUAAUUAAACUAGAAUAAUCUUAUUGACAAAGUAGCUGGUAGGUUCGUACGAUUCCGGAUCAUUGGUACUAAAAUGUGAAGGAAGAGAUCGACUUUUACAAUAAUUUGGUUUUACUAUAUUCGAAUUGGUUAUUGAUUAAAUUUGAUUAAAUUUCUAUGAUGGUGACAUAUAAUGGUGAUGAUCAAAGACUUAAAUAUUAUUUUCAGAGAAGACUGUUGACUUGAAUGCAGACUCAGUAAUAUGAUUGAAUAUCACACAAGACUUUUCUAUCCUAAUUUUUAUGAAUUUUCCAAACGUAUCAUCACAUUCAAGAUCCAGCUGACUCUAUAAUGUAACUAACGUGUUACUAACGCACAUUAAUAUUACAUCGCAUUUUCACUGCCACGGCCAAUUUCAGCGUUUCUCAUCAUUACUCUCUAUUUUGGCAAGUAUGGUAGGUGUUUUUUUCCCCCCUUGUACAAGGCUAGCACCGUGCGUGACACUAUCGGCACACAACAGUGGUGAAUAAUAAAAAGUUAAGUGUGUGAACAAUAUUGCCAAAUUAUUUUUUUUUUUUUUGAGGAGAACUAUUGCUCAUGAUAUUUACAACCAUACAAAUUACUAAGACCAAUUUACAUCAACUCUGAUAUGACACCGCUCAGAUUUUUAACCCUCUCAAAUAUUCGAGGGACGCCUACUCCCCUCCUGGGAGAAAGACUGCCUUCACUCAAGCCCUUACUUGAUUAGAACAAGCGGUCGCAAAUUGUAUUCAUCAUUUGAGUGUCUAUCCCCAUGAACUGAAUUGAAAUACCCCCAUGAGUUGAAGAAUUUAAGCUCGUACCCUUGUCAAUUUAUGGUGCGUUUUCUUCAUGUAAUGGGUAUGUGGUGGAAUGAGAAUGAGCUGGGAAUGAGGCUGAAAUAAAAAUAAAGAAUGAGAAUAAGAUUUUAAUGUUUCCUUGACAAAAAUAAAUGGAAAUGAGAAUAUACUGGAAUGCCAUUGAUGUGUUUACUUGGCAAAAUAAAUGGAAAUGAGAAAUGUGAAUAAAAAUCAAUUUACCAAAAUACCCAAAUAUUAAAUAAUGUAAUUUUCAUAAACUAGAUACAUAUAUAAAUAUUAUUAUAAAAAUGAUAUUAAUUAAAAAAUAAAAUUAAUAAUAAUAAUAAUAAUAAUAAUAAUGAUAAUAUUAAUAAAAAUAAUAUUAAUUAAAAAAAUAAAAUUAAUAAUAAUAAUAAUAAUGAUAAUAUUAAUAAAAAUAAUAAUAGCAAUAAUUAAUAAUAACUAAAAUAAUAGAGUUAAUAAAAUUUAAUAAUAAUCAUAAUAAUAAUGACAUUUAAAAUAAUAAAAUUAAUAAAUUUUGAUUAUAAUAAUAAUAAUAAAUGUUGAUAAUGAUAAUAUUAAUAAAAUAAUAAUAACAAUAAUUAAUAAUAACUAAAAUAAUAAAGUUAAUAAAAUUUAAUAAUAAUAAUAAUAAUAAUAAUAAUAAUAAUAAUAAAAACUCGUGUAAGUGACUUCAUUCAAGCGUGUGAUUUGAACGAGCAUAAUUCGGAAAAUAUGAAAAAAAAUAGAGGGAUACAAAAGUCAGUUCAGGAAAUGAGAAUCCCCAUUUCCAACCCUCCACGUGAAUGAGAUUCUUAUUUCUUAUUCUCAAAUUGUGUGAGACCCACAUAUUUUAUUCUCAUUCCCAAAUUAUAUUUUGCCAAAUAAACAUAAGUUUCAUUAUCAUUCAUUCAUCCUCAUUCCCUAAACCCUCAAGUAAACCACCGUUAAUUGAAAUGCGCCAUGAGUUGGAAGUUGCCAUCCCUUAAAUUGAAUUCAUUAUUAAGUUGCCACUGUAAACUGACUUUUGUCUCCGAUUAUUUCGUCAGCCCACAAACAAUUGAUAAUUACAUAAGCAGCACGCAACAAUCACAAACCGGGCCUAAGAAUGAAGCUUGCUUUGUUUGAGAAAAAGAAAAUGCUAAUAGAAACAAGAUAAAUUUGGUACCAAUUUAUUCACUUAAUUUUUUUUUAAAAAUAAACCAACACCCAAUUUACUCUGUUUCUAUCAGCGCUAAUCAUCAUUUUGUUUGCUUACAAUUAUUGUCAUGGACUCCAGGAUUUUGGAUAUAACAAUAUAUCCUGAAUACCAAUGAUAAUUACAAUACAUUAUAAUGCAACUUAACAUAAUAACAUCACCCCAUUUUCAUAGAAGACCAUUGAUUUGAGUGAAGGCUCUGUUGUUGACUCAAGACUAUUAACUUAAUGAUUUCUUGUUCUUUCUUGAGCAUGCAUUACCACCCAUGUGCUUCAAUUUCAACCCUCUGAUUGUCUUGCCAACUGAUCAUCACAAAAGGGUCCUCUUCUGAAUUCAUAAGUUGCAGUAUUUUGAAUUACAAGUCUCCUGUCAUCAAGUCUCCAUUCAGAUAUUUGAUUGAACCCCAAGCUGAAUUCUUCAAACACGCUGCUCAUCUUAACUGUUAAACAAUAAACUUUCAUUGUAAUUAAUUACAAGUUACUAAUUAAGUAUUUCUAUCAAAAACUAUUUAAAAUAAUUGAGGAACUUAUCCUCCUCUGCAAUAUGCGCUCGCAGCCACACCAAUCACUCCUUAAAGUCGCAUAAGAAAAAAUAAUGUGUUAAUCCAUGACAGCAGCCUCAUCCAAUUUGAAUAUGGCAUCAUCAUAUCUUAAAUAGAUAAUAUUAUGAUCUUUAUACGACAGACUACAUGACAUUUUAACUCAAUAAAUUGCAAACAAAAGUAUGGAGACAAGUAUAUUUAUUAAGAAGACAAUUAAUAACCAUUUUAUUAAAGGGUUAAAAGGCAUGUAAGUACUUUAAGGCAUGUAUUUUCACAGAAACCAUCUUUCUUCUACCAUCUCUCAUCUUUUCACCUUUUCAUUAUUUUCCCAUUCUUCAAAAUUUCUCUCUUCUAUAUUUCUCAAAUUAUGGUGUAUAUAUGUCAAAGGCAUGUAUUUUCUGAUUUAAGGGGCUGCUGGAAUUAGGAAUAUAGCUUGUACUCUUAUAGGUUGUUGGAAAUUAUCAAAAGCCACAGAGCAGGCAGAAAGUCAAUGAAGCCAUUGGAUUGGAUUGCUAUUGCAUAUUAAGCUCCUGUUGCUGCAGCUACUGCUACUUUUUAAAAUCCACUCAAUUGGUCAAGAAAUUUUUUCAGAUGCUCCUAAAAAUAUUUAUAUAUAUAAUAUGUUUGACUUAAGAUUAUACUCCAAACUGAGAACCAAUACACAGUUAAACAAAAAAGGUUUUCUUUCAGCUUUAGUUUUAUAACUCCAUCCUUGACGCACUAGAUUAAAUCACUAACUUUCAUACAAACUACAAAAGAGAAGUGCAUGCAAUUGUAUCACAAAAUCCAUAAAGUGUGUCAACACGAAAACAUUUAGAGAAAUUGGAUUAUUAAUUUUCAACAGAGAGUAUUAGAAUUUUUGCAGCGUCAAGAUCAGAACCAAACUAGAUGACAGAUACAAUAAGGCAAGUGGUGAAGAAAUAGCACGAAGACACUCAGAAAAAGCAAAUUUAAAUUUGACGAGCUCCAGAUGCUUAACCUAAAAAUAACAAAGAUAUUGCAGGUUUAUAUAAUAGGAAAGAUGACACAGAAAAAGCAUGGAAAAGCUCACAGCUCCGUUGAAAACCGAAAAUCCAGCAUUGGCUUGCAGCCACGCUCAGUCUCGUCCUGAAAUCAGACCGAAUUCUGGGUAUGUGUAAAACAGGACAGCAGCCUCAUCCAAUUAUGUUCACCUAUAAACAAUAUGAAGUCAUACGACGUUUUUGUCUAUAAAUGAGAAAAAUAAAGUACUAUUGAUCUUUUGAGAAACAUAAUUCUUUUUUUUUUUUUUUUGGCUAAGAAACAAAUCUUUUGAGAAACAUAAUGAUAAUUCGAAAUGAAAAAUAGAUACGAACAAUUAAGUGGAAAAUUUAAUUUGUGAGUGCAUUUCAAUUCAGUUUAUGGGGGCAUAAGCUUAAAUGAUGGGUGUAAUUUUAAGAGUCUUUUCUCUUAAUCAACCAGCAUGAAUAAUAUUGCCAAAUUGUUAAUACUUAUAGUUUACCAAACAUGUGCCUAACUACAUUUUUGUCUAAUUGAUUAUUUAAAAGGAUGGAGCUAGUAUUAGGCAAGUGGGGGCAGUUGCUCUCGCUUGAUUAAAACAGCCGAUAAAUUGCAUUCAUUAUUUAAGUCUCUAUCCACGUGAAUCUAAAAAUUCUAUUAAAAAACUUCUAUUUUUUUAACGAUAAUUUAAAAAGACUACCAAGAAAUUUCUUUUCCAAAGGCAUAUUUACCUGAACGAAGACUUGUUGAGAAGGACAAGGUUUAGCUACUCCAAUGCAGAAUAUAAAACACAAGAGGCUAGACUUAACAAUAUAUCCUCAAUACCAAUGAUAAUUACAAAAUCAUUUUCAGAGACCUUGUUAACUUACAUUAUAAUGUAACUUAACACCACCUCAUUUUCUGAGAAGACUAUUGACUUGAAUGAAGAAUCUGUUGUUGACUCAAGACUAUAGACCUGAAUGAAUUCUCGAUCUUUCUUGUGCAUGAAUUACCGCCUCAAUAAUUCAAUUUCAACCCUCUGAUUGUUUUGCCUACUGACCAUCACAAAAGGGUCCUCUGAAUUGACAAGUUGCAGUAUUUUGAAUUACAAGUCUCCUGUCUUCACUUCCCCAUUCAGACAUUUGAUCGAACACCAAGCUAAAUUCUUCAAACACCCUGCUAAUCUUAACUCUUAAAAUGUUCUGAUUGAAUUUUAAAUGGCAGUAAAUUUUUCACUGUAGUUAAUUACAAGUUACUAAUUAAGUAUUUCCAUAUUAGUUAAUUGUAUGAAAAUAAUCGAUGAACUUAUCCUCCUCUGGAAUUAUGAAUCUAGAUUGUACUCUUAUAGGUAUCGGAAAUAAUCAAAAGCCACAGAGCAAGAAGAAAGUCAUUGAAGCCCUUGGAUUGGAUUGCUGCUAUUGCAUAUUAAGCUCCUGCUGCAGCAGCUAGUGCUAUUUUUUAAAUCUACUCAAUUGGUCAAGAAAGUUUUUCGGAUGCUUCUAAAAAUAUUUAUAUGUAUAAUAUCUUUGACUUAAGAUUGUACUCCAAGCUGAGAACCAAGACACAGUUAAACAAAAAAGUUUUCUUUCUGUGUUAGUAUUUAUAAAUUCAGACCUUGACACACUAGACUAAAUCUCUAACUUUCAUACAAACUACAAAAGAUAAGUCCAUGCAAUUGCGUCACACAAUCCAUAAGUAUGUCAUCACAAAAACCUGUAGAGAAAUUGGAUUAUUAAUUUUCAACAGAGAGCAUCUGAAUUUUUGCAGCUUUUACAGCAUCGAGAUUCAGGACAAAACUAGAUAACAAAUACGCAAUAGGCAAGUGGUGAAGAAAUAGAGCGAAGACACCAGGAAAAGGCAAGUUUAAGUUCGAUAAGCUCCAGAUGCUCAACUGCAAAAUAACAGAGAUAUUGCAGGUUUAUAUAAUAGGAAAGAUGACACAGAAGAAGCAUGGACAAACUCACAGCUCUUUUGAAAGCCAAAACUCCAGCAUUGGCUUGCAGCCACACUCAGUCUCGUCCUGAAAUCAGAGUCAAUUUUGAUGACAUGAAGCCUUAUAAACAUAGUUAGAGAACAUUAAACUUUGUUCAUAUUGAAAAAUGGUUAACUCUUCCAUUUCUUGUCCACAUAAACCUUAAAGGCAGACACAAGGUCGCUUCUAGAACCUUUGACAGCAGCCACUAUACUAAAGAUGAUUCAAAACAAAAAUAUCAUAUUCACAAAAAUAAGAUAUACAGGAACAAGGAACUCUUACGUUCUAUUGAUCAAACACCAUCUAUUCCACCUGAUUACAUUCUCAAGAGGAAUUGAAAAAAUGUUUUGGAUAGGAAAGUUUGUUGGAUGCAUGCAAGUUUAUUUGCCACAGAGCUUCCAUUAUGGAGCAGUCUUCUUUCAAUAUCUCAGGCCAUGCAAAAGGGACAUAGCAUGUUAAUUCAAGUUGGACAAAAAGCAUGUGGUUCUUACAAAUGUGAUAUGUGAAUAAUGUGCGACUAAAACAAGUACAUCAAUGUAGUUCUGAGUCCUUUACAGUCAUAACCUGAAGUCUUUCGGGAUCAUCUCCGAUACUCUAUAUCUUAAGUUAACCAUUUUCUGUAUCAUUUUACAAUUAUACAACAAAGAUUAUCAGUCACUCCUUAUACCACCGAGGUAGAUACAAAUAAAGCAAUGAAAUAACUUUUACAACAACCUUCUCAGAUUCAAGUUUGUACCCACUAAUCCUUUAAAUUAUGGUCUUUCUUUUUCUUGAUUACUCUACUUAUCUCACAAUCAUCUUAUCCAAGAAUUGUCAUAGGUAGUGACCAAAACCUAACUUUGGGCUGGCUUUACUUCAGAUUUUUAGCUCCCAUAUCAUUAACUGACAACACUAAUUUUGAUGAAUCACAAGGAAGCCAUUUGGACUUCAUGCUCUCGCUCUCAAAGAGACAAAGGUCCCAAUUCUCAAAUUCCAAAUAGUUGGGCACACCAGAAAACCCAAUUAUGUUUGCAUUGCCUCAUAGAUGUCAGGUGAACCCAAAUUCUAAAUAACUACAAAUGAAAUUUGAUCUGGUUCUGAGUUAAUUCAACAAUGAAUCAAUACAAUACAGUAGUAAAAUAUUUCAUUUAUGAAUGAAACUACAGGAUUUUCAUGACGUUUAAAAAUAAUAGUACGAUAGGAUCCAACCAACAUAAACAAGCGGCUAACCUGUUAUGAAUCUCUCACAAAAACGUGGAGCUCUUAUAAGUAUUUCAAGAUGUUUUCUCCAUCAGUUUAUUGGCGGCAGAAUGUUUGACUUGGCUGCCAUACACCUGUCCAUGACCUUUCCCUGCAGUAUGAAAUGGACUUCUCCAAAUGGAACAUGAUGUCCAGCUCACACUACAUAUUAAGUAAUUAAACAAGAAACUAUAUCAACUUUCUUGGAAUUGCAAAACAAUCGGGACCCAAAUUUUAAAAAAAAAUCAACAAGCUCUGUAUUUUCAAGAUGAGUCUGAAAUUUAUUGAUCUAUAUCACGAGAGAUCUUACCACAAUUCCAAAUCCACAGUCCGCGGCUUCAAAUAACAAGUACAUGAACUCCAAAUUAGCAAGCUCAUUGUGCAACAAGAAAGAAGUAAUGUUAACCAAUCAUUUACUAUUAAACACUGUUGAUAAUCACCCCCAAAAUCCCAGGGAACAAUUCAUACCCAAAAAGCAUAACAAAGUAAAAAUGAUAUCAUCACAACACAUACACACAGAUGAAACAUUUAUGCAGCAUGUUUCUGUACAAAUACAAAAUUAAGCGAGACCCAGAAAAUAAAGAUCAAAUCUUCAGAAACCCCAUCAAGCAAAAUCAUCAAAAAGCACUCAUUGUCAAUGUCAGCCUUACAUGUCACACCACAACACGAUUUUGAUACUUGACGGUCGCCACGUUGACAAGAAUAUCGCAUCUUUGAACCCUAAUUGCAAUAUUGAAACUUCCAACGGUUGGCAUAGACUAAGAUCUCUGAAACUUCCAACGGUUAGGGAACAAUUUUUUUUUUUUUUUUUUUUAUAAUGAUUGAUCCUGCAAACGGAAUAAACUUCAAUAAAAAUAAUAGAGAUGUCGCCAAACAAUAUUUAGAGCGACAUAGUAAACAAAGCAUAAAGAGUGACAUAGUAAACAGAAGCAUAAAGCUAAAACACACAACAUAACUACAAAAAAUUAAAAUAAAUAAGCUGCAUCUGUAGAGAAUUUGUAGCUUGGAAAUUCAUUAAUGUUUCAUUACUCGAUAGAAGAAGUAAAGCCAAACUAGUCAUCGAAAAAUUUUGGAAGCUCCUGGAACAUUACUCCUUUUCCAUUUAUUGCUUGUCAUGUGUAUGAUUCAACGAAUCAUGAUAACAUAUAUGCAUACAUGGCAAGCAUUAAAUUAUUAAAGAGCAAUACUCCAGAAGCACCAAAAACCCAUCAUGUUAUGAGCGCCAUUUGACUACGGAAAGGUACAUAGUAAUAAAUAAUAAAAGACUAAAAUAUCAUUUUCAGAGAAGACUAUUGACUUGAAUGAAGACUCUGUAAUAUCAUCACAACACAUACACACAGAUGAAACAUUUAUGCAGCAUGUUUCUGUACAAAUACAAAAUUAAACGAUACCCAGAAAAUAAAGAUCAAAUCUUCAGAAACCCCAUCAAGCAAAAUCAUCAAAAAGCACUCAUUGUCAAUGUUAGCCUUACAUGUCACACCACAACAAGAUUUUGAUACUUGAGGGUCGCCGCGUUGGCAAGAAUAUCGCAUCUUUGAACCCUAAUUGCAAUAUUGAAACUUCCAACGGUUGGCGUAGACUAAGAUCUCUGAGGCGCAGGUUAGCAACAAGGAAGCACAUUCACUACGGAGAUUGUGUGCCCGUCAUGAAAGUCACAGAGCUAUCUUGAUUUAGAUUUCAACCAUCAGAAAAUGAAAGUCACUUCGCUUAUAAUUUUAUCUAGCGAAUUUCUUUUUUCUAAUUUUAAAAUAAAUUAUUGAUAAAACAGAUUUACUAAUUAAUACUUUCAAACAAAAGAAAUAACGAUAAUAAUCUCAAUUACUUUCACCGCACCUGCGCGUUAAAACAACACCCGGAAAUUCAAAAUCCAACAACAAUGGCAAGCAAACAUCACUCCGGUUAAUCAAGCUGUGGAUGCACCACGCCGUUUUUUUGCCUUGUUUGCCAAUAUCGGUUAGUCACUAGUGCUUAAAUUUUAUGCCCCAAACUCCAACUACUCAUUUUCCCGAAUAAAUUUAAUUAUGACGUAAUAAAAUAUCUAAUUUCCUAAAUAUUAAAUUGAAAUUAGAGACAUCGUAUAUAAUUCAUGCACACAUAUCAGACGGCUAUAUAAGUGCCCCCAACAGAACAUACACCGCCUUAUCCCAACACUACUUGAUUAGCAAGCGACUGAGAAAGUUUCCAAAUCCUAUAUUUUUCAGUUUUCAAAUUCUUCUCCCAUUCAUCAACCAAAACCUACCCACCAAAAAUCUUCUUAAACCCAUCUGAUUCAAUCUCGAUUUCUGAUUUCAUCGAUCGCUUUUUGAUUCUCAGAACACCAACACAAUGUCUCCUCACGUUGGAUUAAGAUUUUAUCUAACAGAACAAGAAUUGCUGGAGUUCUAUCUCCUUCACAAAAUUACCCAAAACCCUAAUCUCUACCAAGCCGGUGAUGAUAUUCCAAUGAAAGAUUGUGAUCUCUAUGGUCCUCAUGAUCCAAACUUGAUUUGAGAUUUGUACGGAAGAGACCAAUUAAUGGGGGGUCAAGCACUCUACUUCUUCACCCAGUUAAAGAAGGUGUCUGCUAAGGGUUUGAGGUUCGAUAGAAAGAUUGGCUUCGGUGCUUGCCAGGGUGAGGACAGAGCCAAGCUUAUUCUCGCUGUUAGCUCUAAAGAUCAAAUUCUAGGGUCCACGAAGAGGUUUAGGUAUGAAAGUCGUAAAAACUUGGAACAAAAUGGGAGGUGGAUUAUGCAUGAAUUCACCAUUAAUUCAGCCUUGUUGGGUGAUCAAUACUCGCAUAAAGCGCACGAUUUUGUUCUCUGCAGCGUCAAAAAGAACGAAUCGAAAAAGUGCUCGGAGAAAGCCAAUUUGGGCAGAAAGAGAUCUUCUGGUUCCAAGAGAAAGUUGAAGGAAGUAGUGACCUCCGGCAGCCACACUGAUCACGAUAAUGAGUGCUUUCAGAGCAAACGCUUAAAGGCUCAUCAAAAUUCGAUAUUGAUAGAACAAAACCACUCACCGUGUUCGAGUAGCAGUCUGAACCCAGUGGAGCACCAAGGGGAGAUCAUACAUUUGGUGCCUCAAUAUUCGACUCUCUUUGACGUUGAAGGAUAUAGGGGUAGUCUUAUCCAAAUCCUAGAAGAGGAUAAGCAUGAUGAGGGUAGUCAAACUGGUCAACAGAGGGCUGAAGCAGAGGCAGUUUGUGUUCAACAGAACCAAGCAAAUGACAUCCCAUGCUCCAGUAACAACAAUGUGCAGACUGAGGCAGUCCUGAACAAGCGACAAGAGGCUAUUGAAGAAGAGGCACUUUUGGCUCAACAAAAUAAUCCAAUUGAGUUGUCGUGCCUUGAUAACAUCUGGGACAUUGUGGAAUCCGAAGUGGAGAUUGAUUCUUUACCUGACAGACUUGUUUUUGAUGUGGACGAGCUUUUGUCUGAACUCGAUGGGGUUGCUGCCUGUAGAGUUUCUAUCGAGGGUCAAUCAAGUGCUUAAUCGAGUAAUGUAAUUGCAAGUAAUGCACUAGAGAGGAGUGGGAAAUUCUAAUCUCACUCUUGCUCUCUCUGCUUUGUCAUCUGAUUUUGUGAAAGCAAUACUUGGAUAGAGUUACUGCGGUUGAGAAACAAGUCGUCGUUCGUGGCUGCACCUGUCAAGUUACACGAUCUGCUUUUCUACGUUAUGCAAACAGUUUGUUUCUUUUUCAAUUGUAAUAUAAUCAUGUCAUAUUUCAUUUUUGAAAUGAAGUUAUGGCUCUAAUUAUAAGAUUUGUUUAAAAAAUUGAUAUUCCAUGAGUUUUAUGCUUCGCACAUAUAUCUAAAUUGAUUAGUUUCAAAAGCAGGGGCAGAUGAAUGAAUCAUUGUGAUUAUAAUAAGAUUUUGAUGAAAGUUGAGGUUUUUUUAUUGGAAGAAUCGGAAGUGGGGAUUUACUUUUUAACUACAUGAAAAUCUUGUUCCGGUUCAAGAAAAGGUUUAGGUAUGAAAGUAGUAAAAAUCUGGAACAGAAUAGGAGGUGGAUUAUGCAUGAAUUCACCAUUAAUCCAGCCUUGUUGGGUGAUCAAUGCUCGCAUAAAGCACUCGAUUUUGUUCUCUGUCGCAUGAAAAAGAACGAAUCGGAAAACAACUCAGAGAAAACUUUCGUUUCCUAUGAUUCCAUAUUUGGGCUGCAUGUGUCCCUCACUUUUGACGCAACAGAGAACAAACUUGAGUGCUUUAUGCAAGUAUUAAUCACCCAACAAGGCUGGAUUAAUGCUAAAUUCAUGCAUAAUCCACCUCCUAUUCUGUUCCAGAUUUUUACGACUUUCAUACCUAAACCUUUUCUUGAACCCUAGAAUUUGAUCAUCAGAGCCAACAGCGAGUGUCCCUCACUUUUGCAAUGGUUUUGCUUUUUAUUAGUCUUUCAGCAAAGCUUAAGCACUUCUUGUUAAAUCUAACCUCUUUCAGUUACAUAUGGCCAAAAAAUAUGGAAGGCAACUUGUGAUGAGUAACUUUAGUUCAUAUUUUCUAAUUAAUGGCUAUAUUCCUCUUUAUUUUGGUAGCUUCUUGGGAAGCAUAUCCUGAAGAAUCUUUCUUAUUUCAUUUUUAACAUUUUUAGGUACCAUCUUGAAGAAUUUUUUUCUCUCUUUUUUUCUUUUCAGUUUUAAAAUUGUUAUCCUUAAAAUCUCCAGUGGGAAAAGAAAGGAUAAACAUAUCGAGUUUUAUCUUAGUUUUGGUGCAGUGGUUUUGGAAGCUCUAAAAAGGAGGAAAGAUUCUUGAUGCAGCUAAUAAAUGAUUGAAUAUGAACUUUUACCAAACAAGAAACGGAAUACUCAUUGAUUGUUGGAUUGUGGUGUGCACUCCCAAAUCAUAACCGGAACAAGAUUUUCAUGUACUUAAAAAGUAAAUCCCCACUUCUGAUUCUUCCAACAAGAAACUUUGUUGUUUACUUUCCUUUCACAAACUAUGAACUAAAUUUACUUGUAAUUGAGUGAUAAACAAUCUUAAUAGGUUCUUGAUUGAAUUUAUAUGUUGUGUAUCUGCUAUAGCAUUUUGUUUUGGUAAAGCUUAUUUUAUUCAUUAUUUCGGCUGACCACCAAUUUAAUGAUACAAGCUAGGAAAGAGCCAGAAAAUGGCAUGUCUUAGUGGAACAUAUCAGAACAAUACUUGGUUUUAGAUUGGGUUUCUUAGAUUGAGUUUAACUUGAUUCCAAAAGGGCCAUGCUUAAUCUAAAAUUUAUGAUGAACUAGAUAUAAUGAUUCAUCUUUUAGGGUAAAUAGAACCUAAACGUGUAAUAUUGUAUCUUAUGUUGGCAUAACAAUUGGUCACUGUUAGGUUGCAUAUAGAUAUAAGACAUCUCACAUGCGACAGCUGAGGAUAUAUGAGGAUUCUACCUAGUGCUGUAGCAGAUGCUACAACAACUAAACCAAAAUUUGCAAGAAUUAGUCAAGUCCAUUAAGAGAGUUUAGUCACUCAUCUACUUUAUUCCUAUUGAUUUUAUCCUUGUGUUUUUGACGUGAAAGUUUGCUUUUUUGCAUAUUUACUUAUUCCAUUUUAUUAGAUAGUUUAUUAGUUUAAUUGUUCAAUCCACUUUCUAUUCAAGCAAAACUGUUAAGGUUGUUAUAACAAUUUCUACAACAUCAAUCCAUGUGGAGACGAUUUUAAAUACUUUUUAUUAUAUCACUUGUUGUGUACACUUGCACAUUGACACCCCAUAGCAUUUGAAUUUAAACUCAACAGAACGUCUAUUGAGACCCUUGAUCUCUCUGACAACCAUCUCUUUUCUUCUUCAGUAUACCCUUAGGAAUAUUCUCUCUGACAACCAUCUCUUUUCUUCUUCAGUAUACCCUUAGGAAUAUUCUUCAUAUUAACCUAGGCUAUAGCCAUUUGCAAGGUUCAAUUCUAGAGGCUUUUCAAAACAUGGUUUCUCUUAGAUUUCUAUCUCUCUCUUCUAAUUAACUUGAUGGUUGGAUUCCAAAAUUCUUCAGAAACAUGUGUAGUUUAAAUAUAUUAUACUUGCACCACAACUAUCUUAAUGGACAGUUCUCGGAGCUAAUUCAAAAUAUGUCCGAAGGAUGUACAACAAAUUCACUUGAGGAGUUACAUUUACAAUACAAUGGCAUCUCAGGGCCAAUACAUGAUCUUGGAGCAUUUUCAUCUCUAAAAGUAUUGUAUGGUGGAGAAAAUCGUUUAAAUGGAACUAUAAACAAAAGCCUCACUCACUUGUUCAAGCUUGAGACUUUUUCACUUGAUGGGAAUUCAUUCACAGGUGUUAUCUCUAAAACUUUCUUUUCCAAUAUGUCCAACUUGCAGGAAUUGUUCUAAGCUGACAACUCAUUGGUUUUGAAAUUGAGCCAUGAUUGGGUUUCUCCCUUUCAACUGAAAUGUUUAAGUGUCGCCUCUUGUAAGAUGGGACCUCAUUUUCUAAAACGGCUUCAAACUCAGAAUCAACUUACUUCACUUGAUAUCUCUAAUACUGGCAUCUCGGAUACUGUCCCUGAUUGUUUUUUAGAUCUAUUUAUUGAACUCUUUCUUCUAAGUCUCUCUAACAACCAUAUCAAAGGUAAGCUUCCUGAUUUUUAUUUUUUAAAAUCUAAUGAUAUUGUUAUAGAUAUCAGUUCAAAUCACUUUGAGGGACCAAUUUCACUACUUCCUUCAAAUUCUACAUUCUUGAAUCUCUCCAAAAAUAAGUUCUUAGGGUCAAUUAUGUUCUUGUAUUCUCUGAUUGAAAAUACAUGGAAUGUUUUUAUCUCUCAAGUAACUUUUUAUUUGGAGAGCUUCCCAACUGUUGUUCGCAUUUUGAUAAUCUAUUUCUUCUUAAUUUGGCAAAUAAUAGCUUCUCCAGUAAAAUUCCAAACUCGAUGGGCUUCCUACAUAAUAUUCGAACACUGAGUUUACACAAUAAUUGGUUAACCGGAGAAUUGCCUUCAUUUUAAAGAAUGGCUCAUAACUGAGAGUUUUGGAUCUUGGAAAGAAUGUAUUGUUCGGUGAGAUACCAAAAUGGAUAGGCGGAAGUCUUCAAAUUUGAUUAUCUUAAGCUUGAAAUCUAACAAUUUUCAUGGAAAUAUACCUUUUCAGUUAUGCCAUCUGGCAAUCAUUUAGAUCUUGGAUCUCUCUUUUAACAAUAUAUCCGGAAACAUACCAAAGUGUUUCAGUAAUUUUUCAGCCAUGAGCCACGAAAACAAAUUCCAAUCCCAUCAUUGGGUUGGCCUACAAUAUCUGGGUUCUCCUUCGAUAUGUAUAUCAGUAAAGAUAUUUGGACAAUGUUAUGUUGACAUAGAAAGAAUGUGAACAUGAGUGCAAAAAUACUUUGGGAUUUGUACCUUGACCUUUCAAGAAACAAAUUAUGUGGAGUAAUUCUUGAAGAGAUUAUGGACCUUGCGGGGAUGACUGCCUUAAACCUUUCAAGAAACAAUUUAACUGUACCAAGCACUCCAAAGAUUGGUCAGUUAAAAUCAUUGGAUUUCCUGGAUUUAUAUAGAAACCACUUUUCUGGAAGCAUUCCGUCUACCCUUCCUUAGUUAAGUGGUCUUAGUGCCUUGGACUUGUCAUACAACAACUUGUCAGGAAAAAUCCCAUUAAGUACUCAGCUCCAAAACUUUAAUGCUUCAUUUGAUACUGGAAAUCUUGAACUCUGUGGCCUUCCACUUCCAAAUAAGUGUGCAGAUGAAGAAUCAACUCCAAGUCCAAGCAGGGAUGAUGAUGCAAACACUCCAGAAGAUGAGGAUGAUCAAUUUAUAACUCUCGGAUUUUACGUGAGUUUGAGUCGUGGUUCUUAGUUGGAUUCUGGGGAGUCUGCGGAACUUCAAUGCUGAAUAGGUCGUGGAGAUAUGGUUACUACAACAUCAUGACUAGUACCAAAGAUAGGCUCUAUGUGACGGCAGUUGUGAAUAUUGCCAAACCACAAACAAAGUUCAGGAACUAAUUAAACGAUAUUACUCCUUAAGUGUCAACUCUCAAGUGUGUUUUAGUCAAUAUUAUUGGCUCUCAGCCUCUCACAUAUGAUUUUAAUUUCUUAAUCCUUAAACUUGACCCUUUCCUCUUGCAAGCUUUUGUUUCUCAAAUUAAUUCUUACCAUUUUUUUUGUCAGGGUCUUACUGGGAUGGCUCGCAUUAUGUCUUUAUUAUUUAGAGUGCUCAUUUUGUAUUUGGAAUCUUUCAAAAAAUAAACUUGUGCUCUCAUGUGAUGCACAUUGUAUUGUUAAGUGUAUGCUUAAAAAAACUUGCAUGUGGCUCUCUUUAGACCAUUGUCGAUCUAUGCAAUUAUGCACUCUUGUUAAGAGUUUAAAUAUACCAAUAAUCCAUUACAACAAUAAAGACAGUCAAAUUCUGUUCUGUUAUUGAUCAAUGUUAGCUUUUUUUUUCUUUUCAUUGGGUGAAUAAAUUUAACUUUUAUUUGGCAAAUAAAAAAUAUCUCAGAUUUUUGCAUGUAUUACACCUCUCAAUUAGUAUUAACUGAAUAUUUAGAUUAGGGAAAUUAUCAUUUAGAUUAGGGAAAUUAUCUCUACACCACCUUUAUUUUUUUCAUAUGUAUAUCUAACUACUACAAAAUUUUGACGUAUUCUUUACACAAUUUAUGUUUCUAAACUUGCAUUAAUCAACCAUUUUGAGCUAAAAAUAACUAUUUUAACACUAAAUAAAUUAAAAAACUAUUUUAUUCUACAAAAUUUUUAAAAAAUUAUAAUUACAAAAAUACCCCUAAAUUCAAUAAAACAAAUAAUCUCAAAAUUCAAGAUUAUAAUUUCAAGUGAAAUUAUAAUUAUAAAAAUUAAUAUCUUGUAAUUAUAGUUUCAUUUAAUUUUUGUAAUUAAAUUAGGUAUAAGAAAGUUUACAAAAAUUGACAUGACGAGAAAAGUUUCCUAUAAUUAUUAUAAAAUUCCCUAUAAUUAGUAUUAAGAAACUUCCCUAUACAAAUUAAAUCAAAAUAUAAUUAAAAAAUUAUCAUGAUAACUUUUAAAUGAAAUUGUAAUUAUAAAAAAUUAAUAUAUUGAAUUUAGAUUUAUUUUAUUAAAUUUAGGGGUAAUCUUGUACUUAUAUUUUUUUUAUUUUUCAAAAUUUUGUGGAAUAAAAUAGCCUUUUUAAUACAUUUAGGGGUAAAUAUAGUUAUUUUUUAGUGUCAGAGUGGUUUAUUGAUAUAAACUUUAAAAAAAUGAGGUGUAAAGAACAUGUCAAAAUUUUGAUAUGGUUAGAUGUAUAUAUGCAAAAUAAAGGCAGUGCAGAGAUAAUUUUCUUUGGAUUAACUCUCUUUUUUUAAUGAUUUAUACCGCAAAUGAAAAAAACUUUGAUAAAAUAAUAGAGAUCUCAUUAAAAAAUAUUCAUUACUCAAGGUGACAUAGUAAACAUAGGCAUAUUCUAAAAAACAAAAGGAGUAAAUAUUAGUAUAAAGCUAAAACACACAACACAACUACAAAAAGAUUAAAAUAACUAGGUUGCAACGGUAGAGAAUUUGUAGCUUGGAGUUCCAUUAAUGUCUCACUACUCGAGAGAUGAAAAGUAAACCUAAACUAGUCAUCGGAAAAGUCUUAGGUGCUCCUGAAGCAUAACUCUUUUUGAGAGCCCGGCAUGGUGCCGGCUACAAUGACAACGGCAUUGUAGCCAAACCCUUAUCUUUAACGUCAAUACUUCUUUUCAAUUGAUUGGAUUGCCAGUCAAUAACACGAUCGCGUAAAUUGCGGUCCGUGACUUCCAAGAUUAAGAAAAAAUUGAUGUUUUUUUGGAUGGAAAAAUAGCUUUAUUUAAGAGUUGGUUAAGCCACGUUAUCUUCUUUCAAGAAAUUAUUUUCUAUUCACAUCAUAUAUACUUGACUUUUUGACCUAACCGACAUCCACUAGAAUUUAUUAUUAUUAUUAUUAUUAUUAUUACUGCUACUAUUAUUUUUUAUGUAAGUAACAAAAGAAGAGAAAAUUUUGUUAUGACAGAAAUUGAGAGUUUUUAUUAUUAAGAUAAUAUUAACUAGUAUGGUUAAUUUGAUCAAAUCCAAAAUUAAUUAUUGUUUAGGAAAAAGUUUUUAAGUGUUGUAGCUCUUUGUACGUAAUUCCUUAACGUUGAUACGAGCUUAGUAAUUUUUAACUAUUAAGAUAAAAUUUUGACAUACGAGAGUCGUUACUCAUUAGUCUGAAAAAAAAAUGAAUAAAUAAAAUAAAAGAAGUGGGAGAAGAAAAUUUAACCACAAAAAAAUAAGAGAAAUGAGAGGUGGUUAUUUCUAGACGGAGCUUGAUUCAAAGUCACAAAAUAAAAUAACAUAAAUGACACAACCACAAAUACUUGUACAAAUUGAGUUAGCAAGUUAUAUGACAUAAUUAGAUUGAUUGGAUAAAAUACCAUAUGUGUUAAUUAUUUUCCUAAGUAGAAUCUUGGAGAAAAGGAAAAGUAAAAACCCUUCUUCUUAGUUACUAGCUAAUAAUAUUAUGUUUACUUAUUGGGAUAUUCAUUUAUGUCGCAUCUCAUUUCUAUUGAUUAAUUAAGUUCUUAAAUUCAUAGGUUAAAAAUUAACAAUAAAAUCUAUUAAUAAUCAGUAAAUAGCAAAAAUGAAAAGAAAGGAAGAGAAAAAAAAAGCAUCAAGGACUUACAAAGUCAAUUAAAAGUUGAAAGCUGAGAGUGAAAACUCUUAGUUAUGUUAUAAAUAGCAUAGAGCCCUCCCAUAUUCGUUGCAGAGAAAGAGAGAGCGUGCAUGUGUAUUUGAUUAUAAAGAGAACAAGCGGCUCAAAAAUGGUGAUGAUGUCAGUUUGCUUCUUGUUAACAAUAAUAUUAGAAGGGUGUUGGAGUACGGAGGGAUGUUAGGGGCAUGAGAGAUCUGCUCUCUUAUUACUUAAACAUAAUUUCUUUGAUGAUCCUUUCAAUCUUGAAAACUAGAUGGAUAAUGAGAAUCAUUUAGAUUGUUGCAAGUGGGAAGGAGUUGAGUGCAACAUCUCCUCAGGCAGAGUGAAAGCACCAUAUCUUAGUAAUGGAAUAUCAUUUUGGUAUCCGACAAUGCAGCAUCUGAAUGCUUCCUUGCUUACCCUUUUUGAACAACUUGAGUCUCCUAACUUAGAAAACAACAACAUAGUCAGUUUUGUUGAGAAUGGAGGUACUUAAUAAGUUUUAUCAGUUCCAAAAUUUUGAAAAUUUUUUAAAAAGUUUAAUUUUGAAAUAAUUAACACAAGUCUAUAUGAUAUGUUUUACGAGGUCUGGAGAGGUUAUCAGGGUUAAGCAACUUGAAGUUUCUUAAUUUAGGCGGUAACCUAUUUAACAAUAGCAUCUUCUUAUCUCUAACUAGUCUUUCAUCACUAAGAACAUUGUUAUUGCGUUCUAAUAGAUUGAAAGGAAGUAUUGAUAUUAAGGGUAAUUAAGCUUCAUCUCUUUUAAGGUCUACUAGAAGCAAAAAUAAGCUUCAUUAAUUAGUCUGUCACUAGAAUCAGAUAUUUGUAAUGCCAUAUUGCUUCCUUCAUUAACUCUAUUUAAGUCUUGGCAUAUGCCAUAUACGUAAAACUGGAUUGCUUGAGCAAUUUAAAGGUGUUGGACAUGGGCCUGAAUCAAAUUGAAGAUUUUAGUGAUCGUCUAAAAGGUAAUUAAAUGAAUGUGAAGCUUGAAGUAGUUAUAUUUUGUUAAAAGUGAAUGAGGUGGCGUGUUGAGCUGGCAUCAGUGGGGACCAUCUGCUGUUAAAGUUGUUAUUAUGUAUAACAACUUAUUUCUUUUUUUUAGAUAUAUAUAAGAGGAAUUCGAGUUGGCAGAUAGGGAAACUUAGUGAUUGAUUUUGAGAGUCGCAAUGAGUGAGACAAAAAAAUCUUAGUAUGGAAGAUUUAAUCCCUAUAGUCUUAAGAAUCUUUUGUAACUCAUCUCUUUCUAAUAAAGUUUCAAAGCAAAGUUGAUUUCAACUGUGGAUGUAGGCAUCUCUCUUCCGAACCACGUUAUAUGACCUUGUUAUUUUUCUUUCUUUCUUUAGUUCUUGCUUGCUCUUGGUCCUGGUUUCAUUCAAUUUCUACUUUCUUGGUUUGGUUCUCUCUAGAAGAGGCUUUGUUUUUUUUUUAAUUAAAUUAUAACAAACUGGUAUCACAGCAUUAGUAGUUUGUUGUUCUUGGCUCUAUAAUGGCUACCACUAGAUUUGAUCUUGAAAAAUUCAAUGGGGAGAAUGAUUUCUACUUGCGGAGCCUUAAGAUGCAUGCAAUCCUCAUUCAACAUGGGCUUGAUAGUGCCGUUGAGUAAGAUGAUGAUCAAAAGGCUAAGAAAGAAAAGGAAGAAGGCUCAUCUAGUUUUACUGGAGAUAGGAAGACCAUCAACAACAAAGCAUAUAACACCAUUAUUUUGUAUCUUUUAGAUAAAGUGCUAAGAGAGGUGAUAAAAGAAAGAUCUGCAUCUGGAUUAUGGGCAAAACUUGAGGAACUACACUUGAAUAAAUCUUUAGCUAAGAGAUUGUAUACGAAGAAGAAGCUCUAUACAUUCUAAAUGAAGACAGGGACCAAUAUGAAAGAUCAUUUGGAUAAGUUUAAUAAACUGAUCUUGGAUCUUGAAAAUGCAAAUAUUGUCUUGGAAGAUGAGGACAGAGCACUUAUUCUUUUAAGUUCAUUACCAGAUUCAUAUGAACACUUUGUAGAUAUUCUGCUAUAUGGCAAACAAACACUUACUCUAAAGGAUAUCAAGAAUGCUCUAGAAUCAAAGGAUUUGAAGAAAAGAACAGAAGACAGGGAUUAGAACCAAGGUGAGGGUCUAGUUGCCAAGUUUAGACUAAAGAAGAAAGCUAAUAAAGAUAAAAAGAAUAAUAAUUAAAAGGAUAAAGCUGAUAUGAAAAAAAAAAUGUUACUUCUAUCAUAAAAAAGGACAUUACAUCAAAGAUUGUUUUGAGAAGAAGAAACUUGAAAAGCUGCAGGAGGAGUCAAAUGGUAAAACUGCUAUUGCAUCUGAAGACGAGGGAAAUACUGAUGGUACGGAUGUUCUUAUUGCUGCUAAGAAACACCCAUUGGUGAGUGGAUUCUAGACUCUAGAUGUUUUUUUUUUCAUAUAUGUCCAAAUAGAGAAUUCUUCAAGACAUUUGAGAGUAUAAAUGGUGGCAAAGUCUUUUUAGGAAACAACCUUGCUUGUAAGGUUCCAAGAAUUAGUACUAUUAGUAUCAAGAUGUUUGAUAGGGUAACUAGGGGACUGAAAUAAGGUAUGUUCAAGACUUGAAAAGAAAUUUAACUUCCCUAGGGAUGAUUGAUCAAUUGGGUUGCAGCAUUAAGGUAGAGAUUUAGUCAAUAUUGCCAGCUAUCUAAUGCACUCAUAUAUAUUGUAAGCUCAUUUUAUCAUCUAAUCAAUGCUCGGUCAACAGAAAAAGAAACUUUUUGCACAAGCUCAAUUUUAAUCUGGUCUUGACUCAUCUUAAGAUUUUUGAGCCUCCAGAAUCCAAAUUUGAUAUCCGUUUAUCUAUUUGGAGCCUCGAAUUACGUGAAAUUAAUAUUUUACCUAAUAAACACACAAAAAUACACAAAAUUAGAUAUAGUUAAGACAUAAUUAAUAAUCCCUAAUAUAUUGCAUAAACACAAAUUAUAAUAUAAGUACAAAAUAAUAUUUUUAUCGCUUGAUAAUCAAACAAUAUUUAAUACUAAUCAACAUCUUUCUCUAGUGAUAACAAAAUAUAGUCCUAUCUUAAAUCAAAUUUUGUCAAUUUAAUUUUGAAAACCCUCUUUUUGCAAAAAGUAUUACUACCAAUAUUAUAAACAACUUCCUACGAACAAAGCACACAAUUAUUUUAGCAAAAUAAACACAACACCGAAUAAAGAUAAUAAUACUUUUCAAAAAGAAAUGAGACAACUAAAUAACAAAAUAAUUAAGAGGAGAAUAUAAAGAUAAAACCUGAAAGUUUGAGAUAAAAUCAUAAAGUAACUUUGAUGGUUUUAGGUAUUAAGCAUUAACCAAUGACCAAAAAGAAGAAAAAUAAACAAUUGAUUUGUUUCUAAAAAGUUAUUACUAGUAUUAGAAAAAACAAUCGGUGACAAGCAUUUAGUUGCUGUACAAAUUAAAAACAUCAGCCCUUGAACACAAUGAUAUUUUCAUAAAGAAAUAAGACAACUAAAUAGCAAAACUAAUUAUGAAUAGGUUAGAAAGAUAAAACCUAAACAUUUGAUAUGAAAUCAAAGAUUAAGUUUGAUGAUUUGAGGCUUUAAGCAGUAACCAAUGGCUAUGAAAAGCAUAAAAAGUAAAUUGCUAUUCUUUUUUUUUUUUUAAUUAAUGCCCUUAUUGUGUCAUUGUUUAAGGAAGAAAUAUUGUUAACGGAUAAGUUCACAAAUAUAGGGUUUUGUUUUUUAAAUGGAGGUUUAAAAGGAAUAAACAAUGUUUUAGUUAAAAUUUAUUAAUUUAAUGUCACAUAGAGAUUUUAUAGGGAUUAAAACUAUUAAUUCUAAUGAGAUUUUGUAGGGAUUUCGAUAAUUUAUUUCGGUAAAGAUAAUUAUAAAGCAAUAAUAAAAUAAAAUUAAUAAAUACAGAAUUAUGAUUGAGUUUGCUACAAAUUACGAAUUUUUAUCUUUUUAUGUAUAAAAUAAUAGAUUUAACGUAACUAUGGGGCCUUAAUCUAUAAUAGGCCCUAUCAACUGCCUAAUUUGUCUAAGGGAAGAGUCACUUAUGAGUGAGAAUUUUUUGAAAUUCAGUCAUGCGUCCGAUGCCAAGCUCAGAUUACCGUUUUUCUUAUUUAUUGAUUUUGAGGUUUAAGAACUGUUUCACACUGUCUCGAUUCCUAACAGCUUCAGGGAGCAAGGGCGUUACACUCUUCGAAUCCUGAAUUUGAUCAAUAGCAAACAUGUCGUCACAUACGAUCACAUGCAAAACAGAGUUGAGAAGCCACCUGGGCAAAAUUAAAAAUAAGCCAUGGCUCAAAAUUUGGGGGGAAAAAAUAGAACUUACCGUUAUGUGAGAUAGUGUUAGCUUCUCUAAACAAAAAACAAAAAGAAAUUAUAGACACAACAAAAAGAAAUUACUGUGGAGGGUGGAGACUAAGAGAAGAGAAAGAAAGAGUGGAUUUGAUGAGGUGAAAAAAUUAGGGCGGGUUAUGCCCUAAUUUUUGUUUUCACUUAUAUAUUUUGUCUUAUUAUCCUUAAUAACUCCUAAAUUAGUCUUCAAAUUUUAUAACUUUUAAUAAAAAUUUAAUGAUAAAUAAAUGAUUUAAUUAAAUGAAUGGAUUGUAUUUGAUUCGUUUAUCAUCCAUUUAUUAAACGAAUUAUAAACAAAUAAAUGAAUAAAUAUCCUUAAACUUAGAUUCAAUUUGUUUAUUUAGCGUAUUGAAUUGAAUUCACCCAUUUAUUAAACGAAUCAAUUUGGUAUAAAGCCAAUUUGAAUCUGAUCACAGACCGGUUUUGGUUCGUUUUGAGCGCAAUGGUAGAGGAAUGGGGAGUAUAAAGCCUUUCCGGUUUCUAGCUGCCUGGAUGACAGAUAAUCGGUUUGGGGAUUUUAUGCAUGACAAUUGGCAGAGAAAUAUGCCUUAUGCUCAAGCAGCUUCUAACUUCACAAGUAAGGUAGCUACUUGGAAUAGGGAAGUUUUUGGUAAUAUUUUUAAAAGGAAAAAAGAAUUGCUGGCUCAUCUUGGCGGGGUUCAAAAAGCCUUGGAAAGGCAGCCUCUCAGUAGCCUGUAUCGUCUGGAGGUACGGUUAAAAAAGAAGUUGGAAGAAGUUCUGUCUCAAGAGGAGCUGUUAUGAUAUCAAAAAUCUCGCAGAGAGUGGAUUAAAUAUGGGGAUCGGAAUACAUCAUUUUUUCAUCAAAAAAUCAUUACAAGGAGGGCUCGUAAUCGCAUCACUGCAAUCAGGGAUGAUGGAGGUAAUUGGCUUUAUGAAGCUCAAGAUAUUAAAACCCAUGCUGUGACAUUUUUCUCUACACCAUAUAAAUCUUAACAGGAUACAUAUAAGCCGUAUCAUAUGCGAGGGUGUUUCCCUCAAAUUGACCACACCCGAUUGGCGAGUCUUGCUGUGCCGGUGGAGAAGGAAGAAAUUCAUGAGGCAGUCUGUCAGAUGAGUCCUCUCAAAGCUCCUGGAAUCGAUGGCUAUCCUGCUGGGUUUUAUCAGGCUCAGUGGCAUAUUGUUGGUGAGUCUUUUAGUUCUGGUAUACAGGAAGUCUUUAAUUCGCACAGGAUCCCCAGAGAUGUUAGUAAAACUCUCCUAGUCCUGAUCUCAAAGACUGAGCGUCCCACAUCCUUCAGGAUGUAUCGCCCUAUAAGUUUAUGCACAGUAUUUUAUAAAACAGUAACCAAGAUUAUUGUGAAUAGACUCCAAGCUUUACUCCCUGAUCUUGUUGGCCCUCAUCAGACAAGUUUUGUCCCCGACCGGCAUAUUACGGAGAAUAUCAUCAUCGCUCAAGGGGUUGUCCACUCUAUGCGACGAAAGAUGGGUAAAAAAUGUAUAAUGGCUAUUAAGAUUGAUUUAGAGAAAGCAUAUGAUAGAUUGAACUGGAAUUUUAUUCAUGAGACUUUAAGGGAGCUAGCUUUGCCAUUCGAGCUCGUCCAGUUAAUAAUGGAGUGCAUUACUUCUAAUAGGAUGAACAUUUUAUGGAAUGGGGAAUUAACGGGGGAUUUUGCCCCUAGUAGAGGUGUUCGGCAGGGUGAUCCGUUGUCUCCUUAUAUUUUUGUUCUCUGUAUCGAGAGACUGAGUCAUGGAAUCUAUCGCUCAAUCCAGCAAGAACAAUGGAAACCAAUUCGUUUAGCUCGAAUGGGUACCCCCUUAAGCCAUUUAUUUUUUUGCCGAUGACCUACUUCUUUUUGCCGAGGCUUCUAGUGCACAAGCUCUCUUAAUAAAUUCAGUCUUAGAUGAUUUUUGUUUUAGCUCUGGCGCAAAGGUGAACAAAUCCAAGACUCAAGUCUAUUUUUCUAAGAAUAUCUCCGGGGCUGUAGCUGGCCGAUUAGGGCGUGAACUGGGGUAUACAAUCACAAAAGAUUUGGGCAAUUACUUAGGCAUGCCUCUGCUGCAUCGCCGGGUUUCAAAACAGACUUAUCAGGGAAUUCUGGAUAAAAUGCAGCAAAGACUUUCGGGUUGGGCUGCCUCCCAACUGUCCUUUGCAGGGCGUAUUACUCUCACCCAAUCUGUCCUCCAAGCAAUCCCUAUAUAUGCUAUGCAGUCUACUAAUUUACCGGCUAGUAUCAAGACUAAAAUUGAUCAAGUUUGCAGAAGAUUCUUGUGGAGUGGAAAUGACGAAAUGCGUAAGAUGAGUUUAAUUAGUCGGCACACUAUAUGUCAACCGAAGCUGGCUGGUGGGCUAGGAUUUAAGAGAUUGGAGGUUAUGAAUGAAGCGUUAUUGUUAAAGGUUGCUUGGAACUUGAUCACCGAACCUGGUAAGCUUUGUGCCCAAGUACUAGCUACAAAAUACAGAGUGUCUCUCUCGGAUAUCCCGCAAUUUCUUCCCACUCGGCAUGGCUCUCAUUUGUGGAGGUCUGUGUGUCGAGUUUGGGAUCAUGCCAAGCGAGGAUUACGUUGGAAUGUUGGUAAUGGACUGAGAGUUCAAUUUUGGUGGGACUGUUGGGCCCCUUGCGGCUUUUAUUUUGAAACCAAUACCUCCUGAACUUUGUGAUUUGUAUGUGGCUAACUUUGUGACUGCAGAUGGCACCUGAAACUGGCCGAAGUUCAGCUAUCUUUUAUCCCAUAAUGCAGUGAUGCGCAUUGCUUCAGUCCAUCCCCCUUCGGCGCGGAAUGGUGCUGAUAAAGCUUACUGGGCAGCUGCAACUCAUGGAAAGUUCACAGUGAAGUCAGCAUAUGACCACUUGGCUCAGCCAUACUUGCAUGAAAGGGAUAUGAUCUGGCGCUUGGCGUGGUCGUGGAAGGGACCGCAGAGUAUAAAAACUUUCAUCUGGUUGGUGCUGCAUAAUCGUUUGAAGACGAGGGGAGAGUUAGCUGAACGACAUUUAACCAUUGAACCACAUUGUGAGAGAUGCAGGUAUGAGUUGGAGACCACGAUCCAUGUGCUUCGUGAUUGUCCUUAUUCUAGAGCAGUAUGGAUUCGACUUCUUCGGGACAAUAAUCAUCAUGAUUUUUUCAACAUUGAUCUUGCGGGGUGGAUGUCAAGAAACUUGCAAGCUUCAAACAAGUCUCCAGGUGGAAACCUUUAGCGUGUGCUGUUUGGAGUGGCUAUUUGGCGGAUUUGGUUCUGGCGAAAUCAUUUUAUUUUUACUAAGGAUUAUUGGGAUAGCAAUAGUAUUGCAAUGGAUAUCAAAGUCAGGGCUGCUGAAAUUCUACGAAGUAAUUCCUGCUCCUUUGCUGCUGGUAUAACCCGUAUCGAAAAAUGGAUUCAGUGGACUGCGCCUGUUUGGCCUUGGGUUAAAUUAAAUACAGAUGGUGCCAAGAAAUCUUCGGCGAUUGUAGGAGCUGGUGGACUAAUCCGUGACUUCAGAGGUGUUUGGCAAGUAGGCUACAGUGCAAAUUUAGGUGUUUGCUCGGUGACUUCAGCUGAGCUCUGGGGAUUAUUUCAUGGACUAUCUAUCGCUUGGCAAUAUGGGUUCCGCAGAGUGUACGUGGAAGUAGACAGCAUGUGUGUUAUGAGGUUAAUCUCCAAUCCAAAUCCUCCUAUCAAUGAGCAUUUUACUCUCAUUCAGGAAAUCCAAGCACUCCUCCGGCGUGAUUGGCUGACCAAAGUGGAGCAUAUCUAUCGAGAAGCCAAUGAAGCAGCUGAUUUCCUGGCUUUGUACAGUUUUUCCUUCUCCUUGGGUUUACAUUGUUUUCAAUCUAUUCCUCCAAAUAUGCUUUGCAUAUUGACUAACGAUGUUCAUGGGGUUGCACACUCCCGUUUAGUGUUGCCUUAGCUCUCUUAUGAGCCCUUUAAUGAUAAAAAAAAAAAUUAAACGAAUCAAUUUUUUAAAUCGAAACCCAUUUAAUUCGCAUAGAAUCAAAUUGAAUAAAACGAAUCUUGACCAAGAUUGCCACUCCUAAUUUUGGUACUUUCCAUUUUUAAUUAGAGUCAUGUAUUUUAUUUACAAUAUAAUUCUAUUUACAACAUAAUUGUGAUUUAGUUUACCUUUUAAGGUAACAUGGGGAAGUAUGUUUACCCUAUUAUAAAUAGGGAGGUAUUGUCAUUGUCAGCUCGAUUUCAAUUAUUUAAUAAAAUCUCUCUUUUAUAAUUCUUUUUGGAAUUAUCUAUCAAAAUCUUUCUUGUAGGAUCGCUUGAAUUAGAAUGAGAUCUAAUUACGCUUCCAUUAGAGCAUAACUUGAUUGCAUUGGUUUAGUCUGGUAUUAUAACGAUAUCUAGUAUUUAUUUACCCUAACAAACCACUUCUGCUACCCUGCUCCAUUACAAGAACUUGAAGGAUCACAAUUGGCCAUGUCAAGGCGCUUAAUCUCAAAGGUCCAACGGCCAAAAUGCUCAAAGGAAAGUCUCGAAAGGUACAAUUAGUCCUGCUAUGCUUGAAUUUCAUGAUUUAAUGCAUUUGGACCUCAGUAACAAUCACUUCGGUGGAAGUCCAAUUUAUGAAUUCGUUGGUUCCCUCUGCAAAUUUGAGGUACCUCAAUCUCUCUUGUGGUACACCUUCAAUCUCUCAUCAAGCUGAAGACAGUUAAAUUCUACUCUGCUAUUGAUCAAUGUUAGCAGUCUUCUUUAUUGGGUGAAUAAAUUUAACUGGCAAGCUAUUUGGCAAAUAUAAACAGAUUAAUGGAUUUUUGCAUGCCUUAUGUCCCUUUCUUGGUGUUGACUGAUUAUUAAGAUUAACCCGCAAACGGAGCAAACUUCAAAAAAUAAAAGAGAUCUUGCUAAAAUUAUUCAAAACGACGUAGUGGACAUAUGCAUAAAGCUAAAACACACAACUACAUAAAAAUUAAAAAAAAUUAAGCUGCAUCUGUAGCUUGGAAAUCCAUUUGCGCGUCUCACCACGCGAGAGAAGAAAAGUAAACCCAAACUAGCUAUCAAGUGAGUACCAACGUUUGAUUCUACAAUGGUACAUAGUAAUAACAGAAAAAGAGAAGAGAAAAAAAAUCUAUUAAAAUUAGUUAAGUAAUAUUUAAUCUAUUCCAUAAUCUUACAAACAAAGUACGUGAUAGGUUCGUAUAUAAUCUGAUUCAAGAUCAUUCGUAAUAAAAUGUGCAUGAAGAGAUAGAACUAUACAAGAAUUCGCUCUUAUUGUAUUCGAAUUGGUUAUUCGUAAUUUGUUUCUUUUACUUUUUAUUUUAUAAUUUUUUUUAUAGAAUAUGGUACUUUAGGUUGAAAUUUUGAAUUUCAAAUAUCUUAUCGUUUUUUAUUUUAUUUAUAUAUUAAUUCAAUUUUUUAAAAAGGAAAUAAAUUCUAAAAUGAGCCAUUGUAUUAAAAGGCUUGGCUUUAUAAAAAUAGCUCUUACAUUAUUUUUCAAAACACUAAAGGCGAGGAAAAAAAAAAAGACUAAACGCAAAAAUGGUUUUAGAAAGGCAAGAGGAGAAGAUUUUUAUGGUGUUUUUCAAUAAAAAGAGUUUUUGAGUUUUGAUACAUGGUCUUGAAGGAAGGAGAUUAAAACCAAUAUGUAAUUAUAAUCUUUUGAAAUUUUGAUUUUAUUCAAGAUUUUAUGUGAUAGAUUGAAUGGCUUUGUGUGUAAUAUCAAUGAAAUUGUUAAAGCAUGAUGUAUCAUUGACUCCAUGUUGUAAUUGAAUGGAAGUUGUGUUUUUGUAUUAUUCUGAAAAAUUAUGAACAGUGUAGAUUGAAUGCUAAAUAACUGCUGCUUUCAUUGAGUCUUAUGCAUGAAACUUUAUAAUUUAUUAAACUAGAUAUCAUUAGCUUUCUAUUGACAUGAUUAUUGUUUAAAAGCUCAUGGUAUAAUAAUUGUAAUAAUUUUUUUGAAUUUGGAAUACUGGUGCUGGAAAAUGCCAAUUUUUAGCAGCAGUUCUCAAUUCCUAACUUUAUUUCGUAACUCAAAUUACUUCUGAAAAUUAUGGCAACUUCUAUUAUGUUACAUAUGUAUGUCUAAUUUCUGUAUAUGUUUCGUAAUUUUUAGGUUUAUAGAAAAAUCAUUAAAAAUCAUAGAGUUGGGAUGCUGUAAUCCUGGAAACUGUUCUCCAAAAUUACUAAGACUGAUAUUGAAGUCACUUUGGAUUAUUGUUUCAUCACUAAAUGCCUUAUAAAUUUUAAUUUUGAUUUCCUAUUGUUUUCACUAUUGAUAAAACUUGAAUUACAAUUUUGUAACAUGUGUACUUAAAGUUAUGAAUUUUUAAAUCAACAGACCUCUGUUUAUAUCACUACUAUUUUUUGACAUUUUUGUGAAAAAUUAUUCAGGGAUGUUUUUGAACUCUGAUUAACUUUAUGAUGUUUUAUAUUGAAUGCCAUGCAUGUUCAUAGUAGUUCCUUUUAAUAUUUGUGAUUUUCCAACAGAAAAUAGCUCGUAUAGGAUGGUUGGGUGUAGUUUAGUGAAUGGAUAUACUUAAGUGAGUGCUAAUGGUUUAAAGAUGCUUGACUCUCCCAUCAAGGUUAGAAUUGAUAAUGUUAUUGAUGAGAAUCUUGUCUUGAUAAUUAUAGGCUAAUCAUGAGCUAGUAUAAUUGAGGUUAUUGAUUGAUUGCUUCAGAUCGAAGUAAGAGAAUUAAUGCAAAAAGUUUAAUAUCUACAUACAGAAAGAAUAUUGUUUAUAUUGAGUUAGCAUUUUAUGGUAUUAUUGCCACUAUAUAUUUUCUAAAAUUAGAUAUAUAUUAAUUACAAUAUAUUUUAGUCAAAUGAACCUCUUUUAAAAUUGUACUUUUCAAAAAAAAAUUUCAAGUGACUUUGAAAAAUAUUUGAUUUUCCAAUAAUUUAUUUACCUAAAAAUACUUGAAAAGCUUUGCCAAAUAAAUGUCUUACAACAUUAUUGAUAGAUUAUUGAAUGAUUGAUAUUGAAAGAUUAAAAAUUACUUUUAAGGUUUUGGCUCAUUGUCCGUAGUUAUUAUUAUUGACACGACUGAACAACUAGCUGUAUUACCAUUACAAUUAUUAUGGGGUACAAUACCUUGAUUGAUUAAUUGGCUGGAUCAUCGGGAUUAUAGGUGAUAUAUUAAUUGUUGGGCCACAAGAUUAUAGGUGAUAUAUUGAUUAGCCGAGUCAUCGAGAGCGCAGGUGACACUAUGUGACAUGAGCAAUUGAAUAAAGGAAAUAUUUUAUUGUUAAAUGAUUUCUUAGAUGAUUAAAUAUUGAAAAUGAUUAUUACAUGAUGACUUAACUUAAAAUGAAUUUUAUCAUACUCAUGCAAUAGAUUGUAAAAUCAAUAUUGUUUUCCAAUUUAUGGUUCCUUAUAAUGAUUAUUAUGUGUUUUAUCGUUAUUGGUAACCUCAUACAUGAAUUUACUUACCAAGUUGAUGGCUCACCCCUCGUCUCUAACAUUUUGCAAGUUAAUUUUAGAGAUGUGGGGUUUUUGGUUUAGAGAAGAGGAUUUUUUAACUAACACAUUUUCGUUGAUGAAUAAAUUGUCAUUAUUUUGGUUAUUGUUCAGAGUUGAAUUUGUUUUGGAUGAUUAUUGUUAUAUUUAUUAUUUUAGAGAUUUUAUUUUGACAGUGGACAAUAUUGAUUUUUCUGAAAAUAUUAAUAAGAUUAAUAUCACAAGGUUUCAUUCCCAAUUCCUCUUGUAAAUUAUAGGGUGAAUUUGGGUUAUUGCAUUAUUAAUUAAAUUUCUACAUAGAUGACAUUACAAAGAUGUUGAUCAAAGACUAAAAUAUUUCAAAGUAAUGUUGUUAGGGUGCACCAAAUUUAAAACCUUACUACUAGUAUAAAUAAUUAGUACAGAGCGAGUAAGGAUCGAUCCCACAAAGACUAUGCUAGUUGUAUUUAUUAUCAACUCUAAAGUAGAACUUAAAAUAAAAUAAUAAUAGGAAUAAUAAUAUAAAUUAAUCUAACUAAAGAAAAUGCCAACUAAAAAUAGAGAAAAGGGGGUUUUUGAAAUUUUAACUAAAUAGCAAGAAAUAAAGAAAUUAAAACUACGAAAACAAUAAUUUAAUAAAAACUCUAAUUAAAGGAGAAAGAAAUAACAAUGAGAAAAACUUUGGUUAAAAGAUCAUUCGCCACCACCAAACAUGCACAUAAUAUAUCAAUUAUAUCAUUAAUUUAUAUUGAAACUAUCAACCGUAGACAACAAUAAGCUCUGUUAGUCUCAAUCUUUCCUUAGUAUGUCGUUAGGCAAAACAAGCUCUUCAUCUAAUCUCUAACUAUUAAAUAAUUUAAAAUAAGCUCUUUAAAUUUAAGAUAAUGGAAGCAUUAAGUAGAGAAAGAUAUUAGGUUGAUUUAGGCAAUAAACAAACAAGCUCAGAUUAUUUAACCUAGGUUAUGUUCUCCAAUCGAAAUCACUGAUUCCAACCUACUACUAAUGAUUAAAAUAUCAAGACAAUUAUGGAUUAAGAAUUUUAAUCUAGCAAUAGAAUUUAUUCAAGUUCUAUCUAAUUGGCCACUCAAAUAAGACAGGAAUGAAAUCAUAAACAUUAAUUAUAGAAGAACAUAAAUAAUCUCAAUUAAAUAAAUUGAAUGAUAGAAAUUAAAAAAUUCAAUUGCAUAGCAUGUUUAGGGUUUUGAAUUCACCCUCAACCAAAUAAAAAAUCUAGCCUAACAUAAUUAAAUUGAGAAUAAAAAAGUUAAUAAAACCAGACAUAGAGAUUAAUUCAAACAACUUUCUCCUCUAUUUUUUCUCUUCUACUUUUGGGCUGCAAAUUGUUUUUGUAUGUGUAGCUGCCGAUCCUCCUAUUCUCCUCUAAUUCUGCCGCAAGUCUGGCUUUUAUAGUAGCUUUUAUUGUGCGCCUUAAAUCCUCGCAUGGAAAGGAUUAAAAACAAAAGCCAAGCCGCCACUUUUUGUUCACGCAUGCACAUAACUUGUAGAAUUAAUUGGCCAAUGAAUAUUGUUAAAGCCAAAGCCCAUCACGUGCUUGCCAUUUAAAGCCAUGCCAAAAUAUUUGCUUCCUCAAUUAAUCACAAUAUAUGUUUCCCAUGUGAUUGCAUGCAUGUUGAUUAAUCAAAUUAAAUCUUUCUUUCAUGAUCUCUUGUGUAUUUUUAUCUCUCAAUCUUCAAUUCUUUUCCUAUUCUGAUUCUUUCAAUGAAAUUUCUUUCCUGAAUGCUCCGAUUUAAUUUCUCUUUAAUCCUAGAAUAUAUCUAAAAUAAAAAAAAUAAAAAAACUAAGAUAAAAAUUAAUACAAUAAAAUAUAAUUUUAACAAAAUAACUAAAUUAAAAAUUAACUGAAAUAACUAGAAUAUUUAAGAUCAAAACAAGAAAAAGAUGGAGAAAUUAAUAGCAAAAUAUAUGAAAAAUAUGCACUUAUCAGAAGACUAAGAGUGCGUUUGGGAGUGAGGUGCUGAAACUUUUAAGCUGCAGCUACAGUGAAGUAAAAGUUAUAGCUGUGGAGUAGAAGCUGAUGAUAUUUGAUAAAGAUGUUGUAGCUUUUAAGCUGCAGAAGCUUAUAGUGUUUGGUAAAUACAUGUGUCUAGUAUUUUCAAUUUUAAUUUCAUAAUUUUUUUAUAUAUAUAAUUUUAUAAAAAUCCCGGGACCCAUAUUAUUAAGUUAAGACACUGUGAGAAAAUUUUGAAUUUAAUAAGAAAUAAAUAGUUUUGAAAAUGUUUUUGGUAUUGGAUCCUCCUAAAAAUUUUAUUGGAGAUACCCAUGGAUGUCGAGAAUAGAUCUAUGUAAUUUUGUGUCAUUUUGAUUAUUAGAUUAAGAGUUAAAAUUCAGAGAAUCAGACUUCUACGGGUAUGAAUUAGAAAAUUAAGAUCUUGGAAUAAGUUGUUAAUAGUUAUUUCUUGUAUUUGUUUAAAGUAUUGGAGGUGUUUGAGAUUGUUAGAGGCUUAGAGGUGUGUUUAAAUAAUUGCUUUUAUCGAGAUAAGUAACUCUAUUCCUAAUGUACUGGAUAUCUAAUGUACUAGAUAUAUAUGAUAAUUUUGAUAUUUCAAUAUUAUUACAAGUACGUGUGUUUUCUUAGUUCUUCAUAACAAAAAUAAUUGAUGUGAGUGUUUUUAAAUUUGAAAAUUAUGCCAUUUUUAUGGUUUUAACAAAAUAUUAUAAAUGCCUUAACAUGUGCAAUUUAUUUUGCUAGAUAAUUAUAUUUUUGAAAUUGUCUGUAAAAUGUUAGAAUGGAAAUUGUUCUGCAAGCCUAAAUCAUUGUUAUGAUCAUUUAUGAAUCUAAUAUGAAUAUUAUGUUCACGUAUUCGAUUAAAAUUAUCUAUGAAAAUUUAUGCAGGGGCCACCUUUUGAGACUGUAUGGAGGCCAUAUCUCGAGGACUAAAGUGUCGCGUAUAGUAUAAAGUACCACGUGUAAUUUGCUACAAAGGAAAAAUAAAUUUAAAUGUUUUGGUUCAUUGUCCGUAGUCAUUUUGAUUCUGUUAUAUACUUACACACACACACACACACACACACCAGUAUUGAGUUUCUAUUCUGAUUGUGUCUAUGAUAUUCUUAUUCUCAUUCUAUUCCAGCCUGGUCAUCGAGAGUAUAGGUGACACUAUGUGACAUGAGCUAAUCUUUUGUGUCCUGUAUUUAUAUAUUAAGUGAUUUGUUUCUAUGAUUAAUUAUGAUCUCGAUAUUCUGGAUAAUUUAUGAAUUUGUCCUUAUGUUAUUAUAUCUCAUUGUAAAAUUUAUGUGAUUUGUUGUGAUAUAUAUAUUGGUAAACAAGGCUUGCAAUACUUUUGGUAUCGGAUAUCCCUGGGGUGUUAGGAAUGAUUUUACUUGCCGAAUUGAUGGCUCACUUCUCGUCAUUACUUUUUGCAGAUUGAGUGACUUGUUGAGAGAUGUGCUUAUCUUUGGAGUUAGAGAUUAAUUUACUUUUGCUAGUUGAAUAAAAGAAGGACGAAUUUCUAUUUCUUUUAAGCUUGUUAGUCUUCUGAACUUGUAAUUGGAGAAUUUUGAAACUUUUGUUACAUUUAUGAUUUGGGAGAGAAAUGCCAAGUAUUUGACUUCUGGAUUUGUUGAUUUGUUUAAUAAAAUUUGAGAUAUUUCAGUUUGAGAUUUUGUGUGAGGAUUUCAAUAUGUAAGUAAUCUCCUACUAUCACGUGCUCCACACGUGUUAAAUUUGGAGUGUUACAAUUGUUAAGCUUUGCAUAUCCAAAUUGAUUAAGUUGAAAAAUAGGGUAAGAUGAUAGGAUUCUAGGGUUUUACUUAGAGAAUUCAAGAGAGAAAAGAUGAGGAAUUUAAGAAUUCAUAGGGGAGAGAGAAGAAUUAACAGGGGUUAGAAUUAAUUUUAUUAUUGCUUGCUUAAAAACAUAAUGAGAGCCACUUACUUAUAGUGGCUCAACACAUUCCUAAUUCUAAUCUAAUUAGAACCUUAAAUUAUAAUUGUAAUAAGAAAACCUAAUCCUAGUAGGAAAGAAAAAAUAAACCACUUGGGUUCUGUAGAGAUUUGAUUGAACUGCUAAUCUUAUAAAACCAAAACUCUGCCCAUGAUCUUUGACUAAGAUCAACAGAAGUAGCACACAAGCAAUAAAAUUGAACCAGAAUCUAUUCAAUAUCCUCUCAAAAGACUUAACCACUCAACAACAGAAAUUAAACAACAGAAAAGAAUGAAUCAGAAACAAAAUCACAGAGAGAGCAAGAGAUAACGUGGUCCAAUCUUUUUCAAGACUUACAUUCCCGAGUGAAAACAUCAGAGAUUGUUUUUUUGAUCGAUUCAACGAAGAAACUACAAGUACUCAGAAUUGAGGAUACAGAGCUUAAGAAUUAGUUUUCUCUCUCCAAGAUUCUCUCUCGAAUACUCUCGAAUCACUUCCCCAGGUGAGGUGCAAAACCAGCUUUAUAUUACAGGGGGAUAACAGAACAAUGAACCCAGAUAGCACAGCCCUCUUCCACGUGCCCAAGACCGUUAAAAGAACAGGGAUGCACUUAAGUGACCACGUGACUUAGCACGCGCAAUUUCUUGAAUCUGUUAUGAGUAAAACGCAAGCUUUAACGUCGUUUACAGUUAGUAAUCACGAGCUCCCUGACGUGACUUCAUAACGGAUUUAACCGAUGGCCCAAUACGCUGCCGUUUGCUCUGGUUUGUGUUUGAAUUCAUUGACUCUACAGGUUCUAAUAGAUUCUUUUGUUUCAAAAUGAAGAUUGAAGAUCAUCCACGGCAGUAGGAGAUUUAAGUUGGAAGACUUAUGGUGUUGACAGUCUUUUUGCUUUUAUUUCCAGAAUUUAUUUCCUUCUUUGCAAGUUGUGUUCUCUCAAGACUCGCAGCUCCGCCAAAUUCUGGCGUGAAGGCUUAUCACCUUCCUCUUUAAUGCAGGUUUGCAGCCCACAUCAGUCGCCAGUUGGAGUCAAAUUAAUGAAAAAUUUAGGGUCGUGUAAUUGGUCUCAUGCAUCCACAAAUUUGAUAAAUUUUAACUCACAAUGGGUAUAAACUUAUGGUGAUUUAAUAAGAAUGCAGUGAAGAAUUAAGAGAUAUUCAAGUGCCUGCAAUUGUGUUGGUUUCCCAAAUCCCAACCAAUCCAACAUUUCAGGAUAAGGCUUUUUGUUUAAAUUAAUAGCACAACGUGCCAGAGGGAUAGUCCAAAUUCUUGUUGCGUUCUCUCAACUCUCAAUUCUCAUGAUAUUAGUUAUAGCUUCGUAAAGAACAUUUGGCAACAUCAGAUGGAGGAAUCUGAAACAGAGAUGGCGUCAUUGCCCUAUGAUUGAGGCUUUGAAUUAACUCUUUCCCAGCAUGUUUCUUUGAUUCAUGAGGAUAUACAUUCUCUUUUUUUUUUCAUAAUACAUUAAUUAAAUCUUAUACAAAUGGAAGAAGGAAGCAAGAAAAGUAAAUCAAACAUUGAACAUGACAAGGUACAAGAAGCAAGCAAGUCUCAGGUAUCAAGCUUUCCUAGGCGACAACCAAGUUCAACAAAGCAAAGGUGAAGCAAGGCAAACAAGAAUUCAAGCCGCACGUCAUAGACUCACCAAGCUUCAACACAGUGAACAAAUCAAGGCUGCUUACCAGCAUUUGUUGUACAAGCAAACUUCUCAGUUUUAUGUCACAACAGAUGGUAUCUCGUGUUCUUGAGUAGAGAAGAUACAAUAAUAUUUACCAUUAGAAUCUGCUAUCAACUCUGUUAAAUCGAAUUUUCUCUAAUAUUUACCAUUAGAGUAGCAAAGCUAUUAACAUCUCAAUUUUCUCUGAAUGCUCCAUGAGAAUGGUAUUUAUGUUAUGAUCCAACUCAAACCUGGCAAGAGGAUAUUGCCUGUUUUGAGCCUUAACAAGGCCGCAUGGUUUUGUUUCUAGGACACCCAUACAUCCUAAAACGCAUAUUAUCAAUAAAGGUGUGGAUCAGCUCUUAUAAACCCAACAUCUCUCUUGUACUUUGUCGAUGUGAGAUUUGUCUUGGGUGUUACAAUUCAGGUGCCAUUAAUCCAAAUUUGGCGAUUGUGUGAAGUACUCUUAUGCGUAUUUUAACCUCUGAAACAAAAACUGGUGACAUGGAGGUAUUACAUGCAUUGUCAUUAAAUUAAUAUAAGCGCUAAUCUCAAAGUAUGUGUUGUAUGCAUGUUCUUAAUGUGGCUCACAUUCAUGAGUUUGAGAUUAAUUAAGACUACUCACAUUUUUAUGAUUAGAUAAUGAUAAGAAUAGUUGUUCCAUAUUUCUAAAAAAUUAAGAUAAGGAUAAUUUCUCAUUUUCUUGAUGGAGGGAAGUGAAUGAAGUCCGUUAAAUAGACUAAGGGUCCUUAGCCUAGCCUACAUAUGACUUUCCGUGAGAAUUACCCAUCGAAUUAAAGGCUAUAUAGAGGAAUAGACUAGAAAAUUCUAACCAUUUUUUAGAUUAACUUAAAUAAUAAUGACUGGAGGUAGAGGUACGUAACUUAUUUAAGUUUAUAAUCUAAAAUAUAUUUGGAAAAAUGCUUUUUUCAUCCCUAAGGUUUGAAAUAGCCUAUUUUAUCCUUACUAUUUAAAUAAUAGUCUAUUUCAUCCCUAUUUUUUAAGCAAUAGCCUGAAACACCAUUUCAUUAAUUUACUGUUAUUAUACUGUAUAAUUCAUUGAGGGCAAAAUAAGAUUUCUAAAUAAUGAUCAAUUAUUUUAAAAUAAACUCUCAAACACAAAUAAAAAAUAUAUGUCUUUCUAUAUAAAUUUAAAAUUUAAGGAUUACUUAAGAAAGAAAAAAAUAACAUUAAAUAAUAUGUAAAAUAUACAUUUAGGACAAAAAACAAACCAUAGAUUUCACAAGCACUAGAUUAUUUUUUUUAUCCUUUAGCUUAUUCUUAACUUUAAUAUGGUCGAAAUAAAUAAAUAAAUAAAUGAUCAAUCAGUACUGUUAUUAUACCAAAAGUAAUUAUGGACUCCUUUAUUUACUUAAAAAAAAAUACACACUAAAUACAUAACAAACUACAUUUCAAAAUACUGCAGAAUAAAAUAUAAUGCAUUGGAUUUUUUUUUUUUAAUCUUUUAGCUUAUUCUUGACCUUAAUAUAAACAAUGAUUCUUGAUGAAAAGAAUUAUUAUUAUUAUUAUUUUGUUAACUUUAUUAAAAAAAGAAUUUAAUGAACACAUGUGUGUGUGUGUGUGUGCGUGUGUGUGUGUGUGUUGCAUAUUCUUUAGUAUUAUUUUUGUUUCAUUAAGUUAUACUUAAAUUUUAAAUUUAUGCAAAAAAGUCAAAUGUUAUUCAAUUAUUCUUGAGAUUUUUAUUUUAAAAAGCUUUAUAUACUUAUUUAACUAAAAAAUUUUAUUUUACUCUCAAUGAAUUUCAGAGUAAACUAAUUAUAAAUUCACGGAAAGAUAUUUUAAGCUAUUAUUUGAAAAAUAAGAAUGAAACGAAUUAUUUUUAAAAAAAUAAGGAUAAAAUAAGCUAUUAUCUUAAACCCUAAGGAUGAAAAUAGCUUUUUUCUAAUAUAUUUCUAUAUAUAUUUUUAAGCUACAGAACGGAUGAUGUGAUGCAUAUGUACGUGCCUCUAUUCAGCAAAUUCAGAGAAGCAUUAUUGCAAAGUCAACAGUUAACUGUUCAAAGUCAGCGGACAAUUAUGAAAAUUUCUAAUUUCAAUGGCAGCAAAGUCGGGGGAAAAUUAAUUGUUCAAAAUCAAUAUAUAAACAUGGUGGCCCUAGAUAAGAAGAUAACAUGCACGAUAAGGAUAAACAAUUACCCUAAUCUUUCUUUUGUGGACAUGUUAAUAAAAUAAAGACAGAUUGUGAAAGAGGACGUAUCUAUAGAUGGUUGAUUCAGAACUUAAUUAAGAUCAUUCAUUAUAUUUAUUUUUAAUUGAGACAGAGCCUCUCAUGUUGGCGUUAAUAUGUAGACAAGUAUGAAUCUGAUGCGUAAUAGUACAUUUGCAAGUUUGUUUAAUUAAUUGUUAAGUUGAAAUAUAAAACAAGUCUUCCCCAAUCAACCACGAAGAAUUAAGACGCAUUUAGUUUUUUAAUCUGAAAUUUAAAAUCAGUCUGAAUUUGAUGGAAGUCUUAACUGAUGGUUUGAAUACAAAUAUCUGUAUGAUAUGUUUUUUUUUUAAUAUCUAAAUAUAAUUGACAUUAUUUUUGUUUCUAUAACUAAAAAAAUCUUAAAUAUGGUGUUUAACAUUUAUAUCCUUGUAAGUUAAAAUGAAUAAAGGGAUUAGGUUUUAUAGUUUAACAAAUAAGUAUAUUUAAUAGAAAUGUUUUGGGAUAUAAUAUUUAUUUAUUCAUGCCUUUUCUUAUUUAGAUAAAAGUCACAAAAGUUUAGUCUUUUUUUUUUUAAUUCAAAUGUAAAUGUUUGAAAAUCAGAUAUAAAUUAAAAAAAUAAACGAGCAAUUUAAAAAAAAAUCAAAUUAAAAAAAAUCAAAUUUUAGACAUUUAACCAACAAGCCUCCAUUUCAUCUUGGUCAAUGAGAGUCGUUGGCUACCACGAAAUUUCUGAUCCCUGUCUAGUAUGGGCGUGCCAUGAAUUAACCCAAGCGUUUUAAUUUUUGCCUUAAAAAAAUUUCCAUUCUCUGCUCUAGAAAAUUGAAAAAAAAAAGAAAAGUAAAACAUAGUUCACGUUGGUAUUAUUAUUAUAUUAGCAUUAUAAACAUCUCAACCGUUUAUUCGCUAACGCAGUAUCAAUCACCAUCGGUUGUUCUUCUACUGAUUAAAAUACAGAUUUAAGAGCAAAGCAAUUUGAAUGCUUGUAAUUGUUACUCUUGUAUCCAAUUUUCCCCAGGAAUUACAGGAUCAACAAUCCCAUCAAACAUAUUACUUUCAACUUGUCUUUAACUGGGGAAAGCAUUAAUAAAUUAUCAGGACAAGCUUCUUAUAAGUAAAUUUCUGCCCAAACAAAACAUCAAGUAACGACAUCUACCAAAACUAUAAACAUCAUAGUUCUCUCAUUUUCAAUAAAAUGUGUUUUAUUUUGUUUGGGUAAACGUAUACCAAAACUACAUUUUCAAUAAAAUGUGUGGUUACCAUUUUGUUCUAUACUACAUUUUCAUUUUGUGUGGUUACCAUUUUUCCACGGCAAGAUUACAUGGAUGUUGAUUGUAUGAUUUUCUUUAUCCAUGCUCUGCAUUGUUGCGUGUUUGGGAUUCGCCGGCGAAGACUUUUCUUGGCUUUUCUUGACUAAAUGCUCUGCAUUUAGUCAUCUCUCAAAAUGUCAUAUCCUAACACAUAAUCAACGCUCAGACUGAAGACUUUUCUUGGCUUCAAUAAUUGAUGCAGAUUAUACACAGUAGUAUAAAUUGGCAUGGAGUCCAGGAGUUUCGAUAUAACAAUAUAUCCUCAAAGCUAAUGAUAAUUAUAAUGUCAUCCAAAUUGUUCCUUCUAUUUGAAAAUAUAGCUCUGUUUUCUGUGUUGUUUUUUCAAUUGAAGCCCACAAUUGCUGAUUCUAACAAAAAAACGAUAAAGUGCAUUGAUGAGGAGAGAGAAGCGCUUCUCACUUUUAAACGGAGCUUGGUGGAUGAACAUGGCGUUCUGUCUUCCUGGGGAAGAGAAGAUGACAAAAGAGAUUGCUGUAAAUGGAGAGGAGUCCACUGUAGCAACACAACUGGCCAUGUCAAGGUGCUUAAUCUUCGAACAUCCGACGAGGAAAACGCUCAGCGGAAGGCCUUGAAAGGUGAAAUUAGUCCUGCUUUGCUUGAAUUGCAUGAUAUAAGACAUUUGGACCUUAGUAACAAUCACUUCAGUGCAAGCCCAGUUCCUGAGUUCAUUGGUUCCCUCAGCAAAUUGAGGUACCUCAAUCUCUCUUGUAGCAUACCUUUAGAACUCCCUCGUACAUUGCGGAACUUUUCAGGAUUGGAAUAUCUCAACCUGGAAAACUCUCAUUUAUUUAGCGUGGGAAGCUUAGAGUGGCUUUCUCGUCUUUCUUCUUUAAGACACCUUGACCUGAGUUACAUUAAUCUCACUAAAUCUAGAGAUUGGUUUCAAGUAGUUGCCAAGCUCCGUUCCCUAAAAACAUUAGUCCUACGCUCGUGUGCUCUUCCACCUAUCAAUCCAUCGUUUAUUUGGCACUUCAAUUUGAGUACGUCUAUUGAGACCCUUGAUCUUGCUGACAACAAUCUCCCUUCUUCUUCAGUAUACCCUUGGCUUUUCAAUCUUAGUCGGAAUAUGCUUCAUCUUAACCUUGGCUCUAAUUCAUUACGAGGUUCAAUUCCAGAGGCUUUUCAACACAUGGUUUCUCUUAAAAGUCUUUGUCUCUCUGCUAGUGAACUUGAAGGUGGGAUUCCAAAAUUCUUUGGAAACAUGUGUAGCUUAAAAAAGUUUGGCUUGCCUUACAACAAACUCAGUGGACAAUUCUCACAGGUAAUUCAAAAUCUGUCUUGUGGAUGCGUGGUGAAUUCACUAGAGGGGCUAUAUUUACAUGAUAAUGACUUCACGGGGCCAGUACCUCAUCUUGGAGGAUUUUCAUCCUUGGAAGCAUUGAAGCUUGACAUUAAUCGUUUGAAUGGAACUAUAAACGAAAGCCUCAGCCGCUUGUUCAAGCUUAAGACUCUGUCAUUUGAUAGGAAUUCAUUCACAGGAGUUAUCUCUCAAACCUUUUUUUCUAAUAUGUCCAACUUGCAGGAGUUGUUUUUAGCUGAUAACUCUUUGACUCUGAAAUUGAGUGAUGAUUGGGUUCCUCCCUUUCAACUGAAACGUUUAAGUAUCGCCUCUUGCAAGAUGGGACCUCAUUUUCCAAAAUGGCUUCAAACUCAGAAUCAACUUGUGCAUCUUCACAUCGCCAAUGUUGGAAUCUCAGACACUACUCCUGAUUGGUUCUGGGAUCUGUCCAGUAAACUCUCGUACUUAAAUCUCUCUAACAAUCAUAUCAAUGGUAAACUUCCCGAUUUGUCUUUAAGGUUUAAUGGUACUCGUAUUGGUGGUACUUGUAUAGACAUCAAUUCAAACCACUUUGAGGGCCCAAUUCCACCACUUCCUUCAAAUUCGCCGUUCUUAAAUCUCUCUAAAAAUAAGUUCAUAGGGCCAGUUACUUUCUUAUGUUCUAUCAGUGAAAACACAUGGAACUUUUUAGAUCUCUCGAGUAACUUAUUGUCUGGAGAACUUCCUGAUUGUUGGUUGCACUUUGAUAGCCUAUUCGCUCUUAACUUGGCAAAUAAUAGCUUCUCAGGAAAAAUACCAGACUCGAUGGGUUUCCUAAAUAGCAUCCGGACACUGAAUUUACACAACAAUAGGUUAACCGGGGAAUUGCCUUCAUCUUUAAGGAAUUGCUCCCAACUGAGAGUUUUGGAUCUCGGGAAGAACACAUUUUUUGGUGAGAUACCAACGUGGAUAGGGGAAAGUCUACAAAAUUUGAUUGUUCUUAGCCUAAAAUCUAACAAAUUUCAUGGAAAUAUACCUUAUCAAUUGUGCCAUCUGGGAUUUAUUCAAGUCUUGGAUCUUUCUUUUAACAAUAUAUCAGGAAAGAUACCAACGUGUUUCAAUAAUUUUUCAGCCAUGACCUAUGAAAGAUGUUCCAAUCCUACCAUUGGGUUCGGCAAAUACAUCUUAGUUCCCCCUAGAACUGGAUACUACUAUAAAUAUUUGGUCAAUUUACUGUUGACUUGGAAAGGAAGUGAAAAUGAGUACAAAAGUACUUUGGGACUGGUAAAGUGCCUUGACCUUUCGAGUAACAAAUUAGGUGGAGCAAUUCCUGAAGAGAUUAUGGAUCUUGUGGGGCUGAUUGCCUUAAACCUUUCAAGAAACAAUUUAACUGGACCAAUCACUCCGAAGAUUGGUGAGUUAACAUCAUUGGAUUUCCUGGAUUUGUCUAGAAAUCUGUUUUCUGGAAGUAUUCCAUCUAGCCUCUCUCAGUUAAGUGGUCUUGGUGUCUUGGACUUGUCGUACAACAACUUGUCAGGAAAAAUCCCAUUAGGCACUCAGCUCCAGAGUUUCAAUGCUUCAGUGUACGCUGGAAAUCUUGAACUUUGUGGCCUUCCACUCGCAAAUAAGUGUCCGAAUGAAGAAUCCACUCCAUGUCCAGGCAGAAAUGAUGGUGCAAACACUCUUGAGGAUGAGGAUGAUCAGUUUAUGACUCUUGGAUUUUACGUGAGCUUGAUUCUUGGUUUCUUUGUUGGAUUCUGGGGAGUCUGCGGAACUUUAAUGCUGAAUAGGUCGUGGAGACAUGGUUACUUCAACUUCCUGACUAGUAUGAAAGAUUGGGUCUAUGUGACAGCAGCUGUGAAUAUUGCCAAACUGCAAAGAAAGUUUAGGAACUAACUAAACGGUAAUACUCCUUAACAUUGGGUUUCAGUCAUUGUUGUCAGCUCACGUGCUUUUAAUUUCUUCAUCCUUAAAUUUUACUUUUUUCAGCUUUUGUUCCGCUAACUAAUUGUUCAUCUUUUUUUUUUUUUCAUUCACCAUCUUUUUGGCAGGGUAUCUUUCUGAAAAUAUAUUUGGAAUCUUUCUGAAAAUUAACUCAUAUGAUGCACAUUGUAUUUUUGAGUAUAUGCUUAAAGAAACUUGUAUGUGGUUCUCCUUAGACCAUCGUCGAUCUAUGCGUUUAUAUACUCUUGUUAGAGUUCAAUUAUGCUAUUAAUCCAUUACAGCAAUAAAGGCAGUCAAAUUCUGCUCUGCUAUUGAUCAAUGUUUGCUCUUUUUUCCUUUUCAUUGGGUGAAUAAAUAAUAAGAGACAAAUCGAAUCUUUCUAUUUAAAGAGUUGUUAACUAAUAAAACUACUAAAUGGAUGAUAAAAUUAAUUAAUUAAGCUAGAAUAAUCUUAUUAACAAAGUAGGUGGUAGGUUCGUAUGAUUCCGGAUCACUGGUACUAAAAUGUGAAGGAAGAGAUCGAACUUUACAAGAAUUUGUUCUUACUGUAUUCGAACUGGUAAUUGAUUAAAUUUGAUUAAAUUUCUAUGAUGGUGACAUAUAAUGAUGAUGAUCAAAGACUUAAAUAUUAUUUUCAGAGAAGACUAUUGACUUGAAUGCAGACUCAGUAAUAUUAUUGAAUAUCACACAAGACUUUUCUAUCCUAAUUUUUAGCAAUUUUCCAAACGUAUCAUCACAUUCAAGACCCAGCUGACUCUAUAAUUUAACUAACGUGUUACUAACGCACAUUAAUAUUACAUCGCAUUUUCACUGCCAUGGCCAAUUUCAGCGUUUCUCAUCAUUACUCUCUAUUUUGGCAAGUAUGGUAGGAAUCUUUAAAACAGCGUACAAGAAUCAAGGGGAAGAAAUAAGAAACUGUAAAGGAACAUAAGUGGGAUAUAUAGUUUGUGGGAGCAUUCAAUUCAGUUCAUGGGGGCAUAAGCUUAAAUAAUUGAUGCAAUUUUAAGAGGUGUUUUUUCCCCCCUUGUACAAGGUUGCACACAACAGUGGUGAAUAAUAUUGCCAAAUUGCAACAAAGCUGCAGGGGCUAAAAGUUAAGUGUGUGAAUAUAUAUUAUUGCCAAAUUGUUAAGACUUAUAGUUUACCAAACUUUUGUCUAAUUGAUUUUUCUAAGGACAACGUUAGGUGUUGGUUGUUUUUUAAUCUGAAGUCUGAAUUUAACUUUUUUUUAGAUAUUUACUUAUUUUAGUAUAUUUAUUUUUUUAACUUGUCACUUAUCGUCAAACAAUUUUAUCUGAAUAAAAAAAGUAGAAAAAAUCCACUUUUAUCUGAAGUCUGAAAUCUAAAUGAAAAAUUUUAAUUUCAAAUCUCAAAAAUAGCCUUAACAAUUCAUGUAUUUCCAAUAUUAUGUAUAAAACCUAAUAUUUUUGUAUUAUCCUAAGUUUUCUUUUUAAUUGCUUUAAAUUUUUAUUCAUAUGGUAACAUCAACUAGACUAAAAUAUGGAACAAAUUAAAUUAUGUCAAUUGUGAUGAAUCAAAAAUAAAACAACACUAUUGACUUUAUAAUGAAAAUUGAUGUUAUAAUUACAUCUUUUAUUACAAAAUUAAAUUAAAAUCAAUAGUGAUAGUAUUUUUUAUAAUGCUACCAAACUAAUCAACUUAUAAAAAUUAUAAACUAUAAAAAUAAAUAUAUGCAUUAUUUAAAAAGAUAUUUAUGUUAAAUUAUUAACUUUUAAACUUUUCUAUUCAGAUGUUGAAAAAAGAAAAACAAACAUGUCAUUUAAAUAUUUUUAUUCAGACCUAUUUAAACUUCAAUUAAAUUCAAACUUAUUCAAAUUUCAGAUGAAAAAACAAACACGACCUUAGUACUAAGUAAGUAGGGCCAAUUGCCCUUACUUGAUUAGAACAAGCCGUCGUAAAUUGUAUUCAUUAUUUAAGUGUCUGUCCCUAUGAAAUGAAUUGAAACACCCCCAUGAGUUGAAGAAUUUAAGCUCGUACCCUUGUGAACCUUAAUUGGAAUGCCCCAUGAGUUGAAGUUGCCAUCCCUUAAAUUGAAUUCAUUAUUAAGUUGCCAUUGUAAACUGACUUUUGUCUAUGAUUAUUUCGUCGGCCCACAAACAAUUGAUAAUUACAUAAGCAGCGCGCAACAAUCACACACUGGGCCUAAGAAUGAAGCUUGCUUUGUUUGAAAAAAAGAAAAUGCUAAUAGAAACAAGAUAAAUUUAGUACCAAUUUAUUCACUUAUUUAUUUUUUUAAAUAAACCAACACCAAUUUACUCUGUUUCUAUCAGCGCUAAUCAUCAUUUUGUUUGCUUACAAUUAUUGUCAUGGACUCCAGGAUUUUGGAUAUAACAAUAUAUCCUGAAUACCAAUGAUAAUUACAAUACAUUAUAAUGCAACUUAACAUCACCCCAUUUUCAUAGAAGACCAUUGAUUUGAAUGAAUACUCUGUUGUUGACUCAAGACUGUUAACUUAAUGAUUUCUUGUUCUUUCUUGAGCAUGCAUUACCACCCAUGUGCUUCAAUUUCAACCCUGUGAUUGUCUUGCCAACUGAUCAUCACAAACGGGUCCUCUUCUGAAUUCAUAAGUUGCAGUAUUUUGAAUUACAAGUCUCCUGUCAUCAAGUCUCCAUUCAGAUAUUUGAUUGAACCCCAAGCUGAAUUCUUCAAACACCCUGCUCAUCUUAACUGUUAAACAAUAAAUUUUCAUUGGAAUUAAUUACAAGUUACUAAUUAAGUAUUUCUAUCAAAAACUAUUUAAAAUAAUUGAGGAACUUAUCCUCCUCUGCAAUAUGCGCUUGCAGCCAUACCAAUCACUUCUGAAAGUCGCAUAAGAAAAAUAAUGUGUGUUAAUCCAUGACAGCAGCCUCAUCCGAUUUGAAUAUGGCAUCAUCAUAUCUUAAAUAGAUAAUAUUAUGAUCUUUAUACGACAGAAUAUAUGACAUUUUAACUCAAUAAAUUGCAAACAAAAGUAUGGAGACAAGUAUAUUUAUUAAGAAGACAAUUAAUAACCAUUUUAUUAAAGGGUUAAAAGGCAUGUAAGUACUUUUAAGGCAUGUAUUUUCACAGAAACCAUCUUUCUUCUAUCAUCUCUCAUCUUUUCACCUUUUCAUUAUUUUCCCAUUCUUCAAAAUUUCUCUCUUCUAUAUUUCUCAAAUUAUGGUGUAUAUAUGUCAAAGGCAUGUAUUUUCUGAUUUAAGGGGCUGCUGGAAUUAGGAAUAUAGCUUGUACUCUUAUAGGUUGUUGGAAAUUAUCAAAAGCCACAGAGCAGGCAGAAAGUCAAUGAAGCCAUUGGAUUGGAUUGCUAUUGCAUAUUAAGCUCCUGUUGCUGCAGCUACUGCUACUUUUUAAAAUCCACUCAAUUGGUCAAGAAAUUUUUUCAGAUGCUCCUAAAAAUAUUUAUAUAUAUAAUAUGUUUGACUUAAGAUUAUACUCCAAACUGAGAACCAAUACACAGUUAAACAAAAAGGUUUUCUUUCAGCUUUAGUUUUUAUAACUCCAUCCUUGACGCACUAGAUUAAAUCACUAACUUUCAUACAAACUACAAAAGAGAAGUGCAUGCAAUUGUAUCACAAAAUCCAUAAAGUGUGUCAACACGAAAACAUUUAGAGAAAUUGGAUUAUUAAUUUUCAACAGAGAGUAUUAGAAUUUUUGCAGCGUCAAGAUCAGAACCAAACUAGAUGACAGAUACAAUAAGGCAAGUGGUGAAGAAAUAGCACGAAGACACUCAGAAAAAGCAAAUUUAAAUUUGACGAGCUCCAGAUGCUUAACCUAAAAAUAACAAAGAUAUUGCAGGUUUAUAUAAUAGGAAAGAUGACACAGAAAAAGCAUGGAAAAGCUCACAGCUCCGUUGAAAACCGAAAAUCCAGCAUUGGCUUGCAGCCACGCUCAGUCUCGUCCUGAAAUCAGACCGAAUUCUGGGUAUGUGUAAAACAGGACAGCAGCCUCAUCCAAUUAUGUUCACCUAUAAACAAUAUGAAGUCAUACGACGUUUUUGUCUAUAAAUGAGAAAAAUAAAGUACUAUUGAUCUUUUGAGAAACAUAAUUCUUUUUUUUUUUUUUUUUGGCUAAGAAACAAAUCUUUUGAGAAACAUAAUGAUAAUUCGAAAUGAAAAAUAGAUACGAACAAUUAAGUGGAAAAUUUAAUUUGUGAGUGCAUUUCAAUUCAGUUUAUGGGGGCAUAAGCUUAACUGAUGGGUGUAAUUUUAAGAGUCUUUUCUCUUAAUCAACCAGCAUGAAUAAUAUUGCCAAAUUGUUAAUACUUAUAGUUUACCAAACAUGUGCCUAACUACAUUUUUGUCUAAUUGAUUAUUUAAAAGGAUGGAGCUAGUAUUAGGCAAGUGGGGGCAGUUGCUCUCGCUUGAUUAAAACAGCCGAUAAAUUGCAUUCAUUAUUUAAGUCUCUAUCCACGUGAAUCUAAAAAUUCUAUUAAAAAACUUCUAUUUUUUUAACGAUAAUUUAAAAAGACUACCAAGAAAUUUCUUUUCCAAAGGCAUAUUUACCUGAACGAAGACUUGUUGAGAAGGACAAGGUUUAGCUACUCCAAUGCAGAAUAUAAAACACAAGAGGCUAGACUUAACAAUAUAUCCUCAAUACCAAUGAUAAUUACAAAAUCAUUUUCAGAGACCUUGUUAACUUACAUUAUAAUGUAACUUAACACCACCUCAUUUUCUGAGAAGAUUAUUGACUUGAAUGAAGAAUCUGUUGUUGACUCAAGACUAUAGACCUGAAUGAAUUCUCGAUCUUUCUUGUGCAUGAAUUACCGCCUCAAUAAUUCAAUUUCAACCCUCUGAUUGUUUUGCCUACUGACCAUCACAAAAGGGUCCUCUGAAUUGACAAGUUGCAGUAUUUUGAAUUACAAGUCUCCUGUCUUCACUUCCCCAUUCAGACAUUUGAUCGAACACCAAGCUAAAUUCUUCAAACACCCUGCUAAUCUUAACUCUUAAAAUGUUCUGAUUGAAUUUUAAAUGGCAGUAAAUUUUUCACUGUAGUUAAUUACAAGUUACUAAUUAAGUAUUUCCAUAUUAGUUAAUUGUAUGAAAAUAAUCGAUGAACUUAUCCUCCUCUGGAAUUAUGAAUCUAGAUUGUACUCUUAUAGGUAUCGGAAAUAAUCAAAAGCCACAGAGCAAGAAGAAAGUCAUUGAAGCCCUUGGAUUGGAUUGCUGCUAUUGCAUAUUAAGCUCCUGCUGCAGCAGCUAGUGCUAUUUUUUAAAUCUACUCAAUUGGUCAAGAAAGUUUUUCGGAUGCUUCUAAAAAUAUUUAUAUGUAUAAUAUCUUUGACUUAAGAUUGUACUCCAAGCUGAGAACCAAGACACAGUUAAACAAAAAAGUUUUCUUUCUGUGUUAGUAUUUAUAAAUUCAGACCUUGACACACUAGACUAAAUCUCUAACUUUCAUACAAACUACAAAAGAUAAGUCCAUGCAAUUGCGUCACACAAUCCAUAAGUAUGUCAUCACAAAAACCUGUAGAGAAAUUGGAUUAUUAAUUUUCAACAGAGAGCAUCUGAAUUUUUGCAGCUUUUACAGCAUCGAGAUUCAGAACAAAACUAGAUAACAAAUACGCAAUAGGCAAGUGGUGAAGAAAUAGAGCGAAGACACCAGGAAAAGGCAAGUUUAAGUUCGAUAAGCUCCAGAUGCUCAACUGCAAAAUAACAGAGAUAUUGCAGGUUUAUAUAAUAGGAAAGAUGACACAGAAGAAGCAUGGACAAACUCACAGCUCUUUUGAAAGCCAAAACUCCAGCAUUGGCUUGCAGCCACACUCAGUCUCGUCCUGAAAUCAGAGUCAAUUUUGAUGACAUGAAGCCUUAUAAACAUAGUUAGAGAACAUUAAACUUUGUUCAUAUUGAAAAAUGGUUAACUCUUCCAUUUCUUGUCCACAUAAACCUUAAAGGCAGACACAAGGUCGCUUCUAGAACCUUUGACAGCAGCCACUAUACUAAAGAUGAUUCAAAACAAAAAUAUCAUAUUCACAAAAAUAAGAUAUACAGGAACAAGGAACUCUUACGUUCUAUUGAUCAAACACCAUCUAUUCCACCUGAUUACAUUCUCAAGAGGAAUUGAAAAAAUGUUUUGGAUAGGAAAGUUUGUUGGAUGCAUGCAAGUUUAUUUGCCACAGAGCUUCCAUUAUGGAGCAGUCUUCUUUCAAUAUCUCAGGCCAUGCAAAAGGGACAUAGCAUGUUAAUUCAAGUUGGACAAAAAGCAUGUGGUUCUUACAAAUGUGAUAUGUGAAUAAUGUGCGACUAAAACAAGUACAUCAAUGUAGUUCUGAGUCCUUUACAGUCAUAACCUGAAGUCUUUCGGGAUCAUCUCCGAUACUCUAUAUCUUAAGUUAACCAUUUUCUGUAUCAUUUUACAAUUAUACAACAAAGAUUAUCAGUCACUCCUUAUACCACCGAGGUAGAUACAAAUAAAGCAAUGAAAUAACUUUUACAACAACCUUCUCAGAUUCAAGUUUGUACCCACUAAUCCUUUAAAUUAUGGUCUUUCUUUUUCUUGAUUACUCUACUUAUCUCACAAUCAUCUUAUCCAAGAAUUGUCAUAGGUAGUGACCAAAACCUAACUUUGGGCUGGCUUUACUGCUUUCAGAUUUUUAGCUCCCAUAUCAUUAACUGACAACACUAAUUUUGAUGAAUCACAAGGAAGCCAUUUGGACUUCAUGCUCUCGCUCUCAAAGAGACAAAGGUCCCAAUUCUCAAAUUCCAAAUAGUUGGGCACACCAGAAAACCCAAUUAUGUUUGCAUUGCCUCAUAGAUGUCAGGUGAACCCAAAUUCUAAAUAACUACAAAUGAAAUUUGAUCUGGUUCUGAGUUAAUUCAACAAUGAAUCAAUACAAUACAGUAGUAAAAUAUUUCAUUUAUGAAUGAAACUACAGGAUUUUCAUGACGUUUAAAAAUAAUAGUACGAUAGGAUCCAACCAACAUAAACAAGCGGCUAACCUGUUAUGAAUCUCUCACAAAAACGUGGAGCUCUUAUAAGUAUUUCAAGAUGUUUUCUCCAUCAGUUUAUUGGCGGCAGAAUGUUUGACUUGGCUGCCAUACACCUGUCCAUGACCUUUCCCUGCAGUAUGAAAUGGACUUCUCCAAAUGGAACAUGAUGUCCAGCUCACACUACAUAUUAAGUAAUUAAACAAGAAACUAUAUCAACUUUCUUGGAAUUGCAAAACAAUCGGGACCCAAAUUUUAAAAAAAAAUCAACAAGCUCUGUAUUUUCAAGAUGAGUCUGAAAUUUAUUGAUCUAUAUCACGAGAGAUCUUACCACAAUUCCAAAUCCACAGUCCGCGGCUUCAAAUAACAAGUACAUGAACUCCAAAUUAGCAAGCUCAUUGUGCAACAAGAAAGAAGUAAUGUUAACCAAUCAUUUACUAUUAAACACUGUUGAUAAUCACCCCCAAAAUCCCAGGGAACAAUUCAUACCCAAAAAGCAUAACAAAGUAAAAAUGAUAUCAUCACAACACAUACACACAGAUGAAACAUUUAUGCAGCAUGUUUCUGUACAAAUACAAAAUUAAGCGAGACCCAGAAAAUAAAGAUCAAAUCUUCAGAAACCCCAUCAAGCAAAAUCAUCAAAAAGCACUCAUUGUCAAUGUCAGCCUUACAUGUCACACCACAACACGAUUUUGAUACUUGACGGUCGCCACGUUGACAAGAAUAUCGCAUCUUUGAACCCUAAUUGCAAUAUUGAAACUUCCAACGGUUGGCAUAGACUAAGAUCUCUGAGGCGCAGGUUAGCAACAAGGAAGCACAUUCACUACGGAGAUUGUGUGCCCGUCAUGAAAGUCACAGAGCUAUCUUGAUUUAGAUUUCAAGCAUCAGAAAAUGAAAGUCACUUCGCUUAUAAUUUUAUCUUGUGAAUUUCUUUUUUCUAAUUUUAAAAUAAAUUAUUGAUUAAACAGAUUUACUAAUUAAUACUGUCAAAUAAAAGAAAUAACGAAAAUAAUCUCAAUUACUUUCACCGCACCUGCACGUUAAAACAACACCCGGAAAUUCAAAAUCCAACAACAACGGCAAGCAAACAUCACUCCGGUUAAUCAAGCUGUGGAUGCACGACGCCGUUUUUUUGCCUUGGUUUGCCAAUAUCGGUUAGUCACUAGUGCUUAAAUUUUAUGCCCCAAACUUCAACUACUCAUUUUCCCGCUUAAUUAUGACGUAAUAAAAUAUCCAAUUUCCUAAAUAUUAAAUUCAAAUUAGAGAUAUCGUAUAUAAUUCAUACAUACGCAUCCGACGACUAUAUAAGUGCCCUCAACAGAACAUACACCGCCUUAUCCCAACACUACUUGAUUAGCAAGCGACUGAGAAAGUUUCCAAAAACUAUAUUUUUCAGUUUCUAAAUUCUUCUUUCAUUCAUCAACCAAAACUUACCCACCAAAAAUCUUCUUAAACCCAUCUGAUUCAAUCUCGAUUUCUGAUUUCAUCGAUCACUUUUUGAUUCUCAAAACACCAACACAAUGCCUCCUCACGUUGGAUUAAGAUUUUAUCCAACAGAACAAGAAUUGCUGGAGUUCUAUCUCCUUCACAAAAUUACCCAAAACCCAAAUCUAUACCAAGCCGAUGAUGAUAUUCCAGUGAAAGAUUGUGAUCUCUAUGGUCCUCAUGAGUCAAACUUGAUUUGAGAUUUGUACGGAAGAGACCAAUUAAUGGGGGGUCAAGCACUCUACUUCUUCACCCAGUUAAAGAAGGUGUCUGCUAAGGGUUCGAGGUUCAACAGAAAGAUUGGCUUCGGUGCUUGGCAGAGUGAGGACAGAGCCAAGCCUAUUCUCGUUGUUGGCUCUAAAGAUCAAAUUCUAAGGUCCACGAAGAGGUUUAGGUAUGAAAGUCGUAAAAACUUGGAACAAAAUGGGAGGUGGAUUAUGCAUGAAUUCACCAUUAAUUCAACCUUGUUGGGUGAUCAAUACUCGCAUAAAGCUAACGAUUUUGUUCUCUGCGGCGUCAAAAAGAACGAAUCGAAAAAGCGCUCGGAGAAAGCCAAUUUGGGCAUAAAGAGAUCGUUUGGUUCCAAGAGAAAGUUGAAGGAAAUAGUGACCUCCGGCAGCCACACUGAUCACGAUAAUGAGUGCUUUUAGAGCAAACGCUUAAAGGCUCAUCAAAAUUCAAUUUUGAUAGAACAAAACCACUCACCGUGUUCGAGUAGCAGUCUGAACCCAGUGGAGCACCAAGGGGAGAUCAUACAUUCGGUGCCUCAAUAUUCAACUCUCUUUGACGUUGAAAGAUAUAGGGGUAGUCUUAUCCAAAUCCUAGAAGAGGAUAAGCAUGAUGAGGGCAGUCAAACUGGUCAACAGAGGGCUGAAGCAGAGGCAGUUUGUGUUCAACAAAACCAAGCAAAUGACAUCCCAUGCUCCAGUAACAACAAUGUGCAGACUGAGGCAGUCCUAAACAAGCGGCAAGAGGCUGUUGAAGAAGAGGCACUUUUGGCUCAACAAAAUAAUCCAAUUGAGUUGUCGUGCCUUGAUAACAUCUGGGACAUUGUGGAAUCCGAAGUGGAGAUUGAUUCUUUACCUGACAUACUUGUUUUUGAUGUGGACGAGCUUUUGUCUGAACUCGAUGGGGUUACUGCCUGUAGAGUUUCUAUCGAGGGUCAAUCAAGUGCUUAAUCGAGUAAUGUAAUUGCAAGUAAUGCACUAGAGAGGAGUGGGAAAUUCUAAUCUCACUCUUGUUCUCUCUGCUUUGUCAUCUGAUUUUGUGAAAGCAAUACUUGGAUAGAGCUACUGCGGUUGAGAAACAAGUCGUCGUUCGUGGCUGCACCUGUCAAGUUACACGAUCUGCUUUUCUAUGUUAUGUAAAUAGUUUGUUUCUUUUUCAAUUGUAAUAUAAUCAUGUCAUAUUCCAUUUUUUGAAAUGAAGUUAUGGCUCUAAUUAUAAGAUUUGUUUAAAAAAUUGAUAUUCCAUGAGUUUUAUGCUUCGCACAUAUAUAUAAAUUGAUUAGUUUCAAAAGCAGGGGCAGAUGAAUGAAUAAUUGUGAUUAUAAUAAGAUUUUGAUGAAAGCUGAGGUUUUUUUAUUGGAAGAAUCGGAAGUGGGGAUUUACUUUUUAAGUACAUGAAAAUCUUAUUCCGGUUCAAGAAAAUGUUUAGGUAUGAAAGUCGUAAAAAUUUGGAACAAAAUAGGAGGUGGAUUAUGCAUGAAUUCACCAUUAAUCCAGCCUUGUUGGGUGAUCGAUGCUCGCAUAAAUCACUUGAUUUUGUUCUCUGUCGCAUGAAAAAGAACGAAUCGGAAAACAACUUAGAGAAAACUUUCGUUUCCUAUGAUUCCAUAUUUGGGCUGCAAGUGUCCUUCAUUUUUGAUGUAGCAGAGAACAAACUUGAGUGCUUUAUGCAAGUAUUAAUCACCCAACAAGGCUGGAUUAAUGGUGAAUUCAUGCAUAAUCCACCUCCUAUUCUGUUCCAGAUUUUUACGACUUUCAUACCUAAACCUUUUCUUGAACCCUAGAAUUUGAUCAUCAGAGCCAACAGCGAGUGUCCCUCACUUUUGCAAUGGUUUUUCUUUUUAUUAGUCUUUCAGCAAAGCUUAAGCACUUCUUGUUAAAUCUAACCUCUUUCAGUUACAUAUGGCCAAAAAAUAUGGAAGGCAACAUGUGAUGAGUAAGUUUAGUUCAUAUUUUCUAAUGAAUGGCUAUGCUCCCCUUUAUUUUGGUAGCUUCUUGGGAAGCAUAUCCUGAAGAAUCUUUCUUAUUUCAUUUUUAACAUUUUUAGGUACCAUCUUGAAGAAUUUUUUUCUCUCUUUUUUUCUUUUCAGUUUUAAAAUUGUUAUCCUUGAAAUCUCCAGUGGGAAAAGAAAGGAUAAACAUGUCGAGUUUUAUCUUAGUUUUGGUGCAGUGGUUUUGGAAGCUCUAAAAAGGAGGAAAGAUUCUUGAUGCAGCUAAUAAAUGAUUGAAUUUGAACUUUUACCAAAUAAGAAACCGAAUACUCAUUGAUUGUUGGAUUAUGGUGUGCUCUCCCAAAUCAUAACCGGAACAAGAUUUUCAUGUACUUAAAAAGUAAAUCCCCACUUCCGAUUCUUCCAACAAGAAACUUUGUUGUUUACUUUCCUUUCACAAACUAUGAAUUAAAUUUACUUGUAAUUGAGUGAUAAACAAUCUUAAUAGGUUCUUGAUUGAAUUUAUAUGUUGUGUAUCUGCUAUAGCAUUUUGUUUUGGUAAAGCUUAUUUUAUUCAUUAUUUCGGCUGACCACCAAUUUAUUGAUACAAGCUAGGAAAGAGCCAGAAAAGGGCAUGUCUUAGUGGAACAUAUCAGAACAAUACUUGGUUUUAGAUUGGGUUUCUUAGAUUGAGUUUAACUUGAUUCCAAAAGGGCCAUGCUUAAUCUAAAAUUUAUGAUGAACUAGAUAUAAUGAUUCAUCUUUUAGGGUAAAUAGAACCUAAACGUGUAAUAUUGUAUCUUAUGUUGGCAUAACAAUUAGUCACUGUUAGGUUGCAUAUAGAUAUAAGACAUCCCACAUGCGACAGCUGAGGAUAUAUGAGGAUUCUACCUAGUGCUGUAGCAGAUGCUACAACAACUAAACCAAAAUUUGCAAGAAUUAGUCAAGUCCAUUAAGAGAGUUUAGUCACUCAUCUACUUUAUUCCCAUUGAUUUUAUCAUUGUGUUUAACGUGAAAGUUUGCUUUUCUUCAUAUUUACUUAUUGCAUUUUAUUAGAUAGUUUAUUAGUUUAAUUGUUCAAUCCACUUUCUAUUCAAGCAAAAUUGUUAAGGUUGUUAUAACAAUUUCUACAACAUCAAUUCAUGUGGAGACGAUCUUAAAUACUUUUCAUUAUAUCACUUAUUGUGUACACUUGCAAAUUGACACCCCAUAGCAUUUGAAUUUAAACUCAACAGAACAUCUAUUGAGACCUUUGAUCUCUCUGACAACCAACUCCUUUCUUCUUCAGUAUACCCUUAGGAAUAUUCUUCAUAUUAAUCUAGGCUAUAGCCAUUUGCAAGGUUCAAUUCUAGAGGCUUUUCAAAACAUGGUUUCUCUUAGAUUUCUAUCUCGCUCUUCUAAUGAGCUUGAUGGUUGGAUUCCAAAAUUCUUCGGAAACAUGUGUAGUUUAAAUAUAUUAUACUUGCACCGGGUAAUUUUUAAAAACCUCCCCUGAGGUUUGGGCUUGUUGCAAGUAGAUGGCGAGAAUCUAUUUAUUUGUAAAAAAUCCCCUACUGUCAAUUAAUUUUAACAUUGAUCGUUAGUUGACUGUGCAAAGACAAUAUUACCCUUAACAACAGUUUGUAGACUGACAUAACUAAAAAAAAAACUAAAAUUGUUGGCUAUUUUACCCUCUUUAAAUUAUUGAUAUUUCUUUAAAGUUCCUACAAGAAAGAUAAAAUUAAAAACUUGAAAAAUCCUCUUUAAAUUAUUGAUAUUUCCUUAAAGUUCCUACAAGAAAGAUAAAAUUAAAAAUUUGAAAAUGAAAUAGUCAUAAUCUUUACCAAUGAUAUUGUAAAUCUUUGGAAUUGACAAUGAUAAAAUUGUCAAAAAAUAGGGUUUGUGCUUUUCGCGCCAACAAUUUUAGUUUUUUUUUUAGUUAUGUCAGUCUACAAACUGUUGUUAAGGGCAAUAUUGUCUUUGUACAGUCAACUAACGGUCAAUGUUAAAAUUAACUGACGGUAGGGGGUUUUUUACAAAUAAAUAGAUUCUCGCCAUCUACUUGCAACAAGCCCAAACCUCAGGGGAGGUUUUUAAAAAUUACCCUACUUGCACCACAACUAUCUUAAUGGACAGUUCUCGGAGCUGAUUCAAAAUCUGUCCGAAGGAUGUACAACAAAUUCACUUGAGGAGCUACAUUUACAAUACAAUGGCAUCUCAGGGCCAAUACAUGAUCUUGGAGCAUUUUCAUCUCUAAAAGUAUUGUAUGGUGGAGAAAAUCGUUUAAAUGGAACUAUAAACAAAAGCCUCACUCAUUUGUUCAAGCUUGAGACUUUUUCACUUGAUGGGAAUUCAUUCACAGGUGUUAUCUCUAAAACUUUCUUUUCCAAUAUGUCCAACUUGCAGGAAUUGUUCUAAGCUGACAACUCAUUGGCUUUGAAAUUGAGCCAUGAUUGGGUUUCUCCCUUUCAACUGAAAUGUUUAAGUGUCGCCUCUUGUAAGAUGGGACCUCAUUUUCUAAAACGGCUUCAAACUCAUAAUCAACUUACUUCACUUGAUAUCUCUGAUACUAGCAUCUUGGAUACUGUCCCUGAUUGUUUUUUAGAUCUAUUUAUUGAACUCUUUCUUCUAAGUCUCUCUAACAACCAUAUCAAAGGUAAGCUUCCUGAUUUUUAUUUUUUAAAAUCUAAUGAUAUUGUUAUAGAUAUCAGUUCAAAUCACUUUGAGGGUCCAAUUCCACUACUUCCUUCAAAUUCUACGUUCUUGAAUCUCUCCAAAAAUAAGUUCUUAGGGUCAAUUAUGUUCUUUUAUUCUAUGAUUGAAAAUACAUGGAAUGUUUUUAUCUCUCAAGUAACUUUUUAUUUGGAGAGCUUCCCAACUGUUGUUCGCAUCUUGAUAGCCUAUUUCUUCUUAAUUUGGCAAAUAAUAGCUUCUCCAGUAAAAUUCCAAACUCGAUAGGCUUCCUACAUAAUAUCCGAACACUGAGUUUACACAACAAUUGGUUAACCAGAGAAUUUCCUUCAUUUUAAAGAAUGGCUCAUAACUGAGAGUUUUGGAUCUUGGAAAGAAUGUAUUGUUCGGUGAGAUACCAAAAUGGAUAGGCGGAAGUCUUCAAAUUUGAUUAUCUUAAGCUUGAAAUCUAACAAUUUUCAUGGAAAUAUACCUUUUCAGUUAUGCCAUCUGGCAAUCAUUUAGAUCUUGGAUCUCUCUUUUAACAAUAUAUCCGGAAACAUACCAAAGUGUUUCAGUAAUUUUUCAGCCAUGAGCCACGAAAACAAAUUCCAAUCCCAUCAUUGGGUUGGCCUAUAAUAUCUGGGUUCUCCUUCGAUAUGUAUAUCAGUAAAGAUAUUUGGACAAUGUUAUGUUGACAUAGAAAGAAUGUGAACAUGAGUGCAAAAAUACUUUGGGAUUUGUACCUUGACCUUUCAAGUAACAAAUUAUGUGGAGUAAUUCUUGAAGAGAUUAUGGACCUUGCGGGGAUGACUGCCUUAAACCUUUCAAGAAACAAUUUAACUGUACCAAGCACUCCAAAGAUUGGUCAGUUAAAAUCAUUGGAUUUCCUGGAUUUAUAUAGAAACCACUUUUCUGGAAGCAUUCCGUCUACCCUUCCUUAGUUAAGUGGUCUUAGUGCCUUGGACUUGUCAUACAACAACUUGUCAGGAAAAAUCCCAUUAAGUACUCAGCUCCAAAACUUUAAUGCUUCAUUUGAUACUGGAAAUCUUGAACUCUGUGGCCUUCCACUUCCAAAUAAGUGUGCAGAUGAAGAAUCAACUCCAAGUCCAAGCAGGGAUGAUGAUGCAAACACUCCAGAAGAUGAGGAUGAUCAAUUUAUAACUCUCGGAUUUUACGUGAGUUUGAGUCGUGGUUCUUAGUUGGAUUCUGGGGAGUCUGCGGAACUUCAAUGCUGAAUAGGUCGUGGAGAUAUGGUUACUACAACAUCAUGACUAGUACCAAAGAUAGGCUCUAUGUGACGGCAGUUGUGAAUAUUGCCAAACCACAAACAAAGUUCAGGAACUAAUUAAACGAUAUUACUCCUUAAGUGUCAACUCUCAAGUGUGUUUUAGUCAAUAUUAUUGGCUCUCAGCCUCUCACAUAUGAUUUUAAUUUCUUAAUCCUUAAACUUGACCCUUUCCUCUUGCAAGCUUUUGUUUCUCAAAUUAAUUCUUACCAUUUUUUUUGUCAGGGUCUUACUGGGAUGGCUCGCAUUAUGUCUUUAUUAUUUAGAGUGCUCAUUUUGUAUUUGGAAUCUUUCAAAAAAUAAACUUGUGCUCUCAUGUGAUGCACAUUGUAUUGUUAAGUGUAUGCUUAAAAAAACUUGCAUGUGGCUCUCUUUAGACCAUUGUCGAUCUAUGCAAUUAUGCACUCUUGUUAAGAGUUUAAAUAUACCAAUAAUCCAUUACAACAAUAAAGACAGUCAAAUUCUGUUCUGUUAUUGAUCAAUGUUAGCUUUUUUUUUCUUUUCAUUGGGUGAAUAAAUUUAACUUUUAUUUGGCAAAUAAAAAAUAUCUCAGAUUUUUGCAUGUAUUACACCUCUCAAUUAGUAUUAACUGAAUAUUUAGAUUAGGGAAAUUAUCAUUUAGAUUAGGGAAAUUAUGUCUACACCACCUUUAUUUUUUUCAUAUGUAUAUCUAACUACUACAAAAUUUUGACGUAUUCUUUACACAAUUUAUGUUUCUAAACUUGCAUUAAUCAACCAUUUUGAGCUAAAAAUAACUAUUUUAACACUAAAUAAAUUAAAAAACUAUUUUAUUCUACAAAAUUUUUAAAAAAUUAUAAUUACAAAAAUACCCCUAAAUUCAAUAAAACAAAUAAUCUCAAAAUUCAAGAUUAUAAUUUCAAGUGAAAUUAUAAUUAUAAAAAUUAAUAUCUUGUAAUUAUAGUUUCAUUUAAUUUUUGUAAUUAAAUUAGGUAUAAGAAAGUUUACAAAAAUUGACAUGACGAGAAAAGUUUCCUAUAAUUAUUAUAAAAUUCCCUAUAAUUAGUAUUAAGAAACUUCCCUAUACAAAUUAAAUCAAAAUAUAAUUAAAAAAUUAUCAUGAUAACUUUUAAAUGAAAUUGUAAUUAUAAAAAAUUAAUAUAUUGAAUUUAGAUUUAUUUUAUUAAAUUUAGGGGUAAUCUUGUACUUAUAUUUUUUUUAUUUUUCAAAAUUUUGUGGAAUAAAAUAGCCUUUUUAAUACAUUUAGGGGUAAAUAUAGUUAUUUUUUAGUGUCAGAGUGGUUUAUUGAUAUAAACUUUAAAAAAAGGAGGUGUAAAGAACAUGUCAAAAUUUUGAUAUGGUUAGAUGUAUAUAUGCAAAAUAAAGGCAGUGCAGAGAUAAUUUUCUUUGGAUUAACUCUCUUUUUUUAAUGAUUUAUACCGCAAAUGAAAAAAACUUUGAUAAAAUAAUAGAGAUCUCAUUAAAAAAUAUUCAUUACUCAAGGUGACAUAGUAAACAUAGGCAUAUUCUAAAAAACAAAAGGAGUAAAUAUUAGUAUAAAGCUAAAACACACAACACAACUACAAAAAGAUUAAAAUAACUAGGUUGCAACGGUAGAGAAUUUGUAGCUUGGAGUUCCAUUAAUGUCUCACUACUCGAGAGAUGAAAAGUAAACCUAAACUAGUCAUCGGAAAAGUCUUAGGUGCUCCUGAAGCAUAACUCUUUUUGAGAGCCCGGCAUGGUGCCGGCUACAAUGACAACGGCAUUGUAGCCAAACCCUUAUCUUUAACGUCAAUACUUCUUUUCAAUUGAUUGGAUUGCCAGUCAAUAACACGAUCGCGUAAAUUGCGGUCCGUGACUUCCAAGAUUAAGAAAAAAUUGAUGUUUUUUUGGAUGGAAAAAUAGCUUUAAGAGUUGGUUAAGCCACGUUAUCUUCUUUCAAGAAAUUAUUUUCUAUUCACAUCAUAUAUACUUGACUUUUUGACCUAACCGACAUCCACUAGAAUUUAUUAUUAUUAUUAUUAUUAUUACUGCUACUAUUAUUUUUUAUGUAAGUAACAAAAGAAGAGAAAAUUUUGUUAUGACAGAAAUUGAGAGUUUUUAUUAUUAAGAUAAUAUUAACUAGUAUGGUUAAUUUGAUCAAAUCCAAAAUUAAUUAUUGUUUAGGAAAAAGUUUUUAAGUGUUGUAGCUCUUUGUACGUAAUUCCUUAACGUUGAUACGAGCUUAGUAAUUUUUAACUAUUAAGAUAAAAUUUUGACAUACGAGAGUCGUUACUCAUUAGUCUGAAAAAAAAAUGAAUAAAUAAAACAAAAGAAGUGGGAGAAGAAAAUUUAACCACAAAAAAAUAAGAGAAAUGAGAGGUGGUUAUUUCUAGACUGAGCUUGAUUCAAAGUCACAAAAUAAAAUAACAUAAAUGACACAACCACAAAUACUUGUACAAAUUGAGUUAGCAAGUUAUAUGACAUAAUUAGAUUGAUUGGAUAAAAUACCAUAUGUGUUAAUUAUUUUCCUAAGUAGAAUCUUGGAGAAAAGGAAAAGUAAAAACCCUUCUUCUUAGUUACUAGCUAAUAAUAUUAUGUUUACUUAUUGGGAUAUUCAUUUAUGUCGCAUCUCAUUUCUAUUGAUUAAGUUCUUAAAUUCAUAGGUUAAAAAUUAACAAUAAAAUCUAUUAAUAAUCAGUAAAUAGCAAAAAUGAAAAGAAAGGAAGAGAAAAAAAAAGCAUCAAGGACUUACAAAGUCAAUUAAAAGUUGAAAGCUGAGAGUGAAAACUCUUAGUUAUGUUAUAAAUAGCAUAGAGCCCUCCCAUAUUCGUUGCAGAGAAAGAGAGAGCGUGCAUGUGUAUUUGAUUAUAAAGAGAACAAGCGGCUCAAAAAUGGUGAUGAUGUCAGUUUGCUUCUUGUUAACAAUAAUAUUAGAAGGGUGUUGGAGUACGGAGGGAUGUUAGGGGCAUGAGAGAUCUGCUCUCUUAUGACUUAAACAUAAUUUCUUUGAUGAUCCUUUCAAUCUUGAAAACUAGAUGGAUAAUGAGAAUCAUUUAGAUUGUUGCAAGUGGGAAGGAGUUGAGUGCAACAUCUCCUCAGGCAGAGUGAAAGCACCAUAUCUUAGUAAUGGAAUAUCAUUUUGGUAUCCGACAAUGCAGCAUCUGAAUGCUUCCUUGCUUACCCUUUUUGAACAACUUGAGUCUCCUAACUUAGAAAACAACAACAUAGUCAGUUUUGUUGAGAAUGGAGGUACUUAAUAAGUUUUAUCAGUUCCAAAAUUUUGAAAAUUUUUUAAAAAGUUUAAUUUUGAAAUAAUUAACACAAGUCUAUAUGAUCUGUUUUACGAGGUCUGGAGAGGUUAUCAGGGUUAAGCAACUUGAAGUUUCUUAAUUUAGGCGGUAACCUGUUUAACAAUAGCAUCUUCUUAUCUCUAACUAGUCUUUCAUCACUAAGAACAUUGUUAUUGCGUUCUAAUAGAUUGAAAGGAAGUAUUGAUAUUAAGGGUAAUUAAGCUUCAUCUCUUUUAAGGUCUACUAGAAGCAAAAAUAAGCUUCAUUAAUUAGUCUGUCACUAGAAUCAGAUAUUUGUAAUGCCAUAUUGCUUCCUUCAUUAACUCUAUUUAAGUCUUGGCAUAUGCCAUAUACGUAAAACUGGAUUGCUUGAGCAAUUUAAAGGUGCUGGACAUGGGCCUGAAUCAAAUUGAAGAUUUUAGUGAUCGUCUAAAAGGUAAUUAAAUGAAUGUGAAGCUUGAAGUAGUUAUAUUUUGUUAAAAGUGAAUGAGGUGGCGUGUUGAGCUGGCAUCAGUGGGGACCAUCUGCUGUUAAAGUUGUUAUUAUGUAUGACAACUUAUUUCUUUUUUUUAGAUAUAUAUAAGAGGAAUUCGAGUUGGCAGAUAGGGAAACUUAGUGAUUGAUUUUGAGAGUCGCAAUGAGUGAGACAAAAAAAUCUUAGUAUGGAAGAUUUAAUCCCUAUAGUCUUAAGAAUCUUUUGUAACUCAUCUCUUUCUAAUAAAGUUUCAAAGCAAAGUUGAUUUCAACUGUGGAUGUAGGCAUCUCUCUUCCGAACCACGUUAUAUGACCUUGUUAUUUUUCUUUCUUUCUUUAGUUCUUGCUUGCUCUUGGUCCUGGUUUCAUUCAAUUUCUACUUUCUUGGUUUGGUUCUCUCUAGAAGAGGCUUUGUUUUUUUUUUAAUUAAAUUAUAACAAACUGGUAUCACAGCAUUAGUAGUUUGUUGUUCUUGGCUCUAUAAUGGCUACCACUAGAUUUGAUCUUGAAAAAUUCAAUGGGGAGAAUGAUUUCUACUUGCGGAGCCUUAAGAUGCAUGCAAUCCUCAUUCAACAUGGGCUUGAUAGUGCCGUUGAGUAAGAUGAUGAUCAAAAGGCUAAGAAAGAAAAGGAAGAAGGCUCAUCUAGUUUUACUGGAGAUAGGAAGACCAUCAACAACAAAGCAUAUAACACCAUUAUUUUGUAUCUUUUAGAUAAAGUGCUAAGAGAGGUGAUAAAAGAAAGAUCUGCAUCUGGAUUAUGGGCAAAACUUGAGGAACUACACUUGAAUAAAUCUUUAGCUAAGAGAUUGUAUACGAAGAAGAAGCUCUAUACAUUCUAAAUGAAGACAGGGACCAAUAUGAAAGAUCAUUUGGAUAAGUUUAAUAAACUAAUCUUGGAUCUUGAAAAUGCAAAUAUUGUCUUGGAAGAUGAGGACAGAGCACUUAUUCUUUUAAGUUCAUUACCAGAUUCAUAUGAACACUUUGUAGAUAUUCUGCUAUAUGGCAAACAAACACUUACUCUAAAGGAUAUCAAGAAUGCUCUAGAAUCAAAGGAUUUGAAGAAAAGAACAGAAGACAGGGAUUAGAACCAAGGUGAGGGUCUAGUUGCCAAGUUUAGACUAGAGAAGAAAGCUAAUACAGAUAAAAAGAAUAAUAAUUAAAAGGAUAAAGCUGAUAUGAAAAAAAAAAUGUUACUUCUAUCAUAAAAAAGGACAUUACAUCAAAGAUUGUUUUGAGAAGAAGAAACUUGAAAAGCUGCAGGAGGAGUCAAAUGGUAAAACUGCUAUUGCAUCUGAAGACGAGGGAAAUACUGAUGGUACGGAUGUUCUUAUUGCUGCUAAGAAACACCCAUUGGUGAGUGGAUUCUAGACUCUAGAUGUUUUUUUUUUCAUAUAUGUCCAAAUAGAGAAUUCUUCAAGACAUUUGAGAGUAUAAAUGGUGGCAAAGUCUUUUUAGGAAACAACCUUGCUUGUAAGGUUCCAAGAAUUAGUACUAUUAGUAUCAAGAUGUUUGAUAGGGUAACUAGGGGACUGAAAUAAGGUAUGUUCAAGACUUGAAAAGAAAUUUAACUUCCCUAGGGAUGAUUGAUCAAUUGGGUUGCAGCAUUAAGGUAGAGAUUUAGUCAAUAUUGCCAGCUAUCUAAUGCACUCAUAUCUAUUGUAAGCUCAUUUUAUCAUCUAAUCAAUGCUCGGUCAACAGAAAAAUAAACUUUUUGCACAAGCUCAAUUUUAAUCUGGUCUUGACUCAUCUUAAGAUUUUUGAGCCUCCAGAAUCCAAAUUUGACAUCCGUUUAUCUAUUUGGAGCCUCGAAUUACGUGAAAUUAAUAUUUUACCUAAUAAACACACAAAAAUACACAAAAUUAGAUAUAGUUAAGACAUAAUUAAUAAUCCCUAAUAUAUUGCAUAAACACAAAUUAUAAUAUAAGUACAAAAUAAUAUUUUUAUCGCUUGAUAAUCAAACAAUAUUUAAUACUAAUCAACAUCUUUCUCUAGUGAUAACAAAAUAUAGUCCUAUCUUAAAUCAAUUUUUGUCAAUUUAAUUUUGAAAACCCUCUUUUUGCAAAAAGUAUUACUACCAAUAUUAUAAACAACUUCCUACGAACAAAGCACACAAUUAUUUUAGCAAAAUAAACACAACACCGAAUAAAGAUAAUAAUACUUUUCAAAAAGAAAUGAGACAACUAAAUAACAAAAUAAUUAAGAGGAGAAUAUAAAGAUAAAACCUGAAAGUUUGAGAUAAAAUCAUAAAGUAACUUUGAUGGUUUUAGGUAUUAAGCAUUAACCAAUGACCAAAAAGAAGAAAAAUAAACAAUUGAUUUGUUUCUAAAAAGUUAUUACUAGUAUUAGAAAAAACAAUCGGUGACAAGCAUUUAGUUGCUGUACAAAUUAAAAACAUCAGCCCUUGAACACAAUGAUAUUUUCAUAAAGAAAUAAGACAACUAAAUAGCAAAACUAAUUAUGAAUAGGUUAGAAAGAUAAAACCUAAACAUUUGAUAUGAAAUCAAAGAUUAAGUUUGAUGAUUUGAGGCUUUAAGCAGUAACCAAUGGCUAUGAAAAGCAUAAAAAGUAAAUUGCUAUUCUUUUUUUUUUUAAUUAAUGCCCUUAUUGUGUCAUUGUUUAAGGAAGAAAUAUUGUUAACGGAUAAGUUCACAAAUAUAGGGUUUUGUUUUUUAAAUGGAGGUUUAAAAGGAAUAAACAAUGUUUUAGUUAAAAUUUAUUAAUUUAAUGUCACAUAGAGAUUUUAUAGGGAUUAAAACUAUUAAUUCUAAUGAGAUUUUGUAGGGAUUUCGAUAAUUUAUUUCGGUAAAGAUAAUUAUAAAGCAAUAAUAAAAUAAAAUUAAUAAAUACAGAAUUAUGAUUGAGUUUGCUACAAAUUACGAAUUUUUAUCUUUUUAUGUAUAAAAUAAUAGAUUUAACGUAACUAUGGGGCCUUAAUCUAUAAUAGGCCCUAUCAACUGCCUAAUUUGUCUAAGGGAAGAGUCACUUAUGAGUGAGAAUUUUUUGAAAUUCAGUCAUGCGUCCGAUGCCAAGCUCAGAUUACCGUUUUUCUUAUUUAUUGUUUUUGAGGUUUAAGAACUGUUUCACACUGUCUCGAUUCCUAACAGCUUCAGGGAGCAAGGGCGUUACACUCUUCGAAUCCUGAAUUUGAUCAAUAGCAAACAUGUCGUCACAUACGAUCACAUGCAAAACAGAGUUGAGAAGCCACCUGGGCAAAAUUAAAAAUAAGCCAUGGCUCAAAAUUUGGGGGGAAAAAAUAGAACUUACCGUUAUGUGAGAUAGUGUUAGCUUCUCUAAACAAAAAACAAAAAGAAAUUAUAGACACAACAAAAAGAAAUUACUGUGGAGGGUGGAGACUAAGAGAAGAGAAAGAAAGAGUGGAUUUGAUGAGGUGAAAAAAUUAGGGCGGGUUAUGCCCUAAUUUUUGUUUUCACUUAUAUAUUUUGUCUUAUUAUCCUUAAUAACUCCUAAAUUAGUCUUCAAAUUUUAUAACUUUUAAUAAAAAUUUAAUGAUAAAUAAAUGAUUUAAUUAAAUGAAUGGAUUGUAUUUGAUUCGUUUAUCAUCCAUUUAUUAAACGAAUUAUAAACAAAUAAAUGAAUAAAUAUCCUUAAACUUAGAUUCAAUUUGUUUAUUUAGCGUAUUGAAUUGAAUUCACCUAUUUAUUAAACGAAUCAAUUUGGUAUAAAGCCAAUUUGAAUCUGGUCACAGACCGGUUUUGGUUCGUUUUGAGCGCAAUGGUAGAGGAAUGGGGAGUAUAAAGCCUUUCCGGUUUCUAGCUGCCUGGAUGACAGAUAAUCGGUUUGGGGAUUUUAUGCAGGACAAUUGGCAGAGAAAUAUGCCUUAUGCUCAAGCAGCUUCUAACUUCACAAGUAAGGUAGCUACUUGGAAUAGGGAAGUUUUUGGUAAUAUUUUUAAAAGGAAAAAAGAAUUGCUGGCUCAUCUUGGCGGGGUUCAAAAAGCCUUGGAAAGGCAGCCUCUCAGUAGCCUGUAUCGUCUGGAGGUACGGUUAAAAAAGAAGUUGGAAGAAGUUCUGUCUCAAGAGGAGCUGUUAUGAUAUCAAAAAUCUCGCAGAGAGUGGAUUAAAUAUGGGGAUCGGAAUACAUCACUUUUUCAUCAAAAAACCAUUACAAGGAGGGCUCGUAAUCGCAUCACUGCAAUCAGGGAUGAUGGAGGUAAUUGGCUUUAUGAAGCUCAAGAUAUUAAAACCCAUGCUGUGACAUUUUUCUCUACACCAUAUAAAUCUGAACAGGAUACAUAUAAGCCGUAUCAUAUGCGAGGGUGUUUCCCUCAAAUUGACCACACCCGAUUGGCGAGUCUUGCUGUGCCGGUGGAGAAGGAAGAAAUUCAUGAGGCAGUCUGUCAGAUGAGUCCUCUCAAAGCUCCUGGAAUCGAUGGCUAUCCUGCUGGGUUUUAUCAGGCUCAGUGGCAUAUUGUUGGUGAGUCUUUUAGUUCUGGUAUACAGGAAGUCUUUAAUUCGCACAGGAUCCCCAGAGAUGUUAGUAAAACUCUCCUAGUCCUUAUCUCAAAGACUGAGCGUCCCACAUCCUUCAGGAUGUAUCGCCCUAUAAGUUUAUGCACAGUAUUUUAUAAAACAGUAACCAAGAUUAUUGUGAAUAGACUCCAAGCUUUACUCCCUGAUCUUGUUGGCCCUCAUCAGACAAGUUUUGUCCCCGACCGGCAUAUUACGGAGAAUAUCAUCAUCGCUCAAGGGGUUGUCCACUCUAUGCGACGAAAGAUGGGUAAAAAAUGUAUAAUGGCUAUUAAGAUUGAUUUAGAGAAAGCAUAUGAUAGAUUGAACUGGAAUUUUAUUCAUGAGACUUUAAGGGAGCUAGCUUUGCCAUUCGAGCUCGUCCAGUUAAUAAUGGAGUGCAUUACUUCUAAUAGGAUGAACAUUUUAUGGAAUGGGGAAUUAACGGGGGAUUUUGCCCCUAGUAGAGGUGUUCGGCAGGGUGAUCCGUUGUCUCCUUAUAUUUUUGUUCUCUGUAUCGAGAGACUGAGUCAUGGAAUCUAUCGCUCAAUCCAGCAAGAACAAUGGAAACCAAUUCGUUUAGCUCGAAUGGGUACCCCCUUAAGCCAUUUAUUUUUUUGCCGAUGACCUACUUCUUUUUGCCGAGGCUUCUAGUGCACAAGCUCUCUUAAUAAAUUCAGUCUUAGAUGAUUUUUGUUUUAGCUCUGGCGCAAAGGUGAACAAAUUCAAGACUCAAGUCUAUUUUUCUAAGAAUAUCUCCGGGGCUGUAGCUGGCCGAUUAGGGCGUGAACUGGGGUAUACAGUCACAAAAGAUUUGGGCAAUUACUUAGGCAUGCCUCUGCUGCAUCGCCGGGUUUCAAAACAGACUUAUCAGGGAAUUCUGGAUAAAAUGCAGCAAAGACUUUCGGGUUGGGCUGCCUCCCAACUGUCCUUUGCAGGGCGUAUUACUCUCACCCAAUCUGUCCUCCAAGCAAUCCCUAUAUAUGCUAUGCAGUCUACUAAUUUACCGGCUAGUAUCAAGACUAAAAUUGAUCAAGUUUGCAGAAGAUUCUUGUGGAGUGGAAAUGACGAAAUGCGUAAGAUGAGUUUAAUUAGUCGGCACACUAUAUGUCAACCGAAGCUGGCUGGUGGGCUAGGAUUUAAGAGAUUAGAGGUUAUGAAUGAAGCGUUAUUGUUAAAGGUUGCUUGGAACUUGAUCACCGAACCUGGUAAGCUUUGUGCCCAAGUACUAGCUACAAAAUACAGAGUGUCUCUCUCGGAUAUCCCGCAAUUUCUUCCCACUCGGCAUGGCUCUCAUUUGUGGAGGUCUGUGUGUCGAGUUUGGGAUCAUGCCAAGCGAGGAUUACGUUGGAAUGUUGGUAAUGGACUGAGAGUUCAAUUUUGGUGGGACUGUUGGGCCCCUUGCGGCUUUUAUUUUGAAACCAAUACCUCCUGAACUUUGUGAUUUGUAUGUGGCUAACUUUGUGACUGCAGAUGGCACCUGAAACUGGCCGAAGUUCAGCUAUCUUUUAUCCCAUAAUGCAGUGAUGCGCAUUGCUUCAGUCCAUCCCCCUUCGGCGCGGAAUGGUGCUGAUAAAGCUUACUGGGCAGCUGCAACUCAUGGAAAGUUCACAGUGAAGUCAGCAUAUGACCACUUGGCUCAGCCAUACUUGCAUGAAAGGGAUAUGAUCUGGCGCUUGGCGUGGUCGUGGAAGGGACCGCAGAGUAUAAAAACUUUCAUCUGGUUGGUGCUGCAUAAUCGUUUGAAGACGAGGGGAGAGUUAGCUGCACGACAUUUAACCAUUGAACCACAUUGUGAGAGAUGCAGGUAUGAGUUGGAGACCACGAUCCACGUGCUUCGUGAUUGUCCUUAUUCUAGAGCAGUAUGGAUUCGACUUCUUCGGGACAAUAAUCAUCAUGAUUUUUUCAACAUUGAUCUUGCGGGGUGAAUGUCAAGAAACUUGCAAGCUUCAAACAAGUCUCCAGGUGGAAACCUUUGGCUUGUGCUGUUUGGAGUGGCUAUUUGGCGGAUUUGGUUCUGGCGAAAUCAUUUUAUUUUUACUAAGGAUUAUUGGGAUAGCAAUAGUAUUGCAAUGGAUAUCAAAGUCAGGGCUGCUGAAAUUCUACGAAGUAAUUCCUGCUUCUUUGCUGCUGGUAUAACCCGUAUCAAAAAAUGGAUUCAGUGGACUGCGCCUGUUUGGCCAUGGGUUAAAUUAAAUACAGAUGGUGCCAAGAAAUCUUCGGCGAUUGCAGGAGCUGGUGGACUAAUCCGUGACUUCAGAGGUGUUUGGCAAGUAGGCUACAGUGCAAAUUUAGGUGUUUGCUCAGUGACUUCAGCUGAGCUCUGGGGAUUAUUUCAUGGACUAUCUAUCGCUUGGCAAUAUGGGUUCCGCAGAGUGUACGUGGAAGUAGACAGCAUGUGUGUUAUGAGGUUAAUCUCCAAUCCAAAUCCUCCUAUCAAUGAGCAUUUUACUCUCAUUCAGGAAAUCCAAGCACUCCUCCGGCGUGAUUGGCUGACCAAAGUGGAGCAUAUCUAUCGAGAAGCCAAUGAAGCAGCUGAUUUCCUGGCUUUGUACAGUUUUUCCUUCUCCUUGGGUUUACAUUGUUUUCAAUCUAUUCCUCCAAAUAUGCUUUGCAUAUUGACUAACGAUGUUCAUGGGGUUGCACACUCCCGUUUAGUGUUGCCUUAGCUCUCUUAUGAGCCCUUUAAUGAUAAAAAAAAAAAUUAAACGAAUCAAUUUUUUAAAUCGAAACCCAUUUAAUUCGCAUAGAAUCAAAUUGAAUAAAACGAAUCUUGACCAAGAUUGCCACUCCUAAUUUUGGUACUUUCCAUUUUUAAUUAGAGUCAUGUAUUUUAUUUACAAUAUAAUUCUAUUUACAACAUAAUUGUGAUUUAGUUUACCUUUUAAGGUAACAUGGGGAAGUAUGUUUACCCUAUUAUAAAUAGGGAGGUAUUGUCAUUGUCAGCUCGAUUUCAAUUAUUUAAUAAAAUCUCUCUUUUAUAAUUCUUUUUGGAAUUAUCUAUCAAAAUCUUUCUUGUAGGAUCGCUUGAAUUAGAAUGAGAUCUAAUUACGCUUCCAUUAGAGCAUAACUUGAUUGCAUUGGUUUAGUCUGGUAUUAUAACGAUAUCUAGUAUUUAUUUACCCUAACAAACCACUUCUGCUACCCUGCUCCAUUACAAGAACUUGAAAGAUCACAAUUGGCCAUGUCAAGGCGCUUAAUCUCAAAGGUCCAACGGCCAAAAUGCUCAAGGAAAGUCUCGAAAGGUACAAUUAGUCCUGCUAUGCUUGAAUUUCAUGAUUUAAUGCAUUUGGACCUCAGUAACAAUCACUUCGGUGGAAGUCCAAUUUAUGAAUUCGUUGGUUCCCUCUGCAAAUUUGAGGUACCUCAAUCUCUCUUGUGGUACACCUUCAAUCUCUCAUCAAGCUGAAGACAGUUAAAUUCUACUCUGCUAUUGAUCAAUGUUAGCAGUCUUCUUUAUUGGGUGAAUAAAUUUAACUGGCAAGCUAUUUGGCAAAUAUAAACAGAUUAAUGGAUUUUUGCAUGCCUUAUGUCCCUUUCUUGGUGUUGACUGAUUAUUAAGAUUAACCCGCAAACGGAGCAAACUUCAAAAAAUAAAAGAGAUCUUGCUAAAAUUAUUCAAACGACGUAGUGGACAUAUGCAUAAAGCUAAAACACACAACUACAUAAAAAUUAAAAAAAAUUAAGCUGCAUCUGUAGCUUGGAAAUCCAUUUGCGCGUCUCACCACGCGAGAGAAGAAAAGUAAACCCAAACUAGCUAUCAAGUGAGUACCAACGUUUGAUUCUACAAUGGUACAUAGUAAUAACAGAAAAAGAGAAGAGAAAAAAAAUCUAUUAAAAUUAGUUAAGUAAUAUUUAAUCUAUUCCAUAAUCUUACAAACAAAGUACGUGAUAGGUUCGUAUAUAAUCUGAUUCAAGAUCAUUCGUAAUAAAAUGUGCAUGAAGAGAUAGAACUAUACAAGAAUUCGCUCUUAUUGUAUUCGAAUUGGUUAUUCGUAAUUUGUUUCUUUUACUUUUUAUUUUAUAAUUUUUUUUAUAGAAUAUGGUACUUUAGGUUGAAAUUUUGAAUUUCAAAUAUCUUAUCGUUUUUUAUUUUAUUUAUAUAUUAAUUCAAUUUUUUAAAAAGGAAAUAAAUUCUAAAAUGAGCCAUUGUAUUAAAAGGCUUGGCUUUAUAAAAAUAGCUCUUACAUUAUUUUUCAAAACACUAAAGGCGAGGAAAAAAAAAAAGACUAAACGCAAAAAUGGUUUUAGAAAGGCAAGAGGAGAAGAUUUUUAUGGUGUUUUUCAAUAAAAAGAGUUUUUGAGUUUUGAUACAUGGUCUUGAAGGAAGGAGAUUAAAACCAAUAUGUAAUUAUAAUCUUUUGAAAUUUUGAUUUUAUUCAAGAUUUUAUGUGAUAGAUUGAAUGGCUUUGUGUGUAAUAUCAAUGAAAUUGUUAAAGCAUGAUGUAUCAUUGACUCCAUGUUGUAAUUGAAUGGAAGUUGUGUUUUUGUAUUAUUCUGAAAAAUUAUGAACAGUGUAGAUUGAAUGCUAAAUAACUGCUGCUUUCAUUGAGUCUUAUGCAUGAAACUUUAUAAUUUAUUAAACUAGAUAUCAUUAGCUUUCUAUUGACAUGAUUAUUGUUUAAAAGCUCAUGGUAUAAUAAUUGUAAUAAUUUUUUUUGAAUUUGGAAUACUGGUGCUGGAAAAUGCCAAUUUUUAGCAGCAGUUCUCAAUUCCUAACUUUAUUUCGUAACUCAAAUUACUUCUGAAAAUUAUGGCAACUUCUAUUAUGUUACAUAUGUAUGUCUAAUUUCUGUAUAUGUUUCGUAAUUUUUAGGUUUAUAGAAAAAUCAUUAAAAAUCAUAGAGUUGGGAUGCUGUAAUCCUGGAAACUGUUCUCCAAAAUUACUAAAGACUGAUAUUGAAGUCACUUUGGAUUAUUGUUUCAUCACUAAAUGCCUUAUAAAUUUUAAUUUUGAUUUCCUAUUGUUUUCACUAUUGAUAAAACUUGAAUUACAAUUUUGUAACAUGUGUACUUAAAGUUAUGAAUUUUUAAAUCAACAGACCUCUGUUUAUAUCACUACUAUUUUUUGACAUUUUUGUGAAAAAUUAUUCAGGGAUGUUUUUUGAACUCUGAUUAACUUUAUGAUGUUUUAUAUGAAUGCCAUGCAUGUUCAUAGUAGUUCCUUUUAAUAUUUGUGAUUUUCCAACAGAAAAUAGCUCGUAUAGGAUGGUUGGGUGUAGUUUAGUGAAUGGAUAUACUUAAGUGAGUGCUAAUGGUUUAAAGAUGCUUGACUCUCCAUCAAGGUUAGAAUUGAUAAUGUUAUUGAUGAGAAUCUUGUCUUGAUAAUUAUAGGCUAAUCAUGAGCUAGUAUAAUUGAGGUUAUUGAUUGAUUGCUUCAGAUCGAAGUAAGAGAAUUAAUGCAAAAAGUUUAAUAUCUACAUACAGAAAGAAUAUUGUUUAUAUUGAGUUAGCAUUUUAUGGUAUUAUUGCCACUAUAUAUUUUCUAAAAUUAGAUAUAUAUUAAUUACAAUAUAUUUUAGUCAAAUGAACCUCUUUUAAAAUUGUACUUUUCAAAAAAAAAUUUCAAGUGACUUUGAAAAAUAUUUGAUUUUCCAAUAAUUUAUUUACCUAAAAAUACUUGAAAAGCUUUGCCAAAUAAAUGUCUUACAACAUUAUUGAUAGAUUAUUGAAUGAUUGAUAUUGAAAGAUUAAAAAAUUACUUUUAAGGUUUUGGCUCAUUGUCCGUAGUUAUUAUUAUUGACACGACUGAACAACUAGCUGUAUUACCAUUACAAUUAUUAUGGGGUACAAUACCUUGAUUGAUUAAUUGGCUGGAUCAUCGGGAUUAUAGGUGAUAUAUUAAUUGUUGGGCCACAAGAUUAUAGGUGAUAUAUUGAUUAGCCGAGUCAUCGAGAGCGCAGGUGACACUAUGUGACAUGAGCAAUUGAAUAAAGGAAAUAUUUUAUUGUUAAAUGAUUUCUUAGAUGAUUAAAUAUUGAAAAUGAUUAUUACAUGAUGACUUAACUUAAAAUGAAUUUUAUCAUACUCAUGCAAUAGAUUGUAAAAUCAAUAUUGUUUUCCAAUUUAUGGUUCCUUAUAAUGAUUAUUAUGUGUUUUAUCGUUAUUGGUAACCUCAUACAUGAAUUUACUUACCAAGUUGAUGGCUCACCCCUCGUCUCUAACAUUUUGCAAGUUAAUUUUAGAGAUGUGGGGUUUUUGGUUUAGAGAAGAGGAUUUUUUAACUAACACAUUUUCGUUGAUGAAUAAAUUGUCAUUAUUUUGGUUAUUGUUCAGAGUUGAAUUUGUUUUGGAUGAUUAUUGUUAUAUUUAUUAUUUUAGAGAUUUUAUUUUGACAGUGGACAAUAUUGAUUUUUCUGAAAAUAUUAAUAAUAUUAAUAUCACAAGGUUUCAUUCCCAAUUCCUCUUGUAAAUUAUAGGGUGAAUUUGGGUUAUUGCAUUAUUAAUUAAAUUUCUACAUAGAUGACAUUACAAAAGAUGUUGAUCAAAGACUAAAAUAUUUCAAAGUAAUGUUGUUAGGGUGCACCAAAUUUAAAACCUUACUACUAGUAUAAAUAAUUAGUACAGAGCGAGUAAGGAUCGAUCCCACAAAGACUAUGCUAGUUGUAUUUAUUAUCAACUCUAAAGCAGAACUUAAAAUAAAAUAAUAAUAGGAAUAAUAAUAUAAAUUAAUCUAACUAAAGAAAAUGCCAACUAAAAAUAGAGAAAAUGGGGGUUUUUGAAUUUUUAACUAAAUAGCAAGAAAUAAAGAAAUUAAAACUACGAAAACAAUAAUUUAAUAAAAACUCUAAUUAAAGGAGAAAGAAAUAACAAUGAGAAAAACUUUGGUUAAAAAAGAUCAUUCGCCACCACCAAACAUGCACAUAAUAUAUCAAUUAUAUCAUUAAUUUAUAUUGAAACUAUCAACCGUAGACAACAAUAAGCUCUGUUAGUCUCAAUCUUUCCUUAGUAUGUCGUUAGGCAAAACAAGCUCUUCAUCUAAUCUCUAACUAUUAAAUAAUUUAAAAUAAGCCUCUUUAAAUUUAAGAUAAUGGAAGCAUUAAGUAGAGAAAGAUAUUAGGUUGAUUUAGGCAAUAAACAAAAAGCUCAGAUUAUUUAACCUAGGUUAUGUUUCUCCAAUCGAAAUCACUGAUUCCAACCUACUACUAAUGAUUAAAAUAUCAAGACAAUUAUGGAUUAAGAAUUUUAAUCUAGCAAUAGAAUUUAUUCAAGUUCUAUCUAAUUGGCCACUCAAAAUAAGACAGGAAUGAAAUCAUAAACAUUAAUUAUAGAAGAACAUAAAUAAUCUCAAUUAAAUAAAUUGAAUGAUAGAAAUUAAAAAAUUCAAUUGCAUAGCAUGUUUAGGGUUUUGAAUUCACCCUCAACCAAAUAAAAAAUCUAGCCUAACAUAAUUAAAUUGAGAAUAAAAAAGUUAAUAAAACCAGACAUAGAGAUUAAUUCAAACAGCUUUCUCUCUAUUUUUUUCUCUCUCCUUUGGGCUGCAAAUUGUUUUUGUAUGUGUAGCUGCCGAUCCUCCUAUUCUCCUCUAAUUCUGCCGCAAGUCUGGCUUUUAUAGUAGCUUUUAUUGUGCGCCUUAAAUCCUCGCAUGGAAAGGAUUAAAAACAAAAGCCAAGCCGCCACUUUUGUUCAUGCAUGCACAUAACUUGUAGAAUUAAUUGGCCAAUGAAUAUUGUUAAAGCCAAAGCCAUCACGUGCUUGCCAUUUAAAGCCAUGCCAAAAUAUUUGCUUCCUCAAUUAAUCACAAUAUAUGUUUCCCAUGUGAUUGCAUGCAUGUUGAUUAAUCAAAUUAAAUCUUUCUUUCAUGAUCUCUUGUGUAUUUUUAUCUCUCAAUCUUCAAUUCUUUUCCUAUUUUGAUUCUUUCAAUGAAAUUUCUUUCCUGAAUGCUCCGAUUUAAUUUCUCUUUAAUCCUAGAAUAUAUCUAAAAUAAAAAAAUAAAAACUAAGAUAAAAAUUAAUACAAUAAAUAUAAUUUUAACAAAAUAACUAAAUUAAAAAUUAACUGAAAUAACUAGAAUAUUUAAGAUCAAAACAAGAAAAAGAUGGAGAAAUUAAUAGCAAUAUAUGAAAAAUAUGCACUUAUCAGAAGACUAAGAGUGCGUUUGGGAGUGAGGUACUGAAACUUUUAAACUGCAGCUACUGUGAAGUAAAAGCUAUAGAUGUUGAGUAGAAGCUGAUGAUAUUUGAUAAAGAUGCUGUAACUUUUAAGCUGCAGAAGCUGAUAGUGUUUGGUAAAUAUAUGUGUCUAGUAUUUUCAAUUUUAAUUUCACAAUUUUUAUAUAUAUAUAAUUUUAUAAAAAUCUCGGGACCCAUAUUAUUCAGUUAAGACACUGUGAGACAAUUUUGAAUUUAAUAAGAAACAAAUAGUUUUGAAAAUGUUUUUGGUAUUGGAUCCUCCUAAAAAUUUUAUUGGAGAUACCCAUGGAUGUCGAGAAUAGAUCUAUGUAAUUUUGUGUCAUUUUGAUUAUUAGAUUAAGAGUUAAAAUUCAGAGAAUCAGACUUCUACGGGUAUGAAUUAGAAAAUUAAGUUCUUGGAAUAAGUUGUUAAUAGUUAUUUCUUGUAUUUGUUUAAAGUAUUGGAGGUGUUUGAGACUGUUAGAGGCUUAGAGGUGUGUUUAAAUCAUUGCUUUUAUCAAGAUAAGUAACUCUAUUCCUAAUGUACUUGAUAUCUAAUGUACUAGAUAUAUAUGAUAAUUUUGAUAUUUCAAUAUUAUUACAAGUACGUGUGUUUUCUUAGUUCUUCAUAACAAAAAUAAUUGAUGUGAGUGUUUUUAAAUUUGAAAAUUAUGCCAUUUUUAUGGUUUUAACAAAAUAUUAUAAAUGCCUUUAAAUGUGCAAUUUAUUUUGCUAGAUAAUUAUAUUUUUGAAAUUAUCUAUAAAAUGUUAGAAUGGAAAUUGUUCUGCAAGCCUAAAUCAUUGUUAUGAUCAUUUAUGAAUCUAAUAUGAAUAUUAUGUUCACGUAUUCNNNNNNNNNNNNNNNNNNNNNNNNNNNNNNNNNNNNNNNNNNNNNNNNNNNNNNNNNNNNNNNNNNNNNNNNNNNNNNNNNNNNNNNNNNNNNNNNNNNNNNNNNNNNNNNNNNNNNNNNNNNNNNNNNNNNNNNNNNNNNNNNNNNNNNNNNNNNNNNNNNNNNNNNNNNNNNNNNNNNNNNNNNNNNNNNNNNNNNNNNNNNNNNNNNNNNNNNNNNNNNNNNNNNNNNNNNNNNNNNNNNNNNNNNNNNNNNNNNNNNNNNNNNNNNNNNNNNNNNNNNNNNNNNNNNNNNNNNNNNNNNNNNNNNNNNNNNNNNNNNNNNNNNNNNNNNNNNNNNNNNNNNNNNNNNNNNNNNNNNNNNNNNNNNNNNNNNNNNNNNNNNNNNNNNNNNNNNNNNNNNNNNNNNNNNNNNNNNNNNNNNNNNNNNNNNNNNNNNNNNNNNNNNNNNNNNNNNNNNNNNNNNNNNNNNNNNNNNNNNNNNNNNNNNNNNNNNNNNNNNNNNNNNNNNNNNNNNNNNNNNNNNNNNNNNNNNNNNNNNNNNNNNNNNNNNNNNNNNNNNNNNNNNNNNNNNNNNNNNNNNNNNNNNNNNNNNNNNNNNNNNNNNNNNNNNNNNNNNNNNNNNNNNNNNNNNNNNNNNNNNNNNNNNNNNNNNNNNNNNNNNNNNNNNNNNNNNNNNNNNNNNNNNNNNNNNNNNNNNNNNNNNNNNNNNNNNNNNNNNNNNNNNNNNNNNNNNNNNNNNNNNNNNNNNNNNNNNNNNNNNNNNNNNNNNNNNNNNNNNNNNNNNNNNNNNNNNNNNNNNNNNNNNNNNNNNNNNNNNNNNNNNNNNNNNNNNNNNNNNNNNNNNNNNNNNNNNNNNNNNNNNNNNNNNNNNNNNNNNNNNNNNNNNNNNNNNNNNNNNNNNNNNNNNNNNNNNNNNNNNNNNNNNNNNNNNNNNNNNNNNNNNNNNNNNNNNNNNNNNNNNNNNNNNNNNNNNNNNNNNNNNNNNNNNNNNNNNNNNNNNNNNNNNNNNNNNNNNNNNNNNNNNNNNNNNNNNNNNNNNNNNNNNNNNNNNNNNNNNNNNNNNNNNNNNNNNNNNNNNNNNNNNNNNNNNNNNNNNNNNNNNNNNNNNNNNNNNNNNNNNNNNNNNNNNNNNNNNNNNNNNNNNNNNNNNNNNNNNNNNNNNNNNNNNNNNNNNNNNNNNNNNNNNNNNNNNNNNNNNNNNNNNNNNNNNNNNNNNNNNNNNNNNNNNNNNNNNNNNNNNNNNNNNNNNNNNNNNNNNNNNNNNNNNNNNNNNNNNNNNNNNNNNNNNNNNNNNNNNNNNNNNNNNNNNNNNNNNNNNNNNNNNNNNNNNNNNNNNNNNNNNNNNNNNNNNNNNNNNNNNNNNNNNNNNNNNNNNNNNNNNNNNNNNNNNNNNNNNNNNNNNNNNNNNNNNNNNNNNNNNNNNNNNNNNNNNNNNNNNNNNNNNNNNNNNNNNNNNNNNNNNNNNNNNNNNNNNNNNNNNNNNNNNNNNNNNNNNNNNNNNNNNNNNNNNNNNNNNNNNNNNNNNNNNNNNNNNNNNNNNNNNNNNNNNNNNNNNNNNNNNNNNNNNNNNNNNNNNNNNNNNNNNNNNNNNNNNNNNNNNNNNNNNNNNNNNNNNNNNNNNNNNNNNNNNNNNNNNNNNNNNNNNNNNNNNNNNNNNNNNNNNNNNNNNNNNNNNNNNNNNNNNNNNNNNNNNNNNNNNNNNNNNNNNNNNNNNNNNNNNNNNNNNNNNNNNNNNNNNNNNNNNNNNNNNNNNNNNNNNNNNNNNNNNNNNNNNNNNNNNNNNNNNNNNNNNNNNNNNNNNNNNNNNNNNNNNNNNNNNNNNNNNNNNNNNNNNNNNNNNNNNNNNNNNNNNNNNNNNNNNNNNNNNNNNNNNNNNNNNNNNNNNNNNNNNNNNNNNNNNNNNNNNNNNNNNNNNNNNNNNNNNNNNNNNNNNNNNNNNNNNNNNNNNNNNNNNNNNNNNNNNNNNNNNNNNNNNNNNNNNNNNNNNNNNNNNNNNNNNNNNNNNNNNNNNNNNNNNNNNNNNNNNNNNNNNNNNNNNNNNNNNNNNNNNNNNNNNNNNNNNNNNNNNNNNNNNNNNNNNNNNNNNNNNNNNNNNNNNNNNNNNNNNNNNNNNNNNNNNNNNNNNNNNNNNNNNNNNNNNNNNNNNNNNNNNNNNNNNNNNNNNNNNNNNNNNNNNNNNNNNNNNNNNNNNNNNNNNNNNNNNNNNNNNNNNNNNNNNNNNNNNNNNNNNNNNNNNNNNNNNNNNNNNNNNNNNNNNNNNNNNNNNNNNNNNNNNNNNNNNNNNNNNNNNNNNNNNNNNNNNNNNNNNNNNNNNNNNNNNNNNNNNNNNNNNNNNNNNNNNNNNNNNNNNNNNNNNNNNNNNNNNNNNNNNNNNNNNNNNNNNNNNNNNNNNNNNNNNNNNNNNNNNNNNNNNNNNNNNNNNNNNNNNNNNNNNNNNNNNNNNNNNNNNNNNNNNNNNNNNNNNNNNNNNNNNNNNNNNNNNNNNNNNNNNNNNNNNNNNNNNNNNNNNNNNNNNNNNNNNNNNNNNNNNNNNNNNNNNNNNNNNNNNNNNNNNNNNNNNNNNNNNUUUUCUUAUUAGCAUGGUUUUCAAGAUAUUUAGUGUUUGCCUGUAUAAUUUUGGAUAGAAGAGUAACAUUAUUGGAGUUCAUUUCAAGUGCAUAAAGUGUUUUGAAUUGUUAUCACACGGAUAUAUUUAAAUGAAUGAUAAUUAAGAAGUUUACAAUUUAACUUUUGGCGAAUAACUUCUUGUUUUGAAAUUAAAGUUCAAGGGAAUUGAUGAGUACUCGAUGAAAGAGCUCUCGCAACUUCGUGAUCAAUAGGCUACAUAUGUUGCCAAGUUAAUUAAAACCUACAAUCGCGAGGUAAUAUAUGAGUAAUUUAGGACCACUUUUGCUUCCAAAUCUCUAAGACUUAUUUUUUGUGGUGUUCUAAUUGAUUUUAUGUGCUUGUAGGUGGGGGAAAAAAAUGAAGCCAUGUAUGGAUAUUCAGUACAUUCUUGUGCUUAUUAUUGUUGGUUAAUGUUCGUUGAAACUGAAUUUAGUACUUUGUUGCUUAAAACUUGUCGAAAACUUAAUUUGAUACUUAUGUUCUUUUUUUUUCCAAACAAUGAUGUAGUUGAAUUAUGUUAAUUUAAGUGAUGUAUUUGGGAUUUUAUUAUGUGAAUUGUGUUGGGAGAUUUGAUAUAUUUAAUAUAUUUAUUUUUUUAAUUGUAAAACAAACUAGAAAAAUAUGAUUAAAAUAAAAUAUAUUACUAACCAAAAGCAGCAUAACAUCACUAAAUACUGACUCAAUUUUAAAUAUUGAUAUGUAAUAGUAUCAUUAAAUGUUUACACUUCGUAUCAUUAUUUUAAUGAUACUAUAGUGACAUGAAUUACUGACACGUAAAUAGUAUCAUUAAGUACUAACGCCAUAGUGUCAUUAUUUAGUGAUACUACAGUAACACGAAUUACUGACACGAAAAGCACUGACACCAAAAAUUAGUGUCAGUGUGUUCUGGCUGGAGCAUUACUGACACAAUUAACAAGUGUCAGUAAAAGUUAUUACUGACACUAAAUUGGUGUCAGUAAAACCCAUUUUUCUAGUAGUGAUGACCCAUCGAAUUAAAGGCUAUAUAGAGGAAUAGGCUAAAAAAUUCUAACCAUAUUUUAAAUUAACUUAAAUAAUAAUGAUUGGAGGUAGAGGUAGGUAACUUAUUUAAGUUUAUAAUCUAUAAUAUAUUUCUAUGUAUAUUAUUAUUAUUAAGCUAACAGAAGGAUGAUGUGAUGCAUAUGUACGUACCUCUAGACAGCAAAUUCAGAGAAGCAUUAUGCAAAGUCAACAGUAAACCGUUCAAAGUCAGCGGACAAUUACGUUUGGUCCUUGCUUGGGAAUUUCUAAUUUCAAUGGCAACACGUCUGUGGAAAAUUACUUUAAAUGAAGUAUGUACACAAAUGCACACACAAUUAAGAAUAUUACAAAAAUCAUUUAGAUGGUACACAUCAUACAUAAACACAGCUUCAGUUUCGGAAGGGGACCAUUAAUUGUUCAAAAUCGAUAUACAAACGUGGUCGCCCUAGCUAAGAAGAUAACAUGCACGAUAAGGAUAUAAACAAUUACCCCAAUCUUUCUUUUGUGGACAUGUGGAUAAAACAAAGACAGAUUCUGAAAGAGGGCGUAUCUAUAGAUGGCCAAUUCAGAACUUAUUUAAGAUUAUACGUUAAAUUUAUUUUUAAUUGAGAUAGAGCCUCUCAUGUUGGUUAAUAUGUAGACAAGUAUGAAUCUGAUGCAUAAUAGUACUUUUGCAAUUUUGUUUAAUUAAUUCUUAAGUUGAAAUAUAAAACAAAGUCUUCCCCAAUCAACCACGAAGAAUUAAUACGCAUUUAGUUUUUUAAUCUGAAAUUUAAAAUUGUUAUGAAUUUGGUUGAAGUGUUAAUUGAUGGUUUGAAUACAAGUGUCUAUAUAUGAUGUGUUUUUUUUUUAAUAUCUAAAUAUAAUUGACAUUAUAUUUGUUCUUAUAAAUAAAAAAAUCUUAAAUAUGGUGUUUAACAUUUAUAUCCUUAUAAGUUAAAAUGAAUAAAUGUGAUUAAGUUUUAUAGUUUUAGCAAAUAAGUAUAUUUAAUAGAGCUGUUUUGGGAUAUAAUAUUUACUUCUUCAUGCCUUUUCCUACUUAGAUAAAAGUCACAAAAAUUUACUCUUUUUUUUUAAAUUCAAAUGUAAAUGUCUGAAAAAUCAAAUAUAAGUUAAAGAAAACAGACGAGCAAUUUUAAAAAAAGUUUGAAAUAAAAAAAAAAUUCAAAUUUUAGACAUUUAACCAAUAAGCCUCCAUUUCACCUUGGUCAAGAGAGUGGUGGCUACCAAGAAAUUUCUGAUCCCUGUCGAGUAUGGGCGUGUCAUGAAUUAAGCCACGUAUUUUAAUGAGCAGCAGGGCUGUUCACACCUCAUUGUUGAAGUUGAUGAUUCGAACUUUAUCAUACCCUUUACGAAGGUCAAUCUUUUUCCAUAUAUUUGCAAGUAAAUAUUGUUAGUUUUGGAACUAGAUAUCUGGACACUACUGUCACGAGACUGAAAUAAACUUCAACCAAAAAUAAUAUGUUUGUUUGAGAUGUUCCGCUAAAAUAAAGAUAAAUUAUAAUUUUUCUUAGGAAUUUGCAGGCGUAAAAUGACGCAUUUUCUGUUUUAAGAAGAAGGAAAAUCAAAUUUUGUCUACCAAAUAAUUGCGCAAUUCAAUUUAAAUAGGUAUUUCACUCACAGAUACAAGUAGCAUUGAACUACACAUACAUCUCUUACCAUAAUAUAUUCCAAUAGGGAGAAAAAGGAGAAGGAUUUUCAAUGCGAGAUCUAAAAAUAUAUCUUUCCGUGGCACCGGUACUAAGCACUCUAUGGUUCGAGUCUUUAGCAGGGUUAUUUCAUAAGAAUCAACCGUUUAUUCGCCGACGCAGUAUCAAUCACCAUUGGUUGUUCUUCUACUGAUUAAAAUACAGAUUUAAGAGCAAAGCAAUUUGAAUGCUUGUAAUUGUUACUCUUGUAUCCAAUUUUCCCCAGGAAUUACAGGAUCAACAAUCCCAUCAAACAUAUUACUUUCAACGUGUCUUUAACUGGGGAAAGCAUUAAUAAAUUAUCAGGACAAGCUUUUUAUAAGUAAAUUUCUGCCCAAACAAAGCAUCAAGUAACGAGAUAUACCAAAACUACAUUUUCAAUAAACUGUGUUUUAUUUUGUUUGGGUAAACCAACACCGGUUUGAUUGUACGACUUUCUUUAUCCAUGCUUUGCAUUGCCGUGUGUCUAGGAUUCGCCGGUGACUUUUUUGGCUUUAAUCAUCUCUCAAAUUGUCAUAUUCUAACCAUAAUCAACGCUCAGAAUGAAGACUUUUCUUGGCCUCAAUAAUUGAUGCAGAUUAUACAAAGUAUAAAUUGGCAUGGAGUCCAGGAGUUUCGAUAUAACAAUAUGUCCUCAAAGCUUAUUAUAAUUAUAAUGUCAUUCAAAUUGCUCCUUCUAUUUGAAAAUAUAGCUUUGUUUUCUGUGAUAUUUUUUUAAUUGAAGCCCACAAUUGCUGAUUCUAACAACAUAGUAAUGAGGUGCAUUGAAGAGGAGAGAGAAGCGCUUCUCACUUUUAAACAGAGCUUGGUGGAUGAACAUGGCGUCUGUCUUCCUGGGGAAGAGAAGAUGACAAAAGAGAUUGCUGUAAAUGGAGGGGACCCACUGUAGCAACACAACUGGCCAUGUCAAGGUACUUAAUCUUCGAACAUCUACGAGGAAAACGCUCAGAGGAAGGUCUUGAAAGGUGAAAUUAGUCCUGCUUUGCUUGAAUUGCAUGAUAUAAGACAUUUGGACCUUAGUAACAAUCACUUCAGUGCAAGCCCAGUUCCUGAGUUCAUUGGUUCCCUCAGCAAAUUGAGGUACCUCAAUCUCUCUUGUAGCAUACCUUUAGAACUCCCUCGAAAAUUCCAGAACCAUUCAGGAUUGGAAUAUCUCAACCUAGAAAACUCUAGUUUAUUUAGUGUGGGAAGCUUAGAGUGGCUUUCUCGUCUUUCUUCUUUAAGACACCUUGACCUGAGUUACAUUAAUCUCACUAAAUCUAGUGACUGGUUUCAAGUAGUUGCCAAGCUCCAUUCCUUAAAAUCAUUAGUCCUAUGCUCGUGUGCUCUUCCACC